rnacentral:lncRNA from 1 species
GGAAAUCAAAAUAUGGCAUGAAUAUAACAAUUGCCACCAAUGUGCUUCAAGAAAGAACUUAUUUGUCUUUUAUUCCCAUGUUUGAACUAGUACAGGUCGAGGUUACACAUGAUGGUGCACAUCACUUUAUUUAUCAUCGUUACAUUAUGCUCCAUUUACUAACAAUGAUGAUUCACCCGUCUAGUAUUACAUCUCUUCAUUUCAUCUGCCACUGAUACUUAUAACGUCGCUCCCAGAUGGUUGUUGUUGUGGAUAUUGUUUGUAUGGGGAAGGUUCUUGUGAUUGCUGGGGUGGGUAUGGUAUUGGAAAUUGUUGUUGGGAAAAUUGUUGUGGUGGUUGCUGGGGGAAUUGUUGUUGGGGUAAUUGUUGUUGUUCGAGGUAUUUUUGUGGUUGGGAGAAUUGUUGUUGCGGUAAUUGUUGUUGUUGGGGGAAUUGUUGUUGUUGGGGGGAUUUCUGUUGGGGGAAUUAUUGUUGGGGAAAUUGUUGUUGCGGGAAUGGUUGUUUGGGGAAUUGUUGUUGCGGGAAUUGCUGUUUUUGGGGAAAUUGUUGUUAUUGGGGGGAUUGUUGCUCGGGGAAUUGUUGUNNNNNNNNNNNNNNNNNNNNNNNNNNNNNNNNNNNNNNNNNNNNNNNNNNNNNNNNNNNNNNNNNNNNNNNNNNNNNNNNNNNNNNNNNNNNNNNNNNNNNNNNNNNNNNNNNNNNNNNNNNNNNNNNNNNNNNNNNNNNNNNNNNNNNNNNNNNNNNNNNNNNNNNNNNNNNNNNNNNNNNNNNNNNNNNNNNNNNNNNNNNNNNNNNNNNNNNNNNNNNNNNNNNNNNNNNNNNNNNNNNNNNNNNNNNNNNNNNNNNNNNNNNNNNNNNNNNNNNNNNNNNNNNNNNNNNNNNNNNNNNNNNNNNNNNNNNNNNNNNNNNNNNNNNNNNNNNNNNNNNNNNNNNNNNNNNNNNNNNNNNNNNNNNNNNNNNNNNNNNNNNNNNNNNNNNNNNNNNNNNNNNNNNNNNNNNNNNNNNNNNNNNNNNNNNNNNNNNNNNNNNNNNNNNNNNNNNNNNNNNNNNNNNNNNNNNNNNNNNNNNNNNNNNNNNNNNNNNNNNNNNNNNNNNNNNNNNNNNNNNNNNNNNNNNNNNNNNNNNNNNNNNNNNNNNNNNNNNNNNNNNNNNNNNNNNNNUCUAUUGUGGGAAUUGCUAUUGGGGAAAUUGUUGUUGGGGGAAUUGUUGUUGUUGCGGGAAUUGCUGCUGUUGAGGGAAUUGUUGCUGGGGGAGUUAUUGUGGUUGGGGGAUUUGUUGUUGGGGGAAUUGUUGUGAUUGCUGGGGGGAUUUGAUGUUGUUGGGGGAGUUGUUGUUGGGGGAUUUGUUGUGGUUGAGGGAAUUGUUGUGGUUGGGGGAAUUGUUGUUGUUGUGUAUGCAAUUCCUUGCCUAUAGGGCUUAGUUGCCUAGUGGCACUGGCGUUGUUCAUUGUCAUGGCAAGGAGGACAAAUAUGAUGAAGGUCUUCAUGUUUGAUUUGUAUUUACUAUUGCUCACUUGUCUUUGAUGUUUUAGCUCCAGGUGCUUGAAGGUUGGAUGAUGGAAGAGACCCACAUGGUGUAGUAGCAUUUAUAGCUGGCAUCGCACAUUUUCUUUUCAUCUUCACACUCUUUUCUUGAAAAAGUGCUCUUAAGCUUAUCGACCUCAUAAUUUGGUAUGUUGUGUUUGAUGGCACUACAUACUAGCGUGAUUUUGGAUUGUUCAUCAUAGCUGAUUGUUCUUGCUCAUAUCAUCUCGGUGUAUCAAAUGCUUGAUAACGACGAAUGACUCAUCGUAUUCACUUUACACUUCAAACAUUGAUCUAGAUUUUAUCCAUCUUUCUGAUUUAGCUUGUGAUGUUCUGCAUGUUGUUAGGUGUAUCCAGAUUGGCAUAACUUAAGGGAACUAAGUUUGUAAUCUUCACACUCGCUUCUUGAAAAAGUGUUCUUAAGCUUAUCAAUUACCUAAUAAUUUGGUAUGUUGUGUUUCAUGGCACUACUUACUAGUGUGAUUUUGGAUUGUUCUUCAUAAUUGAUUGUUCUUGCACAUAUCAUCUAGGUGUAUGGAAUGCUUGAUAACGACAAAUGACUCAACGUAUUCACUUGACACUUCAAACAUUGAUCUAGAUUAUGUCCCUCGCUCCAAUUUAGUUUGUCAUGUUCUACAUGUUGAUAGGCGUAUCCUGAUUGGCAUACUUAAGGGAACAAAGUUUGUAAUCUUGUGUGAGUCCUUGAGAUAGAUCACACUAUUAAUGUGAAGAUUGUUCUAGACACUAUUUUUUCUGAACUAACUUUAUAUAUUUUGCACAAUAUAUUUGUAUGAUGGAUAAGCAUCCAUGAAUCAUCAUACUACCUUUUCGUAUGGAGCGGUUGUAUUGUCAUAUGAGUUACUAAUACAAAAACAAUUAUUAGGGCUUUGCGCAGCUUGAUUGAUUCACUCCACAUAGACAUGAACAUUUCUUUUGUAUUUCAUUCGUUAGUUAAUCUAAGUUUUUACAUAUUGUUUCAAAUUGUUCAGAUAGUUUCGUGGUUUCUUUUAUUGAAUUUAUAACCACCAGUAUAGGAAGCUAUUAGUACUAUGAUUGUUGAUACUGAUGCAGAACAAAAAGGGAAGAGAAAGCGAUAAACAGUUGAUUUUGUCUGGUAAUUAUAUAAGUGUCUUUUUUUCUAUUUUCUUGUAAGCAUGGAACGUACAAAAAAGAAAUGAAAUUAGUUCUCCUUCUACACGAUACGUGAAUAAACUAAUUUAGGACCUAUCAUGGCUAACUAAAUGGGAAGCAGCCUGUCGCCAUCAUGCAGCAAAAACAAGCCAUAAUGCCGUACACUUGGCUCAUGCAACAUGCACACGUGAACAAAAGAAGAGCCUAGCUAUUGGUAUAUUUAAAUUUGUUUUCCUUCUCUUAUCCUUGGCGAUAUCAUUCAUACAUAUGUUUGCACCAAAUUAAUUGACUUGUCAAUGUCAUGGACCAGCUAGCAUACUGCUGGUUUUGUUUGUGUGGCUUUAGGUUUUGCGAAUCCUCUACAUAUGUUUUUUUUCAUUCUUUUGCCUUCUACCACUUAUUUUCAGAUUGAUGGAAAGCGAAGUUUCUGAAACAUGGUUACCGAAAAAGGCUUUCGGCCUGCUUUCUGAAACAUGAUUACAUCCUCCUCCAUGCAGCUUUGUGGAGGCUAAUUAUAAUUGGAACUCCUAUUAAUCACACUGGAUGUCAUGCCAGAUUCAUGCAAAAUUUGCCGGAUCGAUUGACCAGGAUUUGACCCUUGGAUUUUUAAUCAUUUACUCCCUCCGUCCGGAAAUACUUGACAUUGAAAUCGAUAAAAAGAGAUGUAUCUAGAACUAAAAUACGUCUAGAUGCAUCCCCUUUUUUCCAUUUUGAUGACAAGUAUUUGCGGAAGGAGUGAGUACGUAGUAAUUUUUGUUGUACAUGGAUUAGUCAAGGUAUAGUCGAUCCACCAUCAUCACUGUGAAUCAGUAUUAUGGAGUCAGAACAUGUCUUUGUCAGAGAACGAAGUAGGAGUAACAAAUGAGACAGGAAAAAGCAAAAGAGACCUCACUCUCACACACUCACUAUCCACCUGCCUCAUGUUAAUGUUGUGUUGAAAUACCUAACUAGCUAGCUAGCAUAUCAUAGGUUGUCCUUCUCUAAAAAAACUAUAGAAAGUUCUUUGCAUGUAGUUAAUUAAGCAAGUGUAAUUUUAAAAGAAAAACUAUUCUGAAGUUGUUGGUCUGUUUGCUGUUGCUAUUGUUUUUGUUGUUCUCGAUACAGGAUUUCGCACUGUUUAUAAAUAAAGCAACAUCCAAAGAUGUACAAGGCCAACUGAUACAAUAUGGUGAGGUAGCCCUUACAAAGCCGAUCUUGAGAUAUCGGACACAAGGAAAAAGCACGCGACUACGCUGCCAGCAACAAGCACCGGAAGAACUAAACAUCCUCACGCUACGAACUAGCACACCAAAGCUCCACGAGAACGCCCCCAAGAGGGAGAACAGCAUAGAGCGUCGCCGCUUCCAAGUCCAUACCGGACAAAGGUCUACACCCGGAGCCCUGACACUGAGAUAAGAAGCACAACGACGUCUUCAAGAAGAGUGUGGCACCCAUGAGUGUCGUCGGCAGCGGCGCCCAGGCAUAGAGCUUUCGCUAGGUAACUCACCUGUGCCACCAUGAGGUCCUCAAGAGUAGCGCCGCGAUGUUCGAUCCCCAGAUCUUGAUUAGGAUGCUGCCCCUCCGAGAGAGAGGGCACGUCUGAGCUACUAACCGCAAUACCUACCGUUGCCCACACAACCCGGGAGGGGAGCCACCAUCACCGGAAUAAUGCCCGCCAAAGAGCAACCAUGCGGCCCGCCAUCAGGGGCCGCCAACCCAGUAUCCCUGUCGCGAGAUACCAUACGCCACUCACAUCACAUAGCAACCAACCACGGUAAGAAGAGCGACAAGACUCCAUCUACUCCUAGCCUAGCCUCUGUCCCAAUGUUUGGUUAUGCGCCUCCACCGUAGGACGCACCCAUACAUGCAUCCCCAGCCAAUGCUCUGUGGACUAGGGGGGCCACUGGCAAGCCAGCCUCGAGCCCCUGGUUAGGCGAUCUCACACGACGCCAUGUUCGUGUUCUCCGACACUGAUCCGCUCAUGAAUGCAACGCUAACACAACCAUCACCACCGAUCACCACCCAAGCUGGCUCACUUCACAAUGCACACAUCAUGGUAGGUAAAGCCUGACAUCAGUCACCUAGCCAGUGACUGCCGACGGCCAUCAUCGAGGCCAGCUCAGACGCCAAGUCUGCGAACUGAGGAACUGGUCCGCAAGCCGGCAUAAUGUAUCCCUGACAACCACAGCCAUGAACCAUCACCGACGCUACAACGUGUGGAGGUGCCUCCCCCAACCUAGCUUCAAGCAUCCAGCUUGGCUUGAUCGGCAGUGACCUAGAGCCAAGAAACACUACUCCAUGACGACUAAGCAUCGAACCUCAUGUGAUGAGAAACCAACCCUGACAAGGACGACCAUAUCAAAAUCCAUGCCCGGUAGCUAGUCUGCCGACGUACGCACCCAGACAAGGCGGGCGCCGCCCCAUCAAGAGGGGNNNNNNNNNNNNNNNNNNNNNNNNNNNNNNNNNNNNNNNNNNNNNNNNNNNNNNNNNNNNNNNNNNNNNNNNNNNNNNNNNNNNNNNNNNNNNNNNNNNNNNNNNNNNNNNNNNNNNNNNNNNNNNNNNNNNNNNNNNNNNNNNNNNNNNNNNNNNNNNNNNNNNNNNNNNNNNNNNNNNNNNNNNNNNNNNNNNNNNNNNNNNNNNNNNNNNNNNNNNNNNNNNNNNNNNNNNNNNNNNNNNNNNNNNNNNNNNNNNNNNNNNNNNNNNNNNNNNNNNNNNNNNNNNNNNNNNNNNNNCAACUCCGGUCACUGGGCAGCUGCACCAAUGCCAACCCCGCCUCUCCAUUGACACCCCCCGCCUAGAUCCACCGCUGCCAGCCAAAACCAUGGCCACCACCCACCGCCCCUUGUCAUGCCUCCACGCGCGUGAGAGGGACUGUCGAAACCCACCAUCGCCAGCUGUCACACUCAGCAGAGAGAGAACCGCCACCAUCACCCGGUGCCGCUUGUCACAACCUGGCAGCCAGAUCCACACUGCCACAACCAUCACAAGCCCGCCUACACAGUAGGAUUUGCUAGCUUUUACAAUGUCUGCACAAUUCUUCUUUCCUGUUUUCUCCAAGAUGUUGUUUUUGAAAUUUGCGUGCAGGUUUAAGGAAAGGAGGAGAUCACUAUCACCACCACCUCGUGGAAGGGGACGUCAGCAUUAGUCAUCUUUACCAUCAUCCAUCGCCAUCCCAUUGUAAUACCAAACCCUUCUGGAUCCAUACAUGUAUUAUCUGUGUGUUUCAUACAUGUUUACCACCACUGUUUCCACUAUUCGCACGAUGUUUGUCGUCUCCAUGUGUGAUUUGUUUCCUCAGUUCUCAGGGAUAUGUACGAACCAUGGUAUUAUAGGAGCUGAAAUGUUAAUUAGGGAAUGGGAUUCUCUAUGUUUAUUUUAAAAGAAUUCAUGAAUUUUGUGAAGGGGCCCCACUGAUCAUUUCCAUCGCGAGGCCACGAGGCAUAUUAUCGAGGUUGUAAAGUUUAGGAUGUUGAGGUCACUUGAGGUGAGAGUAAAAGACUCUCUACCUCACCUUUGCAACUGAUAGGGGCAUAAUAGAGAGCCCUCGAUAAGGCAACUUCCAUGGGGAAACCCUUAAUUACCGUAGUGAGAACUAGAGUGGGGAAGCUACAGUGAUGGCCUGCGGGGUAUGAAGUACACCUCGAGUAGAACAUAUUUUGCACCCGGAUAUGCCCAAUGAAAAAUAUUAAGAGUGACUCAAGUAUCUAGCUAAGAAUUGUGAAGUGGCAUAUGAUACCUUAGACACACUGCAAUGGGAAUUAUGGUGUCCCUGAGAACGUUUCAAUCCUCCACCGUUUAACAUCUUUAUUCGUUCUGCUAUGCUCUUUUAGUUCUUUUGCUAUAUUUACUUUUGUUCGCACUAAACUUAGAAGUCAAUAUAAUCUUCGCCGUUCACUUUUCUUUGUGUCGAAAACUAAGAUGCAGGCACAUUACAAUAAGUGUCUCUUACGGACAAAGUCCAAUUCAUGUAUUCCCUGUGGGAUUUAUACUCAUACUUAAAUAGGUGGAAAAAAACCAUGUGCACUUGCAGAUCAUCAAGCUUUUUCUGGCCCUAGGUGCGGAGUGCUUUUGGGCCUGUAUUACGUUUUAUUUUAUUUUGUGUUUAUGGGUGAUAAUGUGCGCCUCCACAAAUUGUUGUUUGACCGCGGCAAUGGUGGACUCCCUACGUAGGUGUGUAUCGAGUGGAGGGUUGAGGAAGCCCAUUAUGAUUUCAGUUGAUCGUAUGCAAAUUAAGAUUUUUGACUCAAGUUGAGGGGGUCAUUUUCCUUCAAAUUUAGAACCUUGUUUGAUGGGUCAUGAUUUGUGAGAGGAUACUUUUUGUCCUGCUAAGAUUGUUAUUGGAGAUAAUUGGUAGUUAAACUCAUUUUGUGAGUGGAACAUCAAAGGCGAAAAGUGCAUAAGUAAUCAAUUAUUCUCACUAUAAAUGAACAAUGAAAUCUGGGAUGGAGUUUGUCGAAAACAGAAACACCUAGUUUGAUUUAGAUCCAUGUCAGAUAAGAUGGUUGCAAACUCAUGUGGCUCACCAUUGAAGUGUUAAAUUGCAAUUACUCCUUACUUCCUAAUUAAUAGUACUUCAAUUUGAACCAAGUUUCACACACGUGAAGUAUGUUAUAUUGUUCAUAAUACUACACUUUAUAAAUAAGUAGAUAGCGCAUAACAUUGAGGUUGUAGCUAGGGAUGAAAAUCGAAAUAUGGCAUGAAUGUAACAAUUGCCAGCAAUAUGCUUUAGAAAAGAAGUUAUUUGUCUUUUAUUCCCAUGUUUGAACUAGUAUAGGCCGGGGUUACACAUGAUGGUCACAUCACUUUAUUUAUGAUUGUUACAUUAAAUGCUCCAUUGACUAACAACGAUGAUUCACCCGUCUCGUAUUACAUCUCUUCAUUUCAGUCCACCGAUACUUAUAACGUCGCUCCCAGUUGGUUGUUGGUGUGGGGAAGGUUGUUAUGAUUGCUCGGGGAAUGGUUGCUGGUGUGGGUAUGGUAUGGGAAAUUGUUGUUCGAGAAUUGUUGUUUCUGUUGCUAGGGAAAUCAUUGUUGUUGCGAUAAGUAUAUGUUCUUCCAUGAUCUAGAAAAUAAAAGACCUUGCUCUUACCGUCUCUGCAUGUCUGUCAUCAAACAUCAGUAAACUUGUUAAAAUUAAGUGAAAUGGUUCAACUUUUGGAUUACAGUUCUUGACGCCUUGAAGCGAAUUUGAUGAGUCGGGUCACUCUACGAAUUUCACUUCGUCUUAUCACUUUAGAAAACACAACAAAGUUGUUUCCAGAAAAAAAAAUCCAUGUGCAAAGCUUUACUAAUUAUCUUGUACAAACUUCAUAUACUUAGCUCUACACAAACUGUAGAAAGUUCCAAACCUCUGCCGCAAAAAAGAAUGAAACCUUGAUAAGGAUUUGACAUGUAAAGUGAAAAAGGUGAGUCAGUUUUUCCUCAAAAUAAAAUACCAAGCACCAUGCUUUCGUGACAAAUAUACGAUCUUUUGCACAGCUGACCAAACAUCUUUUGAUGAUCAAUACUAUAUUAAACUUGUGGCUAGUGCAACUUGAAAGAAUAUACAAAAUGAUCCAUUUCACAAGCAUGCAUGCAAAAAAAUUGGAAAAUGAAUGAAAAAAUUAACCUCUAGCUGGAAUUUUAUUCAAUCAUCCCAUCAAAGCUGGUACAACAACACUGACUGCAAGAUGUCCACAACCCAACACGUCCAAAACAAAAAUAGAAAAAAAAUGCAAAGACGGCAAGAGGUUAUGCCAUAAAUGGACUUGUGCCGCAUACUCAUCACAAGUACAAAACACAAAUAGAAACAUCAAAGACAUGUAGCAGUAGUCAAGAGAAAUUCACCAUAAAGACACAUCCCCAUCCUUUCCCUUACCGCCAUUGCACCGGCUAGCGCCAAUGAACAUCUCGAUGGCAGCAGGAUCAAUGCCAGUGAAAGGGUUUCACUGACUUCAUCUUGCUGAGGAAGUCCAUGAAAGGAAUCGACAUGAAAGAAAGUGUUUAGUUAGUUCAAAUAUGGAUAUAUAUCCUUAGAGCAUCCUAAUGAAUGAGAAAACCUAUCUUAGUCAUUCAUCAACAAAAGCCAUGUCAAUGCGCUUGGAUGGAUCACACAUUCAGGAACAAAAGGCCAAGGGGGUGACAUAUAUAUACAGUUUAUUUGCUUGGUAACUUUGGUUUAGCACUGUCUUUUUUCCUUAUCCUUGUCCAUUUUAUCCGUGCAGAAAAGAGCCAAACGAGGAAGCAAAGGGAAGUGUUUGAUUAGUUCUCCAUGAAACAAGAAUAAAUGAAUUUCGGACAAAGUAUGGUUGAGCUACGAAAUCCAAAGAUCAACCUAACUGAAUCGGGAAACCUGUCUCCAUCAUGCAGCAGACAAAAGCCAUACUGCUGAUACACUUGGCCCAUGCAACAUGCAUGCAUGAUCAUAAGGAGAACAACCAUUAUUCUCUAAUUUAAACGAUUAUCCGCCUCGCAGUAAACAAGGUCCAGAUAUAAUGUUCAUGCUCAACGCAGGCACUAAAUAACAAUUAUUCAGGUUCAUCACUAAUCCUGAUGGUAAUCGAAGAACGAGCGUGUCGAUGGCGAUAACAUCAACCUUGGAACCAUUUCCCACACGCAUCGUCAUUUCGUUCUUCGCCAGCCUCUGUCUAUUUCGUGGGUCCUGCUUUGUGUUGCAAAUGUGAGCAACCGAACCGGUAUCAAAUACCGAGGCACUACAAGAAGAGUUGGUAAGGUACACAUCGAUAACAUAUAUAUCAUAUAUAUCUUGUUUGGCGUUGGCCCCUUCUUGUCGGCCAGGCUUGGGGCAAUUCCGCUUCCACUGGCUAGUCUCGUUGCAAUAGAAGGACUCAACUUCCAACUUGGGCCCAGCCUUUGGUUUAUUCAAGGGAGGGUCAACUACUUUGCCACUCUUCUUGGAGUUACCAUUCUUUCCCUAGCCAUUCUUCUUGAAACUAGUGGUUUUAUUGACCAUCAACACUUGAUGCUCUUUCUGGAUGUCUAACUCAGCGACUUUCAGCAUCGCAAACAGCUCGGAGACUGACUUGUUCAUCCCUUGCAUGUUAUAGUUUAGCACAAAGCUCUUGUAGCUAGGUGGUAGUGAUUGAAGAACUUUGUCAGUGAUCGCUUCUGGUGGGAGCACAACUCCCAACUCAGCCAGACGGUUGUAAUACCCAGACAUUCUAAGUAUGUGUUCACUGACAGACCCGUUCUCCUCCAUCUUGCAAGCAAAGAACUUAUCAGAGGUCUCAUACCUCUCGAUCCGGGCAUUCCUUUCAAAAAAGAACAUCAACUCCUGGAACAUCUCAUAUGCCCCAUGACGUUCAAAACGUCUUUGAAGUCCCAGUUCUAAGCCAUACAACAUAGCACACUGAACUACUAAGUAGUCAUCCACAUGCACUUGACAGGCGUUCAUAACAUCCAUAGACGCCGGAGGGGGUUGCACACCAAGCGAUGCAUCAAGGACAUAAGCCUUUUGGGAAGCCGUGAGGAUAAUCGUCAGAUUACAGGCCCUGUCUACAAAGAUACUUCCAUCAUCUUUCAGCUCGGCUUUCUCUAGGAACGCAUUGAAAUUCAGGGAAGCUAUUGUGCGAGCCAUUGAUGUACAACAUAAAUUUGCAAAGUUAACUUAGACUAUUGUUCAUGAUAAAUGAGUUCAAAUAAUCAUAUUACUUAAACGACCCACUCAAAUUGACAUCCCUCUGGCCAUCCGAGUGUAAUAUGAUGCAAAUUCAUCAACCCAAGUCCGAUCAUCAUGUGAGAUGAGGUGGUUUCAAUGGUGAACAUCUCCAUGUUGAUCGUAUCUACUAUAUGGCUCAUGUUCGACCUUUCGGUCUCUUGUGUCCCGAGGCCAUGUCUGUACAUGCUAGGUUGGUCCAGUUUAACCCAAGUGUUUUGCAUGUGCAAAACUGGCUUGCACCCGUUGUAUGCGAAUGUAGAGUCUAUCACACCCUAUCAUCACAUGGUGCUUCGAAACGACAAUCUUUAGCAAUAGUGCACACUCGGGAGAACACAAUUUUAUCUUGAAAUUUUAGUGAGGGAUAACCUUAUAAUGCUACCAUCAUCAUAAGCAAAAUAAGAUGCAUAAAAGGAUUAACAUCACAUGCAAAUCAUAAGUAACAUGAUAUGACCACCAACUUGUCCUUUUUAUCUCCAUCUCCAAAGCACCGGCAUGAUCUCCAUCGUCACCGACAUCACACCAUGAUUUCCAUCAUCAUGAUAUCCAUCAUCAUGUUGCCAUCGAUGUUGUCACGCCAACCAUGCUUCUACUACUAUUUCUACCGUUUAGUGAUAAAGUAAAGCAUUACAUAGCGCUUAAUGAUUGACACACAGGUCAUACAAUAAUUUAAGACAACCCUAUGGCUCCUGCCGGUUGUCGUAUUCAUCGACAUGCAAGUCAACACAAACUAUUACAAGCAUGAUCAUCUCAUACAUCAAAUAUGUUCUAUCAUGUCUUUGGCCAUAUCACAUCACAACAUACCCUGCAAAAACAAGUUAGAUGUCGUCUAAUUUGUUGUUGCAUGUUAUACAUGGCUGCUAUGUGUAUCUAACAAGAAUGGUUCUUACCUAUGCCAAACCACAACGGUGAUAUGGAAGUUGCUAUUUAACCUUCUACAAGGACUGCCUUCAUCGAAUUCGAUUCAACUAAGGUGCGAGAGACAGACAUCAGCCAGCCAUCUUAUGCAACAAAGUCACAUGUCUGUCGAAUGAACCGGUCUCAUGUACGUGGACAUGUAAAGUUGGUCCGGGCCGCUUCAUCCCACAAUGCCGCUAAAUCAAGAAAAGACCAAGGAAGGAAGCAAUCUGAAUAUCAACACCGAUAAACUCCUUUGUGUUCUACUCGUGAUGUCAUCUGCUCAUAGACCUAGCUCUGGUACCACUGUUGUUGAACGUUGCAUGGGAAACAAAAAAAAUUCCUACACUCACCAAGAUCAAUCUAGGAGAUGAACAUCUACGAGAGGAGUGAUUGCAUCUACAUACCCUUGUAGAUCACUAACACUACAGGAAACAGGUAAUUUGCCGUCCGUGGAUCACAGACGGCAAAGACGUAAAUCCAGACGGCAAAGAGUUUGCCGUCAGGAAGUAGACGGCAAAGUCAGACGGCAAAGAUAAAUCGGCAAAGAAUACUCUGCCGUCUGCUAUUUUUUCUAGAUGACGGCAAAAACUUUGCCGACAGUCUAUACUGUUUGCCGUCAGCCAGCAAAAUCAAACGACAAAAAAUGGCAACAGACGGAACGGACGGACUGACGAACGGCGUUAGUGCUUUGCUGUCAGCCAGAAUCCAUCUUUGCCGUCAUCCUCAAAAAUCACAAACGGCAAAUAAUUUUUUUAUUUAAAAAAUGUAUUGUACAAAUAAUUGCACAGGCGACCAGGAACAAACUGAUGAAGAACUUCACAGUAUCCAUCAACACUGCUGUUCUAAGAAUCAAAUACGAACGAACGGAUUUCACAAGACAAAACAAAACUACUCUAUUUAACAAGAUAAAUGGAUUACACACGAACAGACUACACUAUGUUACAAUAGAUCAGUUGGAUCUAUACACCCACGCCUCGCUGGAGCAGCAGUUGCGCCUCUCUCCCUUCUCCUUCCUUUCAUCCUGCAUAUGAAGUUAAGAACACACAAACGUCCGAGGAGGCCAAGACGUCAGCUGCCGUGCCGGAGCUCGCCACCCUCAUCCGGGCGCUGGAUCCACUUGACCCCGCCAACUCUGUCAGCGCCAAGCCCCGCCGCCGGCAAAGGAGAGUAGAGGAGGCGGGGGCCCGUGGCGUGCGAAGGCGGGGGAGAAGGAGAGUACUCGGAGGCGGGCGGCUGCUGGUACUCGGAGGCGGGCGGCGUGUGAAGCCAGGCCUCGCGGAUGGGGAGGUGGGGCUGACCGGGCGGCGGCCGUUAGGCGGGGCCAGUUGGCGCAGGGUCGUCGAUGAGGAGGUGGGGCCGACAAGGCGGCGGCGGCGAGGCAGGGCCAUGCAGCGCGGGGUCGCGGAUGGGGAGGCGGGGCCGACCGGGCGGCGGCGGCGAGGCAAGACCAAUCGGCGGCGAUGCAGCACCGAUAGCAGAGAAGACGAGAUCGAGGGGGAGAGAUGGUGUCGGAGUGGGGGAGAGGUGGGUUCGAUGGAUGGGUGGGUGGGGGCAUGGGGAUAAGGUACAUGGGGAUGUGGUGGGAUGGGUGGGUGGGGUCGGGCGUGGUAGAUGGAAAGAGAGGCACCGCAGGUCAGAUCGUGCCAUGUCAUCGAUCCGUGGAUGGAUCCGCGAGGUGUGCUUCUUUGCUUUGCCAUCUGCAAAUACAAACUACAGACGGCAAAAUUCUUUGUCGUGUGCCUUUUUUAUUACAGACGGCAAAAUAUGAUCUUUGUCGUUUGUGUUUAUUUGUACAGACGGCAAAGACAUAUUUUGCAGUCUGUAAUAAAAAACACAGACGACAAAGAUCUUUGCCGUCUAUAGUUUGUUUUGUAGAUGGAAAAGUGAGCUCUUUGCCGUCUAAUUUUUUUCUACAAACGACAAAGUAUAUUUUGCCGAUAGUUUCUCUUUGUUGUCUGUUGAUGACGGCAAACCCUUUCUUUGCCGUGUGCCCCGAAAAAAUGCUGAUGGCAAAGACAAUACUGACGGCAAAUCUCCUGUUUCCCGUAGUGUAAUAGGAAGCGCUAAGAAACAUGGUUGAUGUAGUCAAACAUCUUCACGAUCCAAUCACGAUCCGUCCCACAAACUCCCGAUCUAGUGCCAAAUGGACGGCACCACUGCAUUCAACACGCGCACGACUUGAUGAUGCCUUCACCUCCUCGAUCCAGUGAGCAAUAGAGAAGUAGUAGUUUGAGUAGUCCGAUAGCAUGACAGCGUGGCGGCGGUGGUGGUGAAGGAAUUUCAGCAGAGCUUCGCUAAGCACUACGCGGAAGGAGAAGGACUACGAGGGAGAGGACAGACAGCGCCACGACACAGAUGGGUGUGUCUGCCCUACCUCUACCCCUACAUAUAUAGGGGAAAGCGAGGAGGUGGGAAUGCCCUAUGGGUUCCCUUAGGGGGCACGCCGGCCACCACAGAUGGUGGCGCCCCUAGGGAAACCCGAGGGUGGCUUGCCCCCCAAGCUAGGUGGAGGCAUCCCUAGGGGGUUGCCCCAACCCUUGUGUCAUCAUGGGAUUGGGUGUGGGGGCGCACAACCCCUUAGUGGGCUGGUGUGCUCCCUCCCCUUGGCCCAUGAGGCCCCCCAACACUUAUUGGGGCACCCUGAAACCCAUGUCCGUACUCCGUUGCUUCCAUCGGUACCCCUGGAACAAUUUCAGACUCCGAUACCCUUCGUCCUAUAUAUCAAUCUUCACCUCCAGACCAUUCUGGAGUUCCUCGUCAUGUUGGGGAUCUCAUACGGGACUCCGAACAACCUUCGGUAACCACCAUAAUGACUCAACUAUACUUAUAUCGUCACCAAACAUUAAGUGUGUAGACCCUCCGAGUUCGAGAACUAUGCAGACAUGACCGAGACACCUCUAUGGUCAAUGACCAAUAGCAUGACCUGGAUGCCCAUAUUGGUUCCUACAUAUUGUACGAAGAUCUUUAUUAGUCGAACCUCGAUGUCAAGGAUUCAGUCAAUCCCGUAUGGAGUUCCCUUUAUCCAUCGGUAUGUUAUUUGCCUGAGAUUCGAUCGUCGGUAUAUCCAUACCUAGUUCAAUCUGGUUACCGGCAAGUCUCUUUAUUCCGUAAUACAAGAUCCCGUGCCUAACUUCUUAGUCAUGUUUCUUGCAAGCUUAUUGUGAUGUUGUAUUACCAAGUGGGCCCUAAGAUACCUAUCCAUCAUAUGGAGUGAGAAAUCCCAGUCUCGAUCCAUGCCAACUGAACAGACACCCUUGGAGACACCUGUAGAGCAUCUUUAUAGUCACUUAGUUACAUUGCAACGUUUGAUACACACAAGGUACUCCUCCGGUGUAAGUGAGUUGUAUGAUCUCUUGGUCAUAGGAAUGGAUACUUGACAUGCAGAAUGAUAGCAAUAAACUUGACACGAUCAUAUGCUACAUUCAUAGUUUGGGUCUUGUCAAUCACAUCAUUCUCCUAAUGAUGUUAUCAUGUUAUCAAAUGACAACUCAUGUCCAUGUCCCGGAAACCAUGGCCAUCUUUGAUAACCGAGCUAGUCUGGUAGAGGCUCACUAUGGACACGUUGUUUGCCUAUGUACCCACACAUGUAUUUGAGUUUCCAAUCAAUACAAUUAUAGCAUGGAUAAUAAAUGAUUAUCAUGAACAAGGAAAUAUAAUAAUAACCAUUUUAUUAUUGCUUCCAGGGCGUAUUUCCAACACUUUCGAUGAUUUGUGAGUAGUUUACGACAACCCUUCGAGUCUAUAGCUAGAAUCUAGAUGGCUUCUUCUCUCUCUUUGAUCUUCAAUCCAAAGUUCUUCUCAAUGUUCUUGGAGUUCUAUCCAAUGUAAUCUUCUUUUGCGGUGUGUUUGCUGGGAUCUGAUAAAUUAUGAGAUUAUGAUCAGAUGAUUCAUGAGAAUAUUUGAGUCUUCUCUGAACUCUUUUAUGCGUGAUUAUUUUAGCUUUGUAUUUCUCUCCAAUCUAUCGAUUUGGUUUGGCCAACUAGAUUUGUUUAUCUUGCAAUGGGAGAGGUGCUUUGUGAUUGGUUAAAUCCUGUGUUGCUCAAUCCUAGUGACAGAAACGGACAUGGCACAUAUUUGUAUUGUUGACAUUAAGGAUAAAAAGAUGGGGGUUAAUCAUAUUGCUUGAAUUUACUUUGUCUACAUCAUGUCAUCUUGCUUAAGGCAUAACUCUAUUUUAUACCUAAAACUCUAGAUGCAUGCUGUAUAGCAGUCGAUGAGUGAAGUAUAGUAAUAGAUCACUACAAAAAAAGACACUUUUGGGCCGAUCAAAUUUUUUUUGUGUCAUACAUAUGACACUUCUAUGACGAUAAUUGUGACAAAACCCGGUAUCAUCAUAGAUGGUGGGCUCCUACUUCUAUGACAAAAAAUCAUGACAGCAAAUGGGCUUUUCAUCCUGGGCGGCCGGAGACGCAGCUACAUGACAUUCUUUGGGCCGUCCAUGACGGAAAAAACCAUGGUAGAAGCGAGGGCGGGGAAAAAUUCGGGGAGUUCCCGGUUACGGUGGGAGGUCGGAGGCCGAGCGAUGUGCGUUUCUCUUGUACACGUAUGCGCAUGUGUGCGAGGGGUUGGCUCUAACUGAACCCGAGCGAGGCGUUGGCUCUAACUGAACCCGAGCGAUUGCACUACAAGCUACACUUUACUGAACCCGAGGGAUCGAUCGAUGGUUGUUAACUGAACCCGACCGAGCGAUUGCUUCACUACUGCUGCUAACUGAAGUCGAUCGAUUGGAUGAACAGUGAGUGUUGCAGGGGGGGUGGAUGAACAGUGAGCGGUGGUGUUGCCUUUGGAUGAACAGGACCCCGUUGUGUGGAGGGCUGGAUGAACAAUAGACGAUGGAGGGGUGCCCAUGGAGGGGUGGAUGAACAGGACCCCAUGGUGUGGAGGGCUGGAUGUACAGUAGACGGUGGAGGGGUACCCGUGGAGGGGUGGAUGAAUAGGACCCCGUGGUGUGGAGGGCUGGAUGAACAGUAGAUGGUGGAGGGGUGACCGUGGAGGGGUGGUGGAACAGUAGCCGGUGGAGUAGCGCACGGUGGAGGCUGGAUGAACAGGAGCCCGUGGAGGCCGGAGGAGGUCGACGGUAGCCCGUGGAGGCUGGAGGAGGUCGACGGUGGAGAUGACCAGUAUCCCGUGGAGUCCCAUUUUGCGGUACGCCACACCCCUCCCGAUGAACAGGAUCCCCUUUUCUACUGUAGCGCUCCAACACAAGUCUAUUUUGUCCGUUUUGCGAUACGCCACAACCCUCCCGAUCAACAGGACCCCCGUUUCGACCUUAGGAGGUUCAUUUCCUCCGUUUUGCGGUACGCCACACCCCUCCCGAUCAAUAGGACCCCCGUUUUAACCAUAGGAGGUCCGUUUCCUCCGUUUUGCGGUACGCCAGACCCCUCCCGAUGAACAAGAUCUCGUUUCGAACGUGUCCGGUCGAACACAAGGCCGUUUCCAUCGUUCUGCGGUAUGCCAGGCCUCGUUUCCAUCUCCUGUUCCGUCCAAGCCCUCUCGAUGAACACGACCACACAUUCCGUUCUGACCGAGCUGGUGGGCUCCCUAUGAACACGAUGACGACGCUAUUUCUCCGUUCCGACCCAGCCAAUGUACACGAGCCCUGGACGUACGUAUAUAUGCGCGAGUAGGCAUUCGAGACCCCGCCCGUAUGUACACAUACGUGGCCGUAUUUUAUUUCUUACACCCCGGCCGCUGUACGUACGUGUACAUGCUAUGUGCGCGCCUCUACUACGACACGUGCGCGCCUCUACAUCCACCAAUAUAUAUGUACAUACACAUUCGCGACCAGAAUGACAAUGCUACAUACGCUUUGACCAGGUGGGUCCGGACUGUCAGGCACUUCCUUGCGUGCAAAGAUGUAGCUGGUGGGUCCCAACAGUCAGGGGGAAACAUUUUUUCGUGAAAUACGGUGGCCUGUCCGGUGGGUCCUUGCUGUCAGGUGGAGGAAUAAUUAUUUUGCACUUAAUAAGGAGGCACUUCCUUGCUGCGGCCGUGGACCCAGCUGUCAGCCUCUCCACGUACAGUUCACGUCCGAUGGAAGCCGUUCCUUGACCAUGUUGACCACGCCGCGCCGAGAGCACCAGGGCGGUGGACGACGGCGAGGCCUAGGAAGGGGACGACGCGGAGCCGGGGAAGACGCGGCAGUGGAUGCCCACGCGUAGAGAAGUAUGAGGGUUCACUCGUUCGCUGCGGUGUGAGGUUGCCGUCGCCGCAGAAUAACAGGGGGUGUGGGUGAGUAGAGGGAUGGCCUGGCCAGCAGUGGGAGUAGUAGGGGGCGGUGAGGCAUCCGCGGCAUCACAGCCGGCCACGGGAGGCAGGAGCAUGCGGCACGACCGACGCUGCUUUGGGCGGCUGGAGCACGAAGACCAGAGGUUGAAGAAGCACUACGACCGUUGGAUGGACAUCGUACGGUCACUGGAGCUAGAAUCGUUCAUAUUGACUAAGUUGACAAAGCCCUCCGUCCCCGUAAACUUAGUAGGCCCACAAGUCAGCCUCCCACCAAGGUGAGUCCCAGCUAGCAGGGUGAGUAUUCAUUUUUUGUGCGUAAUAAGGAGCAUUUCCAGUGGGUCCGAGCUGACAGCGAGCGGAACGUUUUUUUCGCGAAAUAUAGAGACCGUUCCGGUGGGUCCCAGCUAUCAGGUGGAGGAAUCAUUAUUUUGCGCAUAAUAAGGAGGCAUUUUCCUAUGUGGGCCCCUACUGUCAGCCUCUUCCGAUGGCUGUUGUUUGUUGACCAUGUUGACCUCGCCGCGUCGAGAGCACAAACGUGGUGGACGAGGGCGAGGCCCAGGAAGAGAACCACGCGGAGCCGGCAAAGCCACCACAGCGGAUGCCCACGCUGAGGGGAGAACGAGCGCUUAUUGGUCGGCUGCGGGGUGAGGCUGACAUCGUCGGAAAAUAACAAGAUGUGUGGGUGGUUGCAGGGAUGGCCUGGCGGCAGGAUAGUCAGCCACGGGAGGAGGGACCAGGUAGUCCCACUGGCGCUGGUUUGGGCGGCUGGGGCAAGAAGAUCAGAGAUUGAAAAAGUAUGACGGCCGUUGGAUGGAAAUCCAACAGUCACUGCUGUGUGUUGACUAAGUUGACAAAGCCUUGCGUACGCGUCAAAAAAAAUUUAGGACAGUGUCAUCGUCAACCUGGUCAUUGACAAAGCCAUAUUCUUUUUAUUAGCAUUACAGACCAUAUAUUCUGGGCACUGCUCAAAAAUUGAACGAAAUUUUGCAUAUUUCGGUGGGGUCCGAAGUCUUUUAAUCACGAAAUUUCGAGUCAUGUUAAAAAUAAUUUUCAAAAAAUUAUAUCAAUAUAAAAUUCAAAAAACAAUUCUCCGCAAAAAAAAUGAAUGAAAUUUAGAAUAUUAACUAGCAAGAUGCCCGUUCGUUGCACAGAACAUGAAGAUGCAUUUGUGUGAGUAGUUUAUCUUGUGGGAGAAAAGAUGGUAUUUUAAUGUAAUUGCCAGUUGGCUUUGGUUUUUAUAAUAGUAGAGAGUCGAGAAAUCCUGAAAAAAAUAAUAUUUUAAUGCAAUUGCCGGUUUGCUUUGGUUUAAAAAUUUACAAGCUUAUAGCCCAUUUUCUGGGGAAGCCCAUUUCUUACUACUUACAUCCCUCCUCGUCUUGAAAGAUUUGCAGCCCAGCAGGGCUGAGAAAAGCAAGUAGGCCGCGCUUUGUUAUUCUUCAAAAAAAGAACUGGGCUAGCCAAUUUCAGAAAGAAAAAAUAUAUCAACUGGGCUCGUCAUGUGUUUAAUAAAAGUGUAAGCAUGGUCUAGACGGGGCACAGCCCCCGCACAACACGCAGUUGAGCUCCGUCUCUGAAACUGAAAAACAACUGGGAGAGCUGCUGGGUCCCUGGUGUUAUCCGCUCGUUGUGUAAUUUUCUCGUUUAUUGACUACAUUGACAAUGGCCUGGAACCUAGUUGUCAAACAAUUAGGAGGAAGUAUUUUUUUGGCUUGUAAUAACGAGGCACCUGCUUGCGAAAUGCAAUGACCCUGGUGGGUCCCUACUGUCAGCCUCUCCACGUACAGUCAUCUCUUGAUUCCUCUUGGUUGUUGACCAUGUUGACAACACCAGACGGCGGCGGGCACAGCGAGCUAACCAAGGCGAAGAACGAUGGCAAGGCCUCAGACGGGAACGAACAGCAGCAAUGGAAGAUGCGACAGUGUAGUGGCAAGUGGAGGGGAGUACGAGGGCAACAACAUGCAAGUCAAGCAUACAAAUGGUACAAAAAGCCCAAGGAUUAAUUGUUCAUCAAAUUUUUAGACAAAACCCAGAUUGAACAUGACAGUAACAUCUAACCCAACAACUCUUUUUUGCAGUCACAAACAAAUGGAUCAGUCUGAUCCAUAAAAUCAACAUCCUGUGCAAUUUUUUUUAUUUCAGGAUGUCUACAACUUAUUGUAAAUAGAAGCCGAGAACUUUUAGAAGCCCAUUUGUCCACCUGAAACUUCUUUUUUUGCUGUUCAAUAUGUUCGUCCGUGAGAAAUCUCUUGCUGUAAAAAUUAAGCCUCAUGGACAAUAGUAACCUCGCAUUCAACAGGAAGAAUGUGACAAAGCUUCUGUUUGCCUGGUUGGAUGCAUAUCGUCCCAUCAUUAUUGUCCUCAAACGAAUGUCAUGAGAACUGAGAAAAUCCUUGUGCUUAUUACGCCAACCAUUGGUUACAUGUUUUUAUCCAUGUGGUUCUGCCUAAGUAGACAUGAAGAUUGAAAACAGUUAAGGUCUGAAAAAAGAGUAAGUCGAAAUAAUGGCAGCUAAACAGUUAAUUCUAGUACAAUAUAUACGACUUUCAAUAUGCAUGAAAUCGUCACCUCUAUGUAUAAAUUCUCCAGAGAUCAAAAGCAUAGCAGCAAGCCAAUAAUUAUGUCCAAAUCAAAACUAUACAUACUAAUAUAUAUGAUCUUGACAGAAUCCAGCAGUAUUGAUAGGCUGUCAAUGGACGAACUCUUCAUUGAGCAUAUAACAUAAUAUUAGUACCCAAAGUGUACUCCAAGAUUAUAUAAAACUUAUGCGCACAAAUGAAAAAUGCAGCAUAUGAUUACAAAUGUGUAGAUGAUAAUAUACGGUACCUGAAAAAGUGAGGAUCCAAACACCCACUCCUUGUCAUUAUUAAACGGGUCAUGAAUUACACCCAAGGUCUCCAGUUUGGGCGCAGAGACGAUAGUUAUUUCUGAAGGUGUAUAACAAUUACGAAGGAGCAACCUUUCAAGUGAAGGGGCAUCUUCGAUGAUGAGUCGUUGUCCUUUAAAACAAAUUCCAAUGCUUUUAAGGUGAGGCGACUUUAUUUGGAGACAACUGAUACCGAUUUCUAUUCCCAAAACAAUCAGCAAGCGUUCCAGGGCAGGGAAACUAGAGUGGAUGAUGUUGUGCAGUGAGGCCACUGACAGAUAAACCACCACAAGCGAAAGUUCUUUUAUUAGUGGGAGUCGAAGCAUUUGUACCAGAUCGUCUGGUAGAUGGCAUCGGGCAAAGGUGGCGGUGUGGAGAGAGGAGGAAAACUGCAAGAUGGAGAACGGUGGUGUGGGCACAAAUUCUUGGUAUGUUCGUGGUAUGAAACUUUCAUGGUAAUGGUAGAACUAAAACUGCUGGAGUUUUACGAAUUUAGGGGAUGUCAGCCAAGCAUCCACCUUGCCGGGUAUGGACAGCAUGUAGCUUGUCGGGAUGCCGAUGCAUUGAACGGGGCCUUGCUGGUGAGAAGAGACGAUGGCUCUGAGGAGAUCAAAUUCAGGAAGGACAGAUAUCUGACGACAUUCGAGAUUGAGGGGCGCGGUGCGCCAUAGAAGGUGCCACCAAGUUGUGAGGACUUGUGUGCGGCAGCAAUCCUUGGUGGGGAGAAGCGAGAUGAUCUCCUCAAGGAUGACGCCCGGGAGAUCGCUGAUGCGGUCCAUCGGAGAGUCUACAGGUUCCUCAGAUCCGGGUGGGGGGGGGGCUCGCCGCUUCUCCCCGGCGCUAACGGGUGCGGGAUCUACAACCGGCGUUGCUGCUAGCGGGAGCCUCGUCUUCUUGGCGCUGGGGCCAGCCAACUCCAUUUUCCUUGUGGGCGUCGCGCCGAGCUCACGGGUUUGAGCAGAGUAGCCAGAGACGAGCCUAGUGGUAGUGCGAGUGGGGAAGAAGGAGGGCUGGGGAUUUCUGUAGGAGUGGAAGAAGAGGAGCAGGCGUUUUCUGUACGAGUGAGGAAGAAGGUGAGCGGGGUUUUCUGGACGAGUGAGGAAGAUUGGGGAGCGGGGGGAAUUGGGUGGGGAGACGAAGCGGGAGAGCGAGCUGUUCGUGUUUAUAAGGCCCGCUACACUAACUACUCGCUUUUUUCCAAGGCCCGCUCUCUUCUUUUGUGUUGCUGCAUUGGAGCUGGCGCAUGGGCUUGGCUGACUGGCCAUGCAUGUAGGAUGCAUGUGCCCGCCGACCACUGCAUGCAUCUGGUUUGUUACUAGGCCUAUUUAAUAGGGUGGUAAUGGAGUAAAUUAAGGAGAUUUAUUUUCUCUGUGUGCGUCCACCAAAUUAGAGGAUGCGGUACUGGAUGCAGACACUCAGAUUAAACUAACAUUUAGAAGAAAAAAAGUUCAGCAUGUCUAUGCAUCUCAAUGAUUCACCAUACUAUAACCAAUAUACAAAGCUGUGAGAAGGUGUGGAAAUAAAGAAAAUCGGUUGAUGCUUCUCUGAGCAAAGGGCCUCCCCGCGCACGCGUUAAUUUCCUGGGCAUGCUUGUUUCUUCUCAAUGUUGCGAGCACUUUGAGCAUGUUGGCAACUCCACAGUUAGCUAGCUGCCUCAUCUUGCAAUUGAUGCUGACACAUUUGCAAAAAACACAUGAGGCAAUAGAGAUGACUCAACAUGGGUCCAUAUUGUGCAGUUCCCCUGAUAUCAUAUUCAUUGUCCUGAAUCUGAAAAGAUAGGAAAACAGUAGCUAUACUUAAACGGGGUUGCAAAAAAGUAGCACAUAUCAAUAGCUCGACAUGACAAAACACGAUCAUCUGGAUGAAGGGGAUACUGACCUGCCUGAGGAAGAUUACAUAUAAUUUCAUAAGUCCUUGGUUGAUUUCCACCUUGGGCUGCACUGCUUGUUUGCUCCUCCACACAUGUCAGGAUCGUUCCGCACUGCAUUCAGCAAGUCAACGUACGAAUAAGCUAAUUUCAUCUUGCGGUAGUCAUUGUACCUAGUUACGAAUGUAGGAAUACCUGGAGUACCAUGAGGUUAGCUGACAGCAGGUAGAUGCAGCCAUAUAAAUUUUGUGCGGUGCUACCAAAAUUGAGGUUUGUAUCCCUUCCCGUUAUGAGAAUUCUUCUUGAAGUUGGUAGAAUGUGACGGCUUGUUCUUUGCAUCAAACUUGCCUUUCCCCUGAGAUUUGUUCUUGUUGUUUUGGGGCUGGUUGGGCUGGAAGUUCUUCUCGUGUACCAUGUGGGCACUAGAAGCUCCCUUAGCGACCCGAGCACGUGUGUCAUUUGCUCUCGCCUUCUCCUCAAAAUGAAGAGUGCUAAUGAGAUCCAAAAAGGAAAACUCAUGUCUCUUGUUUUUCAGAGAAGUAGCAAAAUCGUUCCACGAAGGUGGAAGCUUGGCAAUGAUGUUCCCAGCAAAAAAUUUGUCUGGCAACACACACUUAAAGUACUCAAGUUCCUUAGAGAGAGACUGUAUCUCAUGACUCUGCUGAACAACAGAGCGCUCAUCAGUCAUCUUGUAGUCACAUAAUUGCUCCAUGAUGUACAACUCGUUGCCAGCGCCAGAGGGCCCAAACGUGGCCUCGAGCGGAGCCCACAUGUCUUUGCCGCUGUCAAACGACCGAUAGAAUUGAAAACAGGGAUGAAGUGUGUGGCUGCGCGAUCGAUAAAGAGUGCCAUAAUAUUUGUGUUUGCCCACGUCAAAGAUACAGGGCGGCUGGCCUACUGGAAUUUGAGAGGGCAGAGGUGACUUCUCCGUGGCAUGGAUACCUACCUACAACGUUCGACUAUCGGUGUGUGUGGGUGGGGGGGUAGAGACCGGUCAACUAGUAUAUGUGUGGGGAAGGAGAAAGACCUAGCUAUGUAUUGAGGGAGAUCAAUCGACAUCCGUGUAUAUGUGUAGUAGAGGAAUAACGUUGGGAAAAAGACAAAGGUAGAGCGUCGGAGGGUUGGUGGUGGAGUGGCGUCUCACAAAUGGUGGGAGAGGCCUGCUAGACAAACGGAGGGUAUGAGUGCAAUAUCAAUAAGACAGGGCGGGGGAUGUCUGUCUGUCUAUGCAUGUGCGUGUGAGAGACGGGUCGGGAGGUAUUCAAGGAUGAUGAGGGGAGAAGAUAUGGUUGUGGUAAGCAUGCGUAACUACACAGGAAGAUCAACUGUCGUGUGUCCGAGAAAAGGAGUGACAUAACUAGCGAGGUAAGUGUGUCGGUGCUUGGUGAAAACAAAUUAUAGUUGACCCGGCUAUAUGUAGGGAGAGCAGUUCAUAUACACGCUUGCAUGUGUUAGAAGCAAAUAAGGUUCGGAGAGGCAGACAGGGGGAGAGGGUGUGGCUAGGAGGUGGUGCGAGAGGCCUACCUUGUCGAGGGGGGAGGAGUGUGCGAGCAUGUGAUAAAUGAAAAGAGGGGCGGGAGUGUGCACCUGUGUGGAAUCGUAUUGGACAUAUGGGGGCAUGGACGGUGAGAAGAGAAGAGGGGAAGUAUAUAUGUCUUUGUUGUAGGCACACUUGGCUAGAGAGGUAUAUCGACCGGUGUGUGCUAGAAAGGAGCCGGGGGCCUACAGACACCGCUAGUGGACAACCUAAAGAGAAAUAAUGAACGUGCGCGAUGGAGGGGACGCUAAGGGUGUGUGAGGGGGCGGGCGCGUGCAUGCACGAUAGAAAGUUAGCGCUAGCUAGCUACAAAUAGAAGAGGAUCAUGAAGGUGUAAAAGACGAACAAAGAUCAUAAUUCAUUAUAAAAAAGUGGAUAUGGAUACUUGAAGAAUAUAUCAUAAUGUAGAACAUUGAUUAUAAUUUGGGCUAAUGUGUGGCUUUUGUAACUCAGGUCUAAAUACUCGGGUCGAUAUAUGUAGGGAGAUCAGUUCAUAUACACGCCUGCAUGUGUUAGAAGCAAAUAAGGUCCGGAGAGGCAGACAGGGGGAGAGUGUGUGGCUAGGAGGUGGUGCGAGAGGCCUACCAUGUCGAGGGGGGAGGAGUGUGCGAGCAUGUGACUAAUGAAAAGAGGGGCGGGAGUGUGCACCUGCGUGGAAUCGUAUUGGACAUGUGGGGGCAUGGACGGUGAGAAGAGAAGAGGGGAAGUAUAUAUGUGUUUGUUGUAGGCACAUUUGGCUAGGGAGGUAUAUCGACCGUGUGUGCCAGAAAGAAGGAAACGGGGGCCUACACACACCGCUGGUGGACGACCUAAAGAGAAAUAAUGAACGUGCACGAUGGAGGGGACGCUAAGGGUGUGUGAGGGGGGCGGGCGUGUGCAUGCAUGAUAGAAAGUUAGCGCUAGCUAGCUACAAAUAUAAGAGGAUCGUGAAGGUGUAAAAGACGAACAAAGAUCAUAAUUCAUUAUAAAAAGAUGGAUACAGAUACUUGAAGAAGAUAUCAUAAUGUACAACAUUGAUUAUAAUUUGGGCUAAUGUGUGGCUUUUGCAAGUCAGGUCUAAAUACUUGUCAUAAUGUAGGGGGCGGGGCACUAUACUUUGUGUGAUAAACACGGUGUACGUAUGGAAGAUGGUUUAGAUUAUGAAUAUAUAGUUAGUACAUCAAAUGUACUAUUAUUUGGAAUCAACAUCAAGUGUAUUCAAAAAAUAGAAUUCGAGUUCAUGUAGUACACAUAGUUCAUAUCUAUCUCUAUAGUAAUGAUGUGGUGUGUUAUUAAGGUAAUACACAAAUGAUGGUUCAAGUUGGCAACAAUCAUGAUUGCAGAUACUUAUUGAAAUAGAGAACGAAUUCAAAUUUAGUUCGAAUUGCAGCGGUAGUAUAGACAUUUGGAAUGCACUAAAAUGUUGGUAUGAGUAGGUUACAUGCAUUAUCCAGCAAGCGAACAAAAUUAAUCGGACAUAACAUCGAUUCAUACUCCCUCCUUCCAUCUAUAUAGGGCGUAAUGAGAUUUUUAAGACCGCCUUUGACUAUUGACAGGAUUAAUAGUACAUGACAUGCACAAUGUGAAAAUUAUAUCAUUGAAAGAACCUUUCACCGACGAAUUUAACGGUGUGCUUUGUGUAAGUUGCAUGUCAUAUAUCAUUGUUCUAAUAUUUGGUCAAAGUUAGCAUCGAAAAACGCAUUAGGCCCUAUAUAGAUGGAAGGAGGGAGUAGCUUUGAAUAGGAUUUGUAUAGUAAGACGGGGCAAGACUCUCUCUUUGUGUGGUGUGAAUAGUUUUUUUUUCAUUUUCUUUUUGGUUGAGGGAAGUGCGAAUUGAUUUGGUACGUACAAGUACAAUAUUACUAAACGUUAGGCUUGUCCCUAAAAUUCAACUCGCGUCUUGUUAUAUCUCGAAAAUUCAAAUAUCGUGCUCUCAAAACUAGCGCUUUCACAACCCGCGCCUUGCUAUCCCGAAAUUAUAACGCGUGCAAAAACUCCCUCCAGCUGCCAAAUCCCGACACACGAAAUCCCCCUUCUAAACCUGAGCCAAAAGGGCCACUAGUUCAAAUCGGUGGGGAGUACUUUUGUAACACACCCUACAUUUUGGACAAGCGCGUCCCUAAGUCAUGCUUCACCCCCUCCCAUCACCCCCUUUUCGCCAUUCGAAAUCCCAGGCCCCAUAACCUCUCCGCUUCAGCCGCGAAACCCCACACUCCUCCGUCCGCCACGUCACCGCUGCCCAGCCGGAGCCUCUUCCCCGAUGACAUUGUCCACCGCAACAGCUCGACGUGCCUCGUCCACCUCCCCGGAUGAGGAUCCGACGUCCAUCUCGCCGUCCCGCUGGUUCAGCCGCCCCGUCCUCCACCUCCAGGGAGAUGCUCCAACGAUCGCCUCGUCUAUCGUGGCUGCUCCAUCCCCACAGUGCCGCCUUAACCUGCUCCAUCGGAACCGCAGCAUCCUCACCGACUCCUCGGACGAAGCCGAGGCCUACUCGGCAACACCAAAGAGGUUGUACACUGAUUGCAUCGCACCUUCUCCUUAACUCGACCUCCCGGCGCCGACAGUGCUCCAUCCAGCACCCCCAUGGAGCGGCUAUCUUGAAGCCGGCGCCGCGGGCGACAUCUCCACGGCGGCUCUCCCCCAGUGCAAGGCCCCUUCGGCGGCUGCGUCCAUACCAGCCGGAUCUGCUGCUGCUGCUCCGGCUCUCACUUGCUCGCUCGCGCUGCCGCUGCUCCGACUCUCGCUCCAUCGCUUGCUCGCCCAGCUGCUGCUGCUGCUCCCCCCUUGCUCAUGUUGCUGCUCUGCUCCGAUUAAGACACACUUCAGUCGACUGAAUCGACUUUUGGGUCAGUCGAUUUUCAGGGGUUGGAGGGGCUCGCCAGAGUUAAGGAAGAACCACCCGCAGCGGGGACGGGGGCCGCCGGAGAGGUACCCCACUAUCUUUCUUAGGGUUCAGGGCGGGGGGUGGGGACCUAUAGGGUUGGCCAAGGCGGCGGUGGCGAGUUGCUUCGGGGCGGCGAGGCGACGCUGGGGCCGGCGGUUCGGCCGGUGGUGGCUGGUGGCUCAGGGGGGGGUGCAGGUUGAAGAUGAACUGCAGGCCCUCCCUAAACUACAUGUCAAGUGCCUCUCUGCUACCAUUGCGUUCAGUUUCGACAGUAGCAUUCAGAUUCCACAAUAAAUUUCAGUUUUGACAGUUAAGUUCAGAGUCAACAGUUUUUACCUCAUCUGUUGUAGUUAGGUGGUUUUUGGUGAUGUUAAUUUUACAUCCAUUUUUCAUCAUCUACUGGAGAUGCUAUUAGAAUCCCACUUGAGAUUGACGAUGUCUGUUUUGUGCUGCUUCAGCAUUGACGUCCUAUGGCUAACCGGAGCUGCUCCAACAACAGAACGAUCCAUCACAAUAGAGCAGUGCCCUGGACACCGUCUAUAGAUUCCUCAGAUCUUCCUCCACACCUCCGAUAGCCACCUCUGCCUCAACUGCUUCAGUGACCGACCCAAUGAUGCUGAGGUCGACACGGCUACGGCAAAGAGGUUGUACACUUGUUGCAUCACUUAUUACUAUACAUUCACGUCGAUCCAUUAGGGCUAUUUUGAUUCAAAGGAAAAACAUAGCAAUAGGGAAUUUUCCAAUGGCACUCUACUAUUCAAUUAUUCAUGCAUUUUGUUGAAAGUAAUGAAGCAAAACAUCCACCUAGACCUACUUUUCAAAAUCCUAUGCAUGAAAACAAGACCAAGUGCAUUAGUGCCAGAAUAACAUUCUAACUGUACACGCUUUCAUAUGGUUUCACUUUAUUUUGGCGAGGUUUCUUUGCAUUCCUCUGCUCUUCCAAUUCUUGUAAACCAAACACCCAAGUUGACAGAAAUCCUGUGUUUACAAAUGCUCCAUUUACCAUGUGCAUUUUCCUGUCCUAUUCCGGUGUUUUUCCUAUCCCUGCACUUUAAGAAUCAUGCAAGCUAAAUCAGCUCUUGCAGAAUUACUUCAGUUACAGGUACGUGUCGAAGGGAACUUUGUGUGGUUUGUCCUGCUCCUGCCGCGAUGUCGUCCACCUCACCUGAGCUGCUCCAUCGACAGAGGCAUCCGCCAAACCAUACAUCACGACCCCUGUCCGUCUUUCGCCGCCUCAAAUCUCCUUCCCUGCCGCUGGCACCCACCACAACGACAUCAGCAUCAUCGACUCAGCAGAUGAACCUGAGGAGUACACGGGUCCACAAGAGAGGUCGCACUCUUUUGUUUCUGCUUAUGUUAUGCAUUUCUUAAACUUACCUGCUACUUUAUCGUCCUGUUCAGCUCUUGGACUCCCAAGUCAGGUCCAAAUUAAUACUCAAACUUGAGUUCUAAAUUAGUUGUGGGGCAAAUAUCGAGGCAACAAUCAAUAGUAUGUCCGUCUAAUAUCUGGUUCACCUAGGGUAUGCUAUGUUGUUCAUCUUGGGUGGGAAAUAAAUAGUAAAGCAAUCAUCAUUUGUCUUUUUAUUAAUUUAAAGCAAUCAUCAACCUGCUAUCAUUAUUUUUGGAUCCAUCCACUGGUUAUUACAAUCACUCUAAAUUUCUGCAUGCUCUCCUUACAUAAUCUCACCAUAGUUUUUCAUAUGCAUGUCAAAUAUUGUACACAGUCAUGUUGAACAUGUAGAGAAAUAGAGAAGAGUUUUACGCGGCAAUACAAUGUCAUGCAGACAUCGGUCCAUUGUGGGUUCAAUGGCAAACCCUCCCCACCCCUCUCCAGAUUGUAAUCCAGAGGAAGAUAUCUGUUCUGAGGCGGAUUCGGACGCCGCUGACCACUCCUAUUUACCCCCCAAGGUGUUUGCUCUACCUUGGCAUGAUAAAGUUAGUCAUAUCAUGCAUAUGUUGCCUUGCAGUGCCUACUUUUGACAUCAUAUAUGUCAUCUGCUUAGUUUAGACAUGUUCGGUAAUGCCACCUGUUUAGUUUCUAUAUCAUAUAUGGGAAUUAUGCAGUCUCAUGUCUUUUAGCCAGCCAUAAUAUAUGUGAAAUGUGCAAUGCCAUCGUGUUUAACCAGGAAUCAUAUAUUUGAAUGAUAUCUUGCCCAUCCUUUUCUUCAUUACAUUUCCAUUUGUCGACAAUGUUUGUACAUUAAACUACUCUUCCUGUGAACCAGCCAUUUGGGUGGGAGAUGGCAACAUCUGGUGUGAAAACAAGGCCUUCAGAGCAAACAGUGCUACCUGUCGAAGCAGAUCUCUUAUUGGGUCCGAUAGCUCCUCAGAGAUGGAUUUAGAGACAGAUGACCAGUCCUAUUCCCCCACUGAGGUGUAUGCUCUAACUUGGCAUGGUUAUACUGCUCAUAUCAUGCAUAUGGUGUCUUGCAUUGCAUAGUUUAGACAUCCUAUACACAAUAUUCAACACAAUGUUCUUAGUUCAGACAUCAUAUCGAAUGCCCUCUGUUUAGCAUAUAGAUCACAUAGUGAAUUAAAUGAUGCGAUCCUGAUUACUUAGAUAACAUGUAGGUGAAUUAUGUCAUGCGAUCCUAUUUAGUUAUUCGUCAUAUCUUUGAAUUAUGUUAUGCUAUGCUAUCCAGUUUAGAUAGACAUCAUAUAUGUGAAAUCAUGUCAUGCUAUCCAUUUUAGUUAAACAAUAUACAUGUCAACUUUUUCAUGCCCUCUAUUUUCCACACUAUCUAUUGCAUCUGUCUCUCAUACAAUGUCUGUACAUUCAACUAUGUUUCCUGUUUAUCAGCCAUUUGAAUUGGAGUGGGUGAUGCCAGUAUAUAGCGGACUAAAAACACGGUCUUCAAAUAAAACAAUGCUACCUCUUAGUGGAGAUAGCACCCCGGUUGUACAUGCACAAGAACCAGCCCUACCACACAUAACCCAAACUCUCGCAGAUUGUACCCCUACUGCGAUGGACAGAGAACCAGCUUCACCCAAUCUAACCCCAACCCCAGCCGAUAGUAACCCAGUUCCUGUUGACACAGCACCAUCUCCACCACAGAGCUCCCAAACAAGAGCAGUUAGUAAGGCAGCUCCAGUGCCCAAAGGGCCACUACUAUCAUGGCGAACCCCAACUCCACCAGUUAGUACGCCUAUUCCCGUGGAGGAAGCACAACCAGCUAGCCGUAGUUUAGCAUCUAUCGCAUUUGAUGUUGUUAAAUCGUAUGUGUGUAUCUUCCCAUCUUGGAAAUAUUAUACUGAAGAUGAAGGAAAAUGCCAGUUGUAGGUGUUUGUCCUGGAGUUAUGUGUAAGUAAUGUUAUUCAUGGCAGUUACUUUGCUUCGUCCCAUACAUACUACCUCCAUGAUGGUUAUAAUACAACAAAUUUUCCCAUUUUUCUCUAUAGAGAAGGACCGAUUUGGAAACUCAGGAUGAGGUAACCUGUGCUAAUACCUCUGCUAUCUUCAAGAAUGCUUCGUGGAAGUAUCGGAAUUACCUGAAGAAAAGGUACUUCGCCGACAAAGAAACUCAUCAAAUUCCCUUUCGUUCUCCUGAGACACAUUUACUGGACGAUGACUGGGAACGCCUUGUUUUGUACUGGUCCCGAACCAAGAAUGUGGUAAGGUCUAUGAGCUCAUUUUCUAUUUUUAAGUAUUAUAUCCUUGUGUCUUGCUGUACUCUGUUCAUGUAGAACAAGUGCCUAAACCUGAAGAACAACUGUUCUAAUUUAAGAUUCCAUUACUAUCAUAGUUCAAAAAAGCGCUAGGCAUUAAUUGUGCGUUUUGCCACCGCCUUGCGCUUUACUGGCCAAAGCACAUGCUUAUGCACAGUUAUGCACAGAUUAAGCGUAGUUAUGCGCAAUGCGUUUUGCCAACGCCUAGAGCCUAGGCGCACUGAAGCGCUCGCUUAGGCGCGCCUUUUUUAACUAUGAUCGCUUUGCUCUUGUAUCACUGUAUUUACUCAUACAAACUUAUUUUUAAAUUGAAGGAUCCAAUCGAAACUCCAAUGGCACAGCAGGUAUGUUCACGCAUGUUUCUUUAACAGGUUUGCUCUUAUCAAUAGCUCUUUUGAUUUCAAUUUCAAUUGUGUAUACAGUUGACUUUCAAUAGCAUCACAACAGAGCCAAUAGUGUUGUUGUACAUGUAGACCCGUGGUACCCAUCUAAAAUCUUGUUGUGCCGUGUAGUUUCCCAUGCUUUGUAUUCUUUCACUGCUGCUUUGUCUUGAACUGAUAUGAUUUGAACCGUGUCUCUAUUUUGAUUUGGCAAGAUAAUACAAUGACCAUAGGACAUAGAUAUAUGUUUGUUUGAUGCUUUUAUUAUGUACUAGUACUUGACAAUAGAAGACUUGGUAGUUUAUGUUGGGGAACGUAGUAAUUUCAAAAAAAUUCCUACGCACACGCAAGAUCAUGGUGAUGACAUAGCAACGAGAGGGGAGAGUGUUGUCCACGUACCCUCGUAGACACUAAGCGGAAGCGUUAGCACAACGCGGUUGAUGUAGUCGUACGUCUUCACGAUCCGAUCGAUCCAAGCACCGAACAUACGACACCUCCGAGUUCAGCACACGUUCAGCUCGAUGACGAUCCCCUUGCUCUGAUACAGCAAAGCUUCGGGGAUGAGUUCCGUCAGCACGACGGCAUGGUGACGAUGAUGAUGUUCAACCGGCGCAGGGCUUCGCCUAAACUACGUGACGAUAUGACCGAGGUGAAAUAUGGUGGAGGGGGGCACCGCACACGGCUAAGGAACGAUCCGUAGAUCAACUUAUGUGUUAUGGGGUGCCCCCUUGCCCCCGUAUAUAAAGGAGGGAGGGGGAGGUGCGGCCGGCCCCCUUGGGGUGCGCCUGGAGGAGUCCUACUCCCACCAGGAGUAGGACUCCCCCCUCUUGCCUUGGUGGAGAAGGAAAGGGGGGAGGGGAAAGAGGAAAGGGGGGUGCCGCCCCCCCCCUUCCUUGUCCUAUUCGGACUAGGGGGGGAGGGGGCGCGCGGCCUACCCUGGCCGGCCCUCCUCUUCUCCCUCAUGGCCCACUAAGGCCCAUUAACCCCCGGGAGGGUUCCGGUAACCCCCCGGUGUUCCGGUUAAAUCCUGAUUUCAUCCGGAACCUUUCCGAUGUCCAAACAUAGGCUUCGAAUAUAUCAAUCUUUAUGUCUCGACCAUUUCGAGACUCCUCGUUACGUCCGUGAUCACAUCCGGGACUCCGAACAAACUUCGGUACAUCAAAACUUAUAAACUCAUAAUAAAACUGUCAUCGUAACGUUAAGCGUGCGGACCCUACGGGUUCGAGAACUAUGUAGACAUGACCUAGAACUAUUCUCGGUCAAUAACCAAUAGCGGAACCUGGAUGCCCAUAUUGGUUCCUACAUAUUCUACGAAGAUCUUUAUUGGUCAAACCGCAUAACAACAUACGUUGUUCCCUUUAUCAUCGGUAUGUUACUUGCCCGAGAUUUGAUCGUCGGUAUCCAAUACCUAGUUCAAUCUCGUUACGGCAAGUCUCUUUAAUCAUUACGUAAUGCAUCAUCCCGUAACCAACUCAUUGGUCACAUUGCUUGCAAGGCUUGUAGUGAUGUGCAUUACCGAGAGGGCCCAGAGAUACCUCUCCGACAAUCGGAGUGACAAAACCUAAUCUCGAAAUACACCAACUCAACAUGUACCUUUGGAGACACCUGUAGUACUCCUUUAUAGUCACACAGUUACGUUGUGACGUUUGGUAGCACCCAAAGUGUUCCUCCGAUAAACGGGAGUUGCAUAAUCUCAUAGUUACAGGAACAUGUAUAAGUCAUGAAGAAAGCAAUAGCAACAUACUAAACGAUCAAGUGCUAGGCUAACGGAAUGGGUCAUGUCAAUCACAUCAUUCUCCUAAUGAUGUGAUCCCGUUAAUCAAAUGACAACUCUUUUGUCCAUGGCUAGGAAACUUAACCAUCUUUGAUUCAACGAGCUAGUCAAGUAGAGGCAUACUAGUGACAUUAUGUUUGUCUAUGUAUUCACACAUGUAUUAUGUUUCCGGUUAAUACAAUUCUAGCAUGAAUAAUAAACAUUUAUCAUGAUAUAAGGAAAUAAUUAAUAACUUUAUUAUUGCCUCUAGGGCAUAUUUCCUUCAGUCUCCCACUUGCACUAGAGUCAAUAAUCUAGUUCACAUCACCAUGUGAUUUAACACCAAUAUUCACAUCUGUAUGUGAUUAAACCCAUAGUUCACAUCUUCAUGUGACCAAAAACCCAAAGGGUUUACUAGAGUCAAUAAUCUAGUUCACAUUGCUAUGUGAUUAACACCCAAAGAGUACAAAGGUAUGAUCAUGUUUUGCUCGUGAGAGAAGCUUAGUCAACGGUUCUGUCACAUUCAGAGCCGCAUGUAUUUUGCAAAUAUUCUAUGUCUACAAUGCUCUGCACGGAGCUACUAUAGCUAAUUGCUCCCACUUUCAACAUGUAUCCAGAUUGAGACUUAUAGUCAUCUGGAUCAGUGUAAAAGCUUGCACUGUUGUAACUCUUUACGACGGGCUCUUUUAUCACCUCCAUAAUCGAGAAAUAUUUCUUUAGUCCUCACUAAGGAUAUUCUUGACCGUUGUCCAGUGAUCUACUAUUAGAUAAAAAUUGUAUUCCUUUGCCAAACUCAGAGCAAGGUAUAUAAUAGGUCUGGUUCACAGCAUAGCAUACUUUAUAGAACCUAUGACUGAGGCAUAGGGAAUGACUUUUCAUUCUCUUUCUAUUUUCUGCAAUGGUCGGGUCUUGAGUCUUACUCAACUUCACACCUUGUAACACAGGCAAGAACUCCUUCUUUGACUGUUCCAUUUUAAACUAUUUCAAAAAUUUAUCAAGGUAUGUACUCAUUGAAAAAUCUUAUCAAGCGUCUUGAUCUAUCUAUAUAGAUCUUGAUGCUCAAUGUGUAAGCAGCUUCACCGAGGUCUUGCUUUGAAAAACUCUUAUUCAAGUAUCCUUUCAUGCUAUCUAGAAUUUCCAUAUCAUUUCCAAUUAACAAUAUGUCAUCCACAUAUAAUAUUAGAAAUGCUACAGAGCUCCCACUCACUUUCUUGUAAAUACAGGCUUCUUCAAAAGUCUGUAUAAAACCAUAUGCUUUGAUCAACUCAUCAAAGCAUAUAUUCCAACUCCGAGAUGCUUGCACCAGUCCAUAGAUGGAUCGCUGGAGCUUGCACAAUUUGUUAGCACUUUUAGGAUUGACAAAACCUUUUGGUUGCAUCAUAUACAACUCUUUUUAAGAAAACCAUUAAGGAAUGCAAUUUUGACAUCCAUUUGCCAGAUUUCAUAAAAUGUGGCAAUUGCUAACAUGAUUCGGACAGACUUAAGCAUCGCUACAGUUGAGAAAAUCUCAUUGUAGUCAACACCUUGAACUUGUCAAAAACCUUUCGCAACAAGUCGAGCUUAGUAGAUAGUAACACUACUAUCAGUGUUCGUCUUCCUCUUGAAGAUCCAUUUAUUUUCUAUGGCUUGCCGAUCAUCGGGCAAGUCAAUCAAAGUCCACACUUUGUUCUUAUAUAUGGAUCCUAUCUCAAAUUUCAUGGCCUCAAGCCAUUUUGCGGAAUCUGGGCUCACCAUCGCUUCUUCAUAGUUCUUAGGUUCGUCAUGGUCUAGUAACAUAACUUCCAGAACAGGAUUACCGUACCACUUUGGUGCAGAUCUUACUCUGUAAGACCUACGAGGUUCUGUAGUAACUUAAUCUGAAGUUUCAUGAUCAUCAUCAUUAACUUCCUCACUAAUUGGUGUAGUAGUCACAGGAACAGAUUUCUGUGAUGAACUAAUUUCCAAUAAGGGAGCAGGUACAGUUACCUCAUCAAGUUCUACUUUCCUCCCACUCACUUCUUUCGAGAGAAACUUCUUCUCUAGAAAGGAUCCAUUCUUGGCAACGAAUGUUUUGCCUUCAGAUCUAUGAUUGAAGGUGUACCCAACAGUUUCCUUUGGGUAUUCUAUGAAGACGCACUUCUCCGAUUUGGGUUUGAGCUUAUCAGGAUCAAACUUUUCAUAUAAGCAUCGUAGCCCUAAACGACAACUUGGGUUUUCUUGCUAAACCACAGUUCAUAUAGUGUCGUCUCAACGGAUUUAGAUGGUGCCCUUUUAAUGUGAAUGCAGCUGUCUCUAAUGCAUAACCCCAAAACGAUAAUGGUAAAUCAAUAAGAGACAUCAUAGAUCGCACCAAAAUAAAGUGCGGUUACGACGCUCGGACACACCAUAACAUUGUGGUGUUCUAGGUGGCGUGAGCUGUGAAACUAUUCCACAUUGUUUUAAUUGAAGACCAAAAUCGUAACUCAAAUAUUCGCCUCUGCGAUCAGAUCGCAGAAACUUUAUUUUCUUGUUACGAUGAUUUUUCCACUUCACUCUGAAAUUCUUUGAACCUUUGAACUAUUUCAGACUUAUGUUUCAUCAAGUAGAUAUACUCAUAUCUGCUCAAAUCAUCUUGUGAAGGUCAGAAAAUAACGAUACUUGCCACGAGCAUCAACACUCAUUGGAUCGCAUACAUCGGUAUGUAUUAUUUCCAAUAAGUCAGUAGCUCAUUCCAUUGUUCUGGAGAACGGAGUUUUAGUCAUCUUGCCUAAAAGGCACGGUUCGCAAGCAUCAAAUGAUUCAUAACCAAGUGAUUCCGAAAAUCCAUCUUUAUGGAGUUUCUUCAUGCGCUUUACACCGAUAUGACCCAAACAGCAGUGCCACAAAUAAGUUACACUAUCAUUAUUAAGUUUGCAUCUUUUGGCAUCAAUAUUAUGAAUAUGUGUAUCACUAUGAUCGAGAUCCAACAAACUAUUGUCAUUGGGUGUAUAACCAUUGAAGGACUUAUUCAUGUAAACAGAAUAACAAUUAUUCUUUAACUUCAAAUGAAUAACUGUAUCGCAAUAAACAUGAUCAAAUCAUAUUCAUGCUCAACGCAAACGCUAAAUAACAUUUAUUUAGGUUUAACACUAAUCCCGACAGUAUAGGGAGUGUGUGAUGAUGAUCAUAUCAAUCUUGGAACUAUUUCCAACACUUAUCAUCACUUCCCCUCAACUAGUCUCUGUUUAUUCUGUAACUCCUGUUUCGAGUUACUAAUCUUAGUGACCGAACAAGUAUCAAAUACUCAGGGGCUACUAUAAACACUAGUAAGGCAUACAUCAAUAACCUGUAUAUCAAAUACACCCUUGUUCACUUUGCCAUCCUUCUUAUCCACCAAAUAUUCAGGGCAUUUCCGCUUCCAGUGACCAUUUCCUUUGCAGUGUAAGCACUCAGUUUCAGGCUUUGGUCCAGCUUUGGUCUUCUUCACGGGAGUGACAACUUGCUUGCCAUUCUGCUUGAAGUUCCCUUUCUUUCCCUUUGCCCUUUUCUUGAAACUAGUGGUCUUGUCAAUCAUCAACACUUGAUGCUCUUUCUUGAUUUCUACCUUCGUCGAUUUCAGCAUCACGAAGAGCUUGGGAAUCGUUUUCGUCAUCCCUUGCAUUAUAGUUCAUCACGAAGUUCUACUAACUUGGUGGUGGUGACUAGAGAAUUCUGUCAAUCACUAUCUUAUCUGGAAGAUUAACUCCCACUUGAUUCAAGCGAUUGUAGUACCCAGACAAUCUGAGCACAUGCUCACUAGUUGAGCGAUUCUCCUCCAUCUUUUAGCUAUAGAACUUGUUGGAGACUUCAUAGCUCUCAACUCGGGUAUUUGCUUGAAAUAUUAACUUCAACUCAUGGAAUAUCUCAUAUGGUCCAUGAUGUUCAAAACGUUUUUGAAGUCCCGAUUCUAAGCCAUAAAGCAUGGUGCACAAAACUAUCAAGUAGUAAUCAUAUUGAGCUAGCCAAACGUUCAUAACGUCUGCAUCUGCUCCUAUAAUAGGUCUGUCACCUAGCGGUGCAUUAAGGACAUAAUUCUUCUGUGCAGCAAUGAGGAUAAACCUUAGAUCACGGAUCCAAUCCGCAUCAUUGCUACUAACAUCUUUCAACACAAUUUUCUCUAGGAACAUAUAAAAAUAAACAUAUGAAAGCAACAACGCAAGCUAUUGAUCUACAACAUAAUUUCCAAAAUACUACCAGGACUAAGUUCAUGAUAAAUUUAAGUUCAAUUAAUCAUAUUACUUAAGAACUCCCACUUAGACAGACAUCUCUCUAGUCAUCUAUGUGAUCACGUGAUCCAAAUCAACUAAACCAUGUCCGAUCAUCACGUGAGAUGGAGUAGUUUCAAUGGUGAACAUCACUAUGUUGAUCAUAUCUACUAUAUGAUUCACGCUCGACCUUUCGGUCUCCGUGUUCCAAGGCCAUAUCUGUAUAUGCUAGGCUCGUCAAGUAUGACCUGAGUAUUCCGCGUGUGCAACUGUUUUGCACCCGUUGUAUUUGAACGUAGAGCCUAUCACACCCGAUCAUCACGUGGUGUCUCAGCACGAAGAACUUUCACAACGGUGCAUACUUAGGGAGAACACUUCUUGAUUAUUAGUGAGAGAUCAUCUUAAAAUGCUACCGUCAAUCAAAGCAAGAUAAGAUGCAUAAAGGAUAAACAUCACAUGCAAUCAAUAUAAGUGAUAUGAUAUGGCCAUCAUCAUCUUGUGCUUGUGAUCUCCAUCUUCGAAGCACCGUCGUGAUCACCAUCGUCACCGGCGUGACACCUUCAUCUCCAUCGUAGCAUCGUUGUCGUUACGCCAUCUAUUGCUUCUACGACUAUCGCUACCACUUAGAGAUAAAGUAAAGCAAUUACAGGGCGUUUGCAUCUCAUACAAUAAAGCGACAACCAUAUGGCUCCUGCCAGUUGCCGAUAACUUCGGUUACAAAACAUGAUCAUCUCAUACAGAUAUAAUAUAGCAUCACGUCUUGACCAUAUCACAUCACAACAUGCCCUGCAAAAACAAGUUAGACAUCCUCUACUUUGUUGUUGCAAAUUUUACGUGGCUGCUACGGGCUUUAGCAAGAACCGUUCUUACCUGCGCAUAAAAACCACAACGAUAGUUCGUCAAAUUGGUGCUGUUUUAACCUUCGCAAGGACCGGGCGUAGCCACACUCGAUUCAGCUAAAGUGAGAGAGACAGACACCCGCCAGCCACCUUUAAGCACGAGUGCUCCUAAUGGUGAAACCAGUCUCGCGUAAGCGUACGCGUAAUGUCGGUCCGGCCCGCUUCAUCUCACAAUACCGCCGAACCAAAGUAUGACAUGCUGGUAAGCAGUAUGACUUGUAUCACCCACAACUCACUUGUGUUCUACUCGUGCAUAUAACAUCAACGCAUAAAACCUAGGCUCGGAUGCCACUGUUGGGGAACGUAGUAAUUUCAAAAAAAUUCCUACACACACGCAAGAUCAUGGUGAUGACAUAGCAACAAGAGGGGAGAGUGUUGUCCACGUACCCUCUUAGACCGUAAGCGGAAGCGUUAGCACAACGCGGUUGAUGUAGUCGUACGUCUUCAUGAUCCGACCGAUCCAAGCACCGAACGUACGGCACCUCCGAGUUCAGCACACGUUCAGCUCGAUGACGAUCCCCGGGCUUCGAUCCAGCAAAGCUUCGGGGAUGAGUUCCGUCAGCACGACGGCGUGGUGACGAUGAUGAUGUUCUACUGGCGCAGGGCUUCGCCUAAACUCCGCGACGAUAUGACCGAGGUGGAAUAUGGUGGAGGGGGGCACCGCACACGGCUAAGGAACGAUUCGUAGAUCAACUUAUGUGUUAUGGGGUGCCCCCUUGCCCCCGUAUAUAAAGGAGGGAGGGGGAGGUGCGGCCGGCCCCCUUGGGGUGCGCCUGGAGGAGUCCUACUCCCACCGGGAGUAGGACUCCCCCCUCUUGCCUUGGUGGAGAAGGAAAGGGGGGAGGGGAAAGAGGAAAGGGGGGCGUCGCCCCCCUUCCUUGUCCUAUUCGGACUAGAGGGGGAGGGGGCGCGCGGCCUGCCCUGGCCGGCCCUCCUCUUCUCCCUCAUGGCCCACUAAGGCCCAUUAACCCCCGGGAGGGUUCCGGUAACCCCCCGGUGUUCCGGUAAAAUCCCGAUUUCAUCCGGAACCUUUCCGAUGUCCAAACAUAGGCUUCCAAUAUAUCAAUCUUUAUGUCUCGACCAUUUCGAGACUCCUCGUUACGUCCGUGAUCACAUCCGGGACUCCGAACAAACUUCGGUACAUCAAAACUUAUAAACUCAUAAUAAAACUGUCAUCGUAACGUUAAGCGUGCGGACCCUACGGGUUCGAGAACUAUGUAGACAUGACCUAGAACUAUUCUCGGUCAAUAACCAAUAGCGGAACCUGGAUGCCCAUAUUGGUUCCUACAUAUUCUAUGAAGAUCUUUAUCGGUCAAACCGCAUAACAACAUACGUUGUUCCCUUUGUCAUCGGUAUGUUACUUGCCCGAGAUUUGAUCGUCGGUAUCCAAUACCUAGUUCAAUCUCGUUACCAGCAAGUCUCUUUACUCGUUACAUAAUGCAUCAUCGCGUAACCAACUCAUUGGUAACAUUGAUUGCAAGGCUUGUAGUGAUGUGCAUUACCGAGAGGGCCCAGAGAUACCUCUCCGACAAUCGGAGUGACAAAACCUAAUCUCGAAAUAUGCCAACUCAACAUGUACCUUUGGAGACACCUGUAGUGGUCCUUUAUAAUCACCCAGUUACGUUGUGAUGUUUGGUAGCACCCAAAGUGUUUCUCCGAACGGGAGUUGCAUAAUCUCAUAGUUACAGGAACAUGUAUAAGUCAUGAAGAAAGCAAUAGCAACAUACUAAACGAUCAAGUGCUAGGCUAAUGGAAUGGGUCAUGUCAAUCACAUCAUUCUCCUAAUGAUGUGAUCCCGUUAAUCAAAUGACAACUCUUUUGUCCAUGGCUAGGAAACUUAACCAUCUUUGAUUCAACGAGCUAGUCAAGUAGAGGCAUACUAGUGACACUAUGUUUGUCUAUGUAUUCACACAUGUAUUAUGUUUCUGGUUAAUACAAUUCUAGCAUGAAUAAUAAACAUUUAUCAUGAUAUAAGGAAAUAAAUAAUAACUUUAUUAUUGCCUCUAGGGCAUAUUUCCUUCAGUUUAAUCCUGUCCACCUUACUAAUGAACUGGUUCACCGAAAUGAGUUUCAUAUACUAGUACAUGCUAAACUUGUUAUUUGUCUGCUUGUUUCUUGUUUUAGAAUGCUGACAGAAUAUUGGGAAAAGUGCCUUAUUAAGCAAUGGUAUAGGAGGUAAUGCAGAUAAGGUUUAGGAUAGUGACACAUCCUUGUUGGUCUCCAACAAAGCUGAUAAAACAGCUAAGGAAGACUAUCUUGAAGACAGCGAGACAACCCCAAAGUCCUGUCUUGGUUUAGUGUUCGAGUUACUGGCCACUACCGCUUGCACAAGCUAUUCAAACUCACUGUCUGAAUCAGUUCAGUUUCUUGAGUCUCAACUACAAGCUGAAAGACAUCGAUCAGCUGUGGUGCAACAAGAAGCGGAAGGAGUGCGGAAGUCCCUGGAGCAUUCAGAUGCAUACUUUCUGGUGCAACAGCAAGCGUUGGAGGAUUUUAGCGCCAAACAGGACAAAGCUAAUCAGCUUGCUAAGCUUAUUGCCACCAUAGUGGAUACCCAGGAUAACGUUUCUUGAGCUCUUCUGAAGUUGUUUCAGUUAUGCUGUUGUUUUGCUGUCGCGUUUAUUUGCACUGGUGGCCAAUUUUGACGGCCAGUGUAUGUAGUGUGCUGCUUUAUUCCCAAUAUUUGCACUGGUGGCGAACUUUGAUGCCCAGUGGAUGUAAUAUGUGUAAUAGCGGUAAUAGGCUAGCGUUAAUUGCUUGCUUAUUUAUUUCCUUAUUGUCUUGUUUUGUUGUUUGAUUGUAGUCACUGCAGUUCUUUUUCUGUGUUUUUGUAGUGGCCACAAUAGCCUAUUUUUGGUAACUAGGCCAAAAUUAUCAUGGCAACACACGGACUGUUCUAACCAUGGGCCUCCUGCAGGCCGUAUGAUCCAUGGGCCUUCUUCCGACCGUAGGUUCCAUCAGCCUUCUAUACGGGCCUUAGGGUCCAUGGGCCUUCUACGGGCCGUAGGGUCCAUGGGCCUUCUGCGGGCCGCAGGGUCCAUGGGCCUUCUACGGGCCGUACGUUCCAUGGGCCUCAUACGGGCCAUAGGAUCCAUGGGCCUUCUACGGGGCGUAUCAUCAUUUCACCAAUCCUGGGCCGUACUAUUCAUGGACCAUAACGGGCCGUUAAUAGGUCGUAUUUGAUAACUCUAUGAAAACAGCCCAACGGGUUUUUUUUGACAUGAAAACGACCCAACGUAUUAAUGGUCCGCAAAUGGGCCAACUGUAACGACGGGCUGAAUUUGGCCGACAAGCAGAAAAUCACAGUAACGGGCCGUAUGUAACCGAAUGCUGCAAAUGAGCCCAAGAAUCAAUGGGCCCUGAGAAGGCCGAAAGAUAACUUGGGCUGGAAAUGGCCCAAUGGAAUAACGGGUCGUUAAUGGGUAUAACGUGAUACACUGUUCAUUACAGGCCAGUUUCACCACGGGCUGUUAAUGGGCCAAGAUUUACAAAGGGCCUCAUAUGGGCCGAAAGAAGUCAUGGGCCACACAUGGGCCGGAAGUUAAAAUGGGCUGGAAUCAUAUUGGACGGCCCAGAUGAUGCUACUGGGCCUAAUUCGGAUAGGGCGUAACGGGCCCUGGGUUAGCGGGCUGUAAAUGGACUAUAUGCGAACAGGUCGUUAACAGGCUUUCCGUGGGCCGGCCCGCCACCUUUUGACCAAGUCAAACGGGCCGGCCUUUUCACAGGAAUGGGCCUCUGUUGGGCCGUGCCACGUGUUGCCGUAUCAUAGGUGCCUUCGGUCCAAUGAGCGGAUGACAUCUGUCCCAGCGGUGAGCCGACACGUGUUUCCUCCAGCCAAUGAUGAUUUUACACGUUGAAAAUCCCCAUUGGUCGGGGCUGUUAAUGGGUUAAAGGAUCCAAAACCCGACCCGAUAGCUUAACGGCGUUCCGUUACGGUGGAUGCCACAUGUCGGUCACCCUUGAUGAAAGCACUUCUGUGAUGCGCGAUUUAUCGUCAUGGGAGUGGACACUUCCGUGAUGAUAAUUUUGGUAAUGUCAUCGAACACUUCUAUGACAACACAGGUAUGACUAUCUUGAUCCUGUCAUAAAUUUGUCAUGGAUGUACAUGCAUGACAAAAAAUGCGACCUACUAUGACAAACACGUAUCAUCACGGAAGUGUAUUUUUUUGUAGUGGAUGCAGGCAGGAGUUGGUCUACUUGCAUCGAAUGUGAUGCCUAUAUGCAUGAUCAUUGCCAUGAAUCCAUCAUAAUUAUUUGCUUUUCUAUCAAUUGCCCAACAACAAUUUGUUUACCCACCGUAUGUUCUGCAAUCAAGAGAGAAGCAUCUAGUAAAAACUAUGGCCCCUUGGUGUACUUUUAUCAUAUAUAAAAACACAAAAAUACCUAGCUGCAAUUUAUUUACUUUUAUUUUAUUUUGUAUUUUACUUUAUCCAUCUAUCACUAUCAGAAUUAGUCAUUGCAAAUAACCGCUACGAGGAUUGACAAGCCUAUUAUUUGCGUUGGGUGCAAGUGUUUGGUUUUGUGUGUGCAGGUGCUGCUAACAAUGUUUUGUGUGGUUCACCUAAUGGAUUCAUAACCUUGAUUCUUAACUGAGUGAAAUACUUAUUUGUACUAUACUGCAUCAUCCUCUCCUCCUUGGGAAUUAACAACAUAGUCUACAAGUAGCACUCUCCGUUGAAAUGUUAAAUUGUAAUUAGUCCUUACUCCCGAAUUAAUAGUACUUCAAUUUGAAACAAGUUUCGGACAUGUUAAUUAUGUUAUGUUCAUAAUACUACAGUUCAUAUAUAAGUAAACGUCGCAUAACAUUGAGAUUGUAGUUAGGGAUGGAAAUCAAAAUAUGGCAUGAAUGUAACAAUUGCUAGCAAUGUGCUUCAGAAAAGAACUUAUUUGACUUUUAUUCCCAUGUUUGGACUAGUACAGGUCGGGGUUACACAUGAUGGUGCACAUCACUUUCUUUAUCACCGUUACAUUAUGCUCCAUUGACUAACAACGAUGAUUCACCCGUCUAGUAUUACAUCUAUUCAUUUCAUAGGCCACUGAUACUUAUAACGUCGCUCCCAGAUGGUUGUUGUUGUGGAUAUUGUUGGUAUGGGGAAGGUUCUUGUGAUUGCUGGGGUGGGUAUGGUAUUGGAAAUUGUUUUUGGGGGGAUUGUUGUGGUGGUUGCAGGGGGAAUUGUUGUUGGGGGAAUUGUUGUUGUUCAGGGGAUUGUUGUNNNNNNNNNNNNNNNNNNNNNNNNNNNNNNNNNNNNNNNNNNNNNNNNNNNNNNNNNNNNNNNNNNNNNNNNNNNNNNNNNNNNNNNNNNNNNNNNNNNNNNNNNNNNNNNNNNNNNNNNNNNNNNNNNNNNNNNNNNNNNNNNNNNNNNNNNNNNNNNNNNNNNNNNNNNNNNNNNNNNNNNNNNNNNNNNNNNNNNNNNNNNNNNNNNNNNNNNNNNNNNNNNNNNNNNNNNNNNNNNNNNNNNNNNNNNNNNNNNNNNNNNNNNNNNNNNNNNNNNNNNNNNNNNNNNNNNNNNNNNNNNNNNNNNNNNNNNNNNNNNNNNNNNNNNNNNNNNNNNNNNNNNNNNNNNNNNNNNNNNNNNNNNNNNNNNNNNNNNNNNNNNNNNNNNNNNNNNNNNNNNNNNNNNNNNNNNNNNNNNNNNNNNNNNNNNNNNNNNNNNNNNNNNNNNNNNNNNNNNNNNNNNNNNNNNNNNNNNNNNNNNNNNNNNNNNNNNNNNNNNNNNNNNNNNNNNNNNNNNNNNNNNNNNNNNNNNNNNNNNNNNNNNNNNNNNNNNNNNNNNNNNNNNNNNNNNNNNNNNNNNNNNNNNNNNNNNNNNNNNNNNNNNNNNNNNNNNNNNNNNNNNNNNNNNNNNNNNNNNNNNNNNNNNNNNNNNNNNNNNNNNNNNNNNNNNNNNNNNNNNNNNNNNNNNNNNNNNNNNNNNNNNNNNNNNNNNNNNNNNNNNNNNNNNNNNNNNNNNNNNNNNNNNNNNNNNNNNNNNNNNNNNNNNNNGGGGAGUUGUUCUGGUUGCUGGGGGAUUUGAUGUUGUUGGGGGAUUUGUUGUUGGGAGAAUUGUUGUGGUUGGGGGACUUGUUGUUGUUGGGGGAAUUGUUCUUGUGGAGUAUUGCACUACUAGGAAAAGGGCUACUAGUGGCGCACCAGAUUUGCCUACUAGUGGCGCAUCACUUGUGCGCCAUUAGUAUCACGCCACUAGAAUUUUUUUCUAAUGGCGCACCACUGGUGCGCCAUUAGUAUCUGGUAUACUAAUGGCGCACCAGGCAGUGCGCCAUUAGUUUUGCCCAUGGUGCGCCACUAGUGUCUGCUAUACUAAUGGCGCACCACACUGUAAUGCGCCAUUAGUAACAAUUUUUUUAAUUUUUUUUUCUUAAUCUCAGGUCACUAUUUCACCUAUGAGAUAUCCAACACAUAUAUAUAUACAACAAGCAUCCAUAUAUAAAUACAUAGCCAACACACAAGUUCCAUCAUAUAUACAUACAUAGCCAACACACAAGUUCCAUCGUUACAUAUUACAAAAGUUUCACAUUGUUCAUCCAACACCGUUAUCCAUCAAUUCACAAAAGUUUCACAUUGAUACAAAAUAAAAACACAAAUGGAAAAGAAGCACUCCAUCCAUGCAAGCUUCCGUGAAUUAAAUCAAAUAUGCAAAAUGAUAAACAAGAAGUUAGAAGAAGAAAAAGAAGAAGACUAGAAGAAUACUAGAAGAAGAAGAACACUAGAAGAAGAAUAAGAAGAAUUUUGGAAAAGAAAUAAGAAGAAGACUAUAAGCUUAUUAUGUAAACUUGAUCAUUUUGUGCUAACAUAAGUUAUUUUGGAGCUAACCUAUAGGAAACUAAGCAUAUAAGCUCUAAGUUAGUAUAUUAGAGCCAACUUAGGUAAAAUGAAGCUAACCUAUGUCAUUUUGGAAAAGAAGAAGAAUAAGAAAAAGACAAUAAGCUUAUUAUGUAAACUUGAUCAUUUUGUGCUAACAUAAGUUAUUUUGGAGCUAACCUAUAGGAAACUAAGCAUAUAAGCUCUAAGUUAGCAUAUUAGAGCCAAUUUAGGUAAAAUGAAGCUAACCUAUAGGAAACUAAGCAUAUUAGAGAUAACAUAGGUAACUAAGUAUAUAUAUAUAUAUCAUUUUGGAGAUCUGACAUGCCUGACAAAGUUCAGUUCUCAUGCAUUGUUCUUCUCCUUCUCCUUCCUCAGUCUGAUGUGCCAAGAGCGGCAAGGCGGUGGAGGCGGUGGAGGCAGUGGGAUGUAGUCUUCUACCUCAAUUGGCGUGGUCAUGUUGCCCAGCUGUGGGAUCGCCGGCGCCACCACCGGUGCGUGGUCAUUGUCAGGCACCACCACCAUCGCGAGGCCACCUUCAGGCAUGACCAUCACUAGGUCAUCCUCAGCCACCUCCAUCUCUUGCCCAUGGUCAGCCAGCACCAUCUCUUGCCCAUGGUCAGCCACCACCAUCUCUUGCCCAUGUUCAGCCACCACCAUCUCUUGUCCUUGGUCAGCCACCACCAGCGCUAGGUCAUCCUCAGCCUGAUGCCCAUCGUCAUCCUGCAGCUCCUCAUCCCCACUCUGCUCCUCUUCUCCCGCACUCCAGUCCGGAUCAUCCUUCUUGUUGUCUAUGCUGCUGCCAGAAUCGUUGCUGCUUUCGCUACAACCAGAAUCGCUGCUGCUUUCGCUACAGCCAUGGUCGCUGCUGCUUUCGCUAUAGCCAUGGUCGCUACUGCUUUAUCUGUAGCCAUUGUCGCUGCUGCUGCUCCCAUUACCUGUCCAAAUGCAACAAUGACCGUUAACAAUCGAUGUGAGACAAAGCCAAAUGUAGAGGAAUAAGAAGAGGCGGAACCUACCGGCAUCAUAAUCUUCAGCGUAGCGCAUGCGACACAUAGUCGUGUUGAACACCUUCACGAUGAGCAUGGUGGCGUCGUCGUCGUAACUGAAGAGAAGGAAGUACCCUAGCCGCAGGUCGUAGGCACGGUAGAACUUCUCCCACCCACGAGACAAGUACAUGUGGCCCUUCUUGAUCACCAACUCCGCAUCCCACAGCCUGUGAAACCCGCUGCCGGCCUGUCGCACCUUCACAUUAUUUGGCGGAUCUUCACCCAUCAGCAUGUUCUUAAAACUGUCAGGCAGCCUCUGUAGUUUGGGACAAUAAGUGAUGUAGGCAAACAACAGAUAUCAUAAUGAGAUGGGUGAAGCUAGGGGAGAUCUCUCAUUUUAUAUACCUGCGUCAUGGAUGAUACUGAAGUCCCAAGUAUGAUAGUGAAGAACUCGGAAGCAUCCAACUCGUACUGCGGUGUCGCAGAGCGGCGGUGGCUGCUUCCCGCCAUCUCUAAUAAUUAAGCAGCAGAAGAGACCAAUUAGUACCCUUACAACCGAACAAGGCAAGGCAAGGUAUUAAGACAGAUGUGAACACAUGAGAUAAAAUCUAGAGACGUGAACACAUGAGAACUACUCGUCAUCAUCACCAAUAUUGUGACCAGUGUGAUCUUCAUCAUCACUACCAUAUUGCAUUGUAGUUUCAUCGUGGUCAUCCUCCAAUAAUUCAAACUGAUUGUAUGAUAAGAUAGCAGAGAGAUACAUUCCAAACUGUGAAUGUGGUAUGGCAAUGGACUUGUAAUCAUAUCGUUGUUCAUAGCUAAAAUAACACCUUGUAUAAGACGAAAUCAUGAUCUGGCAAACAUAUAGAUUUACCAGCAAACUUGUGUGCCUAACUAUCUAUAUCUAGGAAAUCAAAGUUAUUUCAACUUUGAUGUUUGGAAUAUACCUAGAGAAACAUGAUUUAUUUAUUUUACUUCACACUCACAACUAAACAGCUUGAGCAAAAAGGACUCGAUAAAAGGUAUCACUAUGCAUAAUUAUUUGUAGCUACAAACAAUACAUGUAAUGAGCUAGAAAAGCCACCUUACCAUCAUUAACAGUACUCAUAAGUCAUAACCCACUUUCCAAAUUUAAUUGGGAACCCUUUCAUAACCAUCACCUUUUCUAAAAAUCCUAGCAGGACAAAGUUGACUACCUUGAAGAGACGUACUAUGUAUUAUUACCGAGGUAGAGUGUGAGGUAUGCCUUUCAAGUUUGUGUCCGUCGUAGUUGAGGUGACCAACUGUUUUUGUUUACUAGCAUAUGUGUGCACGCCUGACGACUUUGCUGGUUAGUGUCUGGUGUGCAAGCUUAAUAUACGGGCGUGCACGUGCAUGCAUAUGCGAUAUGCCGUGCCGGUUUUCAAAAUAAUUCAGUGCCACCGGCCAGAUUUGAACAGCCAAAAAGUAGUGCGGGUGGAGGCGCUGCCAGGUAUGCACAAAUAAACAAAGCAAAAGCAUACUGGACGGUAAUAAAUUUCUCUUAGGUUUUGCAAGUGGCCAACAGAGAUAAAAAUUCAACGACAACAGGGCGGCCCUGACGUGUAACAGGGCACCUCAGCCAGUAACUUAUCAGUUCAUCACACAAAAGAAUUGCACAAAGUGGUGCAACUUGCAAUCAUAUACCAUCGCGGGGUCGAAAGCAACAACAUAGAUUAUCAGAUGAGAUUAUCAGGAACAAAAGUGAAGUGGCACACCAAGAAUACCAAGAAAGCACCAGCAUUCUCAGGUGACAUCAUAACGACCGCAAGUGAAUUGACAUUGCAAGUUUGCAACAAACACACCAGCACUAUCCAGUGAGAUUUAUAUGAGCCCAUAUGGCAUAGCAACUGCAGCUUCAGAAACUACGGUUCGCCAGGUUAACCAUCUGCGAAUAUGCAAGGAGCAGAUGACGAAUAAUAAAUUUGCGCAAUGUCCAAACGCUGGAAAGAGGAAACGAAACCCCUGGACCAUUAGCCAUCAAGAAAACAAGGCAAUUCAUUUACGAAUGACUUCAGUAUCUUGUUAAAGCAGUUUAAAGGAACAUUGACCAAACAUAUAGGCCUAUAUCUUUGGAUCAUCGUUCCAAUAGGCAACAAAGUAAUAAUGCCAUAGUUAAGUCUUCCUACGUCCAACUUUCCAUUAAAAUAAAUCAUGAAACAGAGGCAUCAAAUCAUAGUUAAUGUUCCAUCCUUUCAACUUUUUUCUCACUACUCUAACUCUAUUUUGCCACUUUUUUCUCAUAGUUAUCCAACUUUCCAAAAUUUUCUUCUAUUUUCUAUAAAAACUUUCAUAGUUGUAUCAAAAUGAAAUGCAUUCCAAACUUUGCUGGCCACCUCACUUAGAUGCUCUCUAAGAAACUANNNNNNNNNNNNNNNNNNNNNNNNNNNNNNNNNNNNNNNNNNNNNNNNNNNNNNNNNNNNNNNNNNNNNNNNNNNNNNNNNNNNNNNNNNNNNNNNNNNNNNNNNNNNNNNNNNNNNNNNNNNNNNNNNNNNNNNNNNNNNNNNNNNNNNNNNNNNNNNNNNNNNNNNNNNNNNNNNNNNNNNNNNNNNNNNNNNNNNNNNNNNNNNNNNNNNNNNNNNNNNNNNNNNNNNNNNNNNNNNNNNNNNNNNNNNNNNNNNNNNNNNNNNNNNNNNNNNNNNNNNNNNNNNNNNNNNNNNNNNNNNNNNNNNNNNNNNNNNNNNNNNNNNNNNNNNNNNNNNNNNNNNNNNNNNNNNNNNNNNNNNNNNNNNNNNNNNNNNNNNNNNNNNNNNNNNNNNNNNNNNNNNNNNNNNNNNNNNNNNNNNNNNNNNNNNNNNNNNNNNNNNNNNNNNNNNNNNNNNNNNNNNNNNNNNNNNNNNNNNNNNNNNNNNNNNNNNNNNNNNNNNNNNNNNNNNNNNNNNNNNNNNNNNNNNNNNNNNNNNNNNNNNNNNNNNNNNNNNNNNNNNNNNNNNNNNNNNNNNNNNNNNNNNNNNNNGGGAAGAAGUGGGCGCGGGGGCGGGGGUCGGGGCGGUGGCGCCAGGGGACGGAGGGGGCGUGGGGGCGCGGGGGCGCGGCGGCGGCGUAUGGUUGGGGCGGAGGGGGCGUACUGAGUGGGGAGGAAGGGAGGGAGAGGGAAUAAGUUUUUUGCCAAAAAGUAAAAAAUAAAUAAAUUUACUGACGCACUCUGUCUCUAGUGCGCCAUUAGUAGUUCUAACUACUAAUGGCGCACUUUGCCCGGAUGCGCCAUUAGAAUGUUUGAAAAAAUGAAAAAAAAUUGUUUUACUAGUGGCGCACCUUCUGCCUGGUGCGCCAUUAGUGUAUUCCACACUAAUGGCGUAUCUCCACCAGGUGCGCCAUUAGUAUAUAGUAGUGGCGCACCACUUCUCUGGUGCGCCAUUAGUGUCAGUCCUAUCUUUAGCCCUUUUCCUAGUACUGUUGAAUUCCUUGCCUCUAGGGCUUAACUGCCUACUGGCACUGGCGAUGUUCAUCGCCAUGGCAAGGAGGACAAAUAUGAUGAAGGUCUUCAUGUUUGAUUUGUGUUUACUAUUGCUCACUUGGCUUUGAUGUUUCAGCUCUAGGUGCUUGAAGGUUAGAUGAUGGAAGAGACCCUCAUGGUGUAGUCAUAUUUAUAGCUGGCAUCGCACAUUUUUUUUGAUCUUCACACUCAUUUCUUGAAAAAGUGCUCUUAAGCUUAUCGACCUAAUAAUUAGGUAUGUUGUGUUUGAUGGCACUACUUACUAGGGUGACUUUGGAUUGUUCAUCAUAGUUGAUUCUUCUUUCUCAUAUCAUCUGGGUGUAUCAAAUGCUUGAUAACGAAUAAUGAAUCAUCGUAUUCACUUUACACUUCAAAUAUCGAUCUAGAUUUUGUCCGUCUUUCUGAUUUAGCUUGUGCUGUUCUGCAUGUUGUUGUUGGAAAUAUGCCCUAGAGGCAAUAAUAAAAUGGCUAUUAUUGUAUUUCCUUGUUCAUGAUAAUUGUCUAUUAUUCAUGCUAUAAUUGUAUUGACCGGAAACCGCAAUACAUGUGUGAAUACAUAGACCACAACAUGUCCCUAGUGAGACUCUAGUUGACUAGCUCGUUGAUCAACAGAUGGUCAUGGUUUCCUCACCAUGGACAUUGGAUGUCAUUGAUAACGGGAUCACAUCAUUAGGAGAAUGAUGUGAUGGACAAGACCCAAUCCUAAGCCUCGCACAAGAUCGUGUAGUUCGUAUGCUAAAGUUUUUCUAAAUGUCAAGUGUCUUUUCCUUAGACCAUGAGAUUAUGCAACUCCCGGAUACCAUAGGAAUGCUUUCGCUGUACCAAACGUCACAACGUAACUGGGUGGCUAUAAAGGUGCACUACGGGUAUCUCCGAAAGUGUCUGUUGGGUUGGCACGAAUCGAGACUGGGAUUUGUCACUCUGUGUGACGGAGAGGUAUCUCUGGGCCCACUCGGUAGGACAUCAUCAUAAUGUGCACAAUGUGAUCAAGGAGUUGAUCACGGGAUGAUGUGUUACGGAACGAGUAAAGAGACUUGCCGGUAACGAGAUUGCACAAGGUAUCGGCAUACCGACGAUCGAAUCUCGGGCAAGUACUAUACCGGUAUACAAAGGGAAUUGUAUACGGGAAUGAUUGAAUCCUUGACAUCAUGGUUCAUCUGAUGUGAUCAUCGUGGAACAUGUGGGAGCCAACAUGGGUAUCCAGAUCCCGCUGUUGGUUAUUGGCCGGAGAGUUGUCUCGGUCAUGUCUGCAUGGUUCCCGAACCCGUAGGGUCUACACAGUUAAGGUUCGAUGACGCUAGGGUUAUAGGGAAGGUAUGUAUGCGGUUACCGAAUGUUGUUCGGAGUCCCAGAUGAUAUCCCGGACAUCACGAGGAGUCCCAGAAUGGUCCGGAGGUGAAGAUUGAUAUAUUGGACGAAGGGUUUUGGAGUCCGGAAGUGUUCCGGAGGUACCGGGUGAUGACCAGCAUGACCGAAAGGUGUUUCGGGAGCCCCGGCAAGUGUUGGGGGGGAUUCAUGGGCCAAGGGGAGGGGGCAAACCAGCCCACUAAGGGGCUGUGCGCCCCCCCCCCCUCACCUAUUCCCACGUGACCGGGUGGUUUGGGGCGCCCCAUCUAGGGUUCCCACCUCCUGGCUUGGGGGCCAAGUCACCCAAAGGGGAGAUCCCAUCUGCCCUGGCCCCCCCCUAGGGAAACCCUAGGGCGCCUCCCCCUCUCCCUUCCCCCUAUAUAUAAUGGAGAUUUUGGGGCUGCCCAACACAUGAGUCUAUCUCUCCCAAGGUGCAGCCCUACCUCUCUCCCUCCUCGUCUCUCGUAGUGCUUGGUGAAGCCCUGCUGGAGUACCGCGCUCCUCCACCACCACCACGCCGUCGUGCUACUGCUGGACGGAGUCUUCCCCAACCUCUCCCUCUCUCCUUGCUGGAUCAAGGCAUGGGAGACGUCACCGGGUUGCACGUGUGUUGAGCGUGGAGGCGCCGUUGUUCGACACUUAGAUCGGAAUCGACCGCGAUCUGAAUCGCCACGAGUACGACUACCUCAUCCGCGUUCUUGUAACGCUUCGGCUUAGCGAUCUACAAGGGUAUAUAGAUGCACUCCCCUCUCUCUUUUGUUGCUAGAAUCUCCAUAGAUUGAUCUUGGUGAUGCGUAGAUAAUUUUGAAUUUCUGCUACGUUCCCCAACAGUGGCAUCAUGAGCAAGGUCUAUUGCGUAGAUUCUAUGCACGAGUAGAACACAAGUUGUUGUGGCGUUGAUUUUGUUCAAUAUGCUUACUGUUACUAGUCCUAUCUUGUUUCGACUGUAUUUUGGGAUGAAGCAGCCCGGACCGACCUUACAUGUACACUUACGUGAGACAGGUUCCACCGAAUGACAUGCACUUGUUGCAUAAGGUGGCUAGCGGGUGCCAGUCUCUCCCACUUUAGUCGGAUCGGAUUCAAUGAAAAGGGUCCUUAUGAAGGGUAAAUAGCAAUUGGCAUAUCACGUUGUGGCUUCUACGUAGGUAAGAAAUGUUCUUGCUAGAAACCCAUAGCAGCCACGUAAAACAUGCAAACAACAAUUAGAGGGCGUCUAACUUGUUUUAGCAGGGUAUGCUAUGUGAUGUGAUAUGGCCAAAAGAAUGUGAUCAAUGAUAUGUGAUGUAUGAGAUUGAUCAUGUUCUUGUAAUAGGAAUCACGACUUGCAUGUCGAUGAGUAUGACAACCGGCAGGAGCCAUAGGAGUUGUCUUUAUUUAUUGUAUGACCUGCGUGUCACUGAAUAACGCCAUGUAAUUACUUUACUUCAUUGCUAAACCGUUAGCCAUAGUAGUAGAAGUAAUAGUUGGCGAGACAACUUCAUGGAGACACGAUGAUGGAGAUCAUGAUGAUGGAGAUCAUGGUGUCAUGCCGGUGACGAUGAUGAUCAUGGAGCCCCGAAGAUGGAGAUCAGAAGGUGAAAAAUGAUAUUGGCCAUAUCAUGUCACCUUUUGAUUGCAUAUGAUGUUUAUCAUGUUUAUGCAUCUUAUUUUCUUAGAGCGAUGGUAGUAAAUUAGAUGAUCCCUCAUAAUAAUUUCAAGAAAGUGUUCCCCCUAACUAUGCACCGUUGCGAAAGUUCGUUGUUUCAAAGCACCACGUGAUGAUUGGUUGUGAUAGAUUCUAACGUUCAGAUACAACGGGUGUAAGCCAGAUUUACACACGCGAAACACUUAGGUUGACUUGCUGAGCCUAGCAUGUACAGACAUGGCCUCGGAACACAAGAGACUCAAAGGUCGAACAUGAGUCUUAUAGUGGAUACGAUCAACAUGAAGAUGUUCACCGAUGAUGACUAGUCUGUCUCCCGUGAUGAUCAGACACGGCCUAGUUGACUCAGAUCAUGUAUCACUUAGAUGACUAGAGGGAUGUCUAUCUGAGUGGGAGUUCAUAAGAUGAACUUAAUUAUGCUGAACAUAGUCAAAAGGUUUUUGAAAAUUAUGCCGUAGCUCGCGCUUUAAUUCUGUUGUUUUAGAUAUGUUCCUCGAGAAAAUUUAGUUGAAAAUUGAUAGUAGCAAUUAUGAGGACUCGGUCUGUAAACUGAGGAUUGUCCUCAUUGCUGCGUAGAAGGCUUAUGUCCUUAAUGCAUCACUCGGUGUGCUGAACCUCGAACGUCGUUUGUGGAUGUUGCGAACAUCUGACAUACACGUUUUGAUGGCUACGUGAUAGUUUAGUGGGUAAUGUUAAAUGGUUUAGAAUUGAGGCACCGAAGACAUUUUUGAAAUGUCGCAGAACAUAUGAGAUGUUCCAAGAGCUGAAAUUGGGAUUUCAGGCUCGUGCCCACGUCAAGAGGUAUAAGACCUCCGACGAGCUUCUUAGCCUACAAACUAAGGGAGAAAAGCUCAAUCGUUGAGCUUGUACUCAGAUUUUCUGGGUACAACAAUCACUUGAAUCGAGUGGGACUUAAUCUUCCAGAUGAGAUAGUGAUGUUUCUCCAAAGACAUUGCCACCAAGCUACUAGAGCUUCGUGAUGAACUAUAACAUAACGGGGAUAGAUAUGAUGAUCCUUGAGCUAUUCGCGAUGUUCGACACCGCGAAAGUAGAAAUCAAGUAGGAGCAUCAAUUGCUGAUGGUUAGUAAAACCACUAGUUUCAAGAAGGGCAAGGGCAAGAAGGGAUACUUCAUGAAACAGCAAAACAGUUGCUGCUCUAGUGAAAGACCCAAGGUUGAACCCAAACCCGAGACUAAGUGCUUCUGUAAUGAGAGGAACGGACACUAAAGCAGAACCACCCUAGAUACUUGGUAGAUAAGAAGGCAGGCAAGGUCGACGGAAGUAUAUUGGAUAUACAUCAUAUUAUUGUGUACUCUACUAGUACUCCUAGUAGCACCAUGAUAAUAGAUACCGGUUCAGUUGCUAAGUGCUAGUAACUCGAAAUAAAAGGCUACGGAAUAAACGGAGACUAGCUAAAGGUGAGAUAACGAUGUGUGUUGGAAGUGUUUCCAAGGUUGAUGUGAUCAAACAUCGCACGCUCUCUCUACCAUCGGGAUCGGUGUUAAACCUACAUAAUUGUUAUUUGGUGUUUGCGUUGAGCAUAGACAUGAUUGGAUUAUGUCUAUCGCAAUAAGGUUAUUCAUUUCAGGAGAAUAAUGGUUAAUCUAUUUAUUUGAAUAAUACCUUCAAUGGUCUUGCACCUAAAAUGAAUGGUUUAUUGAAUCUCGAUCGUAGUGAUACACAUGUUCAUGCCAAAAGAUAUAAGAUAGUAAUGAUAGUACCACCUAAUUGCGGCACUGCCAUGUAAGUCAUAUUGGUAUAAAACGCAUGAAGAAGCUCCAUGUUGAUGGAUCUUUGGACUCACUCGUUUCCGAAAACUUUGAGACAUGUGAACCAUGUCUAUUGGUAUGUGCGCAUGAAGAAACUCCAUGCAGAUGGAUCAUUUGGACUCACUUGAUUCUAAAUCACUUGAGACAUGCAAAUCAUACCACAUGGGCAAGAUGACUGAAAAGCCUUGUUUUCAGUAAGAUGGAACAACAGAGCAACUUGUUGGAAGUAAUACAUUUUGAUGUGUGAUGUCCAAUGAAUGCCGAGGCACGCAGUGGAUAUCGUUAUGUUCUUACUUCACAGAUGUUUUGAGUAGAUGCUAAGUAUAUUUACUUGAUGAAACACAAGUCUGAAUUAUUGAAAGGUUCAAGUAAUUUCAGAGUGAAGUUGAAGAUCGUCGUGACAAGUGGAUAAAAUGUCUAUGAUAUGAUCAUAGAGAUGAAUAUCUGAGUUGCGAGUUUGGUACACAAUUAAGACAUUGUGGAAAUUGUUUCACAACUAACACCGCCUGGAACACCAUAGUGUGAUGGUGUGUCCGAACAUCAUAACUGCACCCUAUUUGAUAUGGUGCAUGCCAUGAUGUCUCUUAUCGAAUUACCACUAUCGUUUAUGGGUCAAGCAUUAGAGACAACCACAUUCACUUUAAAUAGGGCACCACGUAAUUCCGUUGAGACGACAUCGUAUGAACUAUGGUUUAGAGAAACCUAAGCUGUCAUUUCUUAAAAGUUUGGGGCUGCGACGCUUAUGUGAAAAGGUUUCAGCCAGAUAAGCUCGAACCCAAAGCGGAUAAAUACAUCUUCAUAGGACACCCCAAAACAGUUGGGUAUAACUCCUAUUUCAGAUCCGGAAGCAAAAGUGAUUGUUUCUAGAAACGGGUCCUUUCUCGAGGAAAAGUUUCUCUCGAAAGAAUUGAGUGGGAGGAUGGUGGAGACUUGAUGAGGUUAUUGAACCGUCACUUCAACUAGUGUGUAGCAGGGCACGGGAAGUUGUUCCUGUGGCGCCUACACCAAUUGAAGUGGAAGCUGAUGAUAUUGAUCAUGAAACUUCGGAUCAAGUCACUACCAAAACUCAUAGGUUGACAAGGAUACAUACUACUUCGGAGUGGUACGUAAUCCUGUCUUGGAGGUCAUGUUGCUAGACAAAAAUGAACCUAUGAGCUAUGAAAGAAGCGAUGGUGGGCCCGGAUUCCGAUGAAUGGCUCGAGGCCAUAAAAUCCGAGAGAAGAUCCAUGUAUGAAAACAAAGUAUAGACUUUGUAAGAACUACUUGAUGGUCGUAAGGCUGUUGGGUACAGAUGGAUUUUAAAAGAAAGACGGACAAUGAUGGUAAGUAUCACCAUUAAGAAAGCUCGACUUGUCUUUAAGAUGUUUUCCGACAAGUUCAAGGAGUUGACUGCAAUGAGACUUUCUCAUUUGUAGCGAUGGUAAGAGUCUGUUGGAACUAUAUUAGCAAUUACUGCAUGAUUUAUGAAAUCUUGCAGAUAGGGUGUCAAAACAGUGUUUCCUCGACAAUAUUCUUGAGGAAAGGUUGUAUGUGAUACAACCAGAAGGUUUUGUCAAUCCUGAAAGAUGCUAACAAGUGUGCAAAGCUCCAGCAAUCCUUCUAGGGACUGGAGUAAGCAUCUCGGAGUUGGAAUAUACACUUUGAUGAGAUGAUCAAAGAUUUUGGGUUUAUACAAAGUUUAUGAGAAACUUGUAUUUCCAAAGAAGUGAGUGGGAGCACUAUAGCAUUUCUGAUGAGUAUAUGUUGUUGACAUAUUGUUGAUCGGAAAUGAUGUAGAAUUUCUGGAAAGCAUAUAGGGUUAUUUGAAAAGUGUUUUUCAAUGGAAAACCUAGAUUAAGCUACUUGAACAUUGAGCAUCAAGAUCUAUAAUGAUAGAUCAAAACGCUUAAUAGUACUUUCAAAUGAAUACAUACAGUGACAAGAUUUUGAAGGAGUUCAAAAUAGAUCAGCAAAGAAGGAGUUCUUGGCUGUGUUAUAUGGUGUGAGUAUUGAGUAAGACUCAAGACAUGACCAUGGCAGAAGAGAGAGAAAGGACGAAGGUCGUCCCCUAUGCUUCAGACGUAGGCUCUAUAGUAUGCUAUGCUGUGUACCGCACCGGAAGUGUGCCUUGCCAUGAGUCAGUCAACGGGUACAAGAGUGAUCCAGGAAUGGAUCACAGGACAGUGGUCAAACUUAUCCUUAGUAACUAGUGGACUAAGGAAUUUUCUUGAUUAUGGAGGUGGUAAAAGAGUUCAUCGUAAAGGGUUACGCCGAUGCAAACUUUGACACUAAUCCAUAUUAUUCUGAGUAGUACACCGGAUUCGUAUAGUAGAACAGUUAUUUGGAAUAGCUCCAAAUAGAGCGUGGUAGCUGCAUCUAGGAGAUGACAUAGAGAUUUGCAAAGCACACAUGGAUCUGAAAGGUUCAGAUCCGUUGACUAAUAACCUCUCUCACAAGCGAGAUAUGAUCAAACCCCAUGGGUGUCGAUGCAUUACAAUCACAUAGUGAUGUGAACUAGAUUAUUGACUCUAGUGCAAGUUGGAGACUGUUGGAAAUAUGCCCUAGAGGCAAUAAUAAAAUGGUUAUUAUUGUAUUUCCUUGUUCAUGAUAAUUGUCUAUUAUUCAUGCUAUAAUUGUAUUGACCGGAAACCGCAAUACAUGUGUGAAUACAUAGACCACAACAUGUCCCUAGUGAGCCUCUAGUUGACUAGCUUGUUGAUCAACAGAUGGUCAUGGUUUCCUGACCAUGGACAUUGGAUGUCAUUGAUAACGGGAUCACAUCAUUAGGAUAAUGAUGUGAUGGACAAGACCCAAUCCUAAGCCUAGCACAAGAUCGUGUAGUUCGUAUGCUAAAGCUUUUCUAAAUGUCAAGUAUCUUUUCCUUAGACCAUGAGAUUGUGCAACUCCCGGAUACCGUAGGAAUGCUUUGGGUGUACCAAACGUCACAACGUAACUGGGUGGCUAUAAAGGUGCACGACGGGUAUCUCCGAAAGUGUCUGUUGGGUUGGCACGAAUUGAGACUGGGAUUUGUCACUCCGAGUGACGGAGAGGUAUCUUUGGGCCCACUCGGUAGGACAUCAUCAUAUUGUGCACAAUGUGAUCAAGGAGUUGAUCAUGGGAUGAUGUGUUACGAAACGAGUAAAGAGACUUGCCGGUAACGAGAUUGCACAAGGUAUCGGCAUACCGACGAUCGAAUCUCGGGCAAGUACUAUACCGGUAUACAAAGGGAAUUGUAUACGGGAAUGAUUGAAUCCUUGACAUCAUGGUUCAUCUGAUGUGAUCAUCGUGGAACAUGUGGGAGCCAACAUGGGUAUCCAGAUCCCGAUGUUGGUUAUUGGCCGGAGAGUUGUCUCGGUCAUGUCUGCAUGGUUCCCGAACCCGUAGGGUCUACACAGUUAAGGUUCGAUGACGCUAGGGUUAUAGGGAAGGUAUGUAUGCGGUUACCGAAUGUUGUUCGGAGUCCCAGAUGAGAUCCCGGACGUCACGAGGUGUCCCGAAAUGGUACGGAGGUGAAGAUUGAUAUAUUGGACGAAGGGUUUUGGAGUCCGGAAGUGUUCCGGAGGUACCGGGUGAUGACCAGCAUGACCGAAAAGUGUUUCGGGAGCCCCGACAAGUGUUGGGGGGGCUUCAUGGGCCAAGGGGAGGGGGCAAACCAGCCCACUAAGGGGCUGUGCGCCCCCCUCACCUAUUCCCACGUGACCAGGGGGUUUGGGGCGCCCCAUCUAGGGUUCCCACCUCCUGGCUUGGGGGCCAAGUCACCCAAAGGGGAGAUCCCAUCUGCCCUGGCCGCCGCCCCACUAGGGAAACCCUAGGGCGCCUCCCCCUCUCCCUUCCCCCUAUAUAUAGUGGAGGUUUUGGGGCUGCCCAACACAUGAGUCUAUCUCUCCCAAGGCGCAGCCCUACCUCUCUACCUCCUCGUCUCUCGUAGUGCUUGGUGAAGCCCUGCUGGAGUACCGCGGUCCUCCACCACCACCACGCCAUCGUGCUGCUGCUGGAUGCAGUAUUCCCCAACCUCUCCCUCUCUCCUUGCUGGAUCAAGGCAUGGGAGACGUCACCAGGCUACACGUGUGUUGAACGCGGAGGCGCCGUUGUUCGGCGCUUAGAUCGGAAUCGACCGCGAUCUGAAUCGCCACGAGUAUGAUUACUUAAUCCGCGCUCUUGUAACGCUUUCGCUUAGAGAUCUACAAGGGUAUGUAGAUGCACUCCCCUCUCUCUCUUGUUGUUAGGUAUAUCCAGAUUGGCAUAACUUAAGGGAACUAAGUUUGUAAUCUUCACACUCACUUCUUGAAAAAGUGCGCUUAAGCUUAUCGAUUACCUAAUAAUUUGGUGUGUUGUGUUUCAUGGCACUACUUACUAGUGUGAUUUUGGAUUGUUCUUGCACAUAUCAUCUAGGUGUAUGGAAUGCUUGAUAAUGACAAAUGACUCAUCGUAUUCACUUUACACUUCAAACAUUGAUCUAGAUUUUGUCCCUUGCUCUGAGUUAGUUUGUCAUGUUCUACAUGUUGUUAGGCGUAUCCAGAUUGGCAUACUUGAGGGAACAAAGUUUUUAAUCUUGUGUGUGUCAUUGAGAUACAUCACACUAUUAAUGCGAAGAUUGUUCUAUACACAAUUUUUUCUGAACUAACUUUAUACUUUUUGCACAAUAUAUAUGUAAGAUGGAUAAGCAUACAUGACUCAUCGUAUUACCUUUUCAUAUGGAGCGGUUGUAUUGUCAUAUGAGUUACAAAUACAAAACAAAGUAUUAGGGCUUUGCGCGGCUUGAUUGAUUCACUCCACGUAGACAUGAACAUUUCUUUUGUAUUUCAUUCGUUAGUUAAUCUAAGUUUGUACAUAUUGUUUCAAGUUGUUCAUAUAGUUUCCAGGUUUCUUUUAUUGAAUUUAUUACCACCAGUAUAGGAAGCUAUUAGUACUAUGAUUGUUGAUACUAAUACAGAACAAAGAGGAAAGACAGAGCGAUAUAAAGUUGAUUUUGUCUGGUAAUUAUAUAAGUGUCUUUUUUUCUAUUUUCUUGUAAGCAAGGAACCUACAAAAAAGAAAUGAAAUUAGUUCUCCUUCUACACGAUACGUGAAUAAAUAAUUUAGGACAUAGCAUGCCUGACUGAAUGGGAACUGGCCUGUCGCCAUCAUGUAGCAAACACAAGCCAUAAUGCCGAUACACUUGGCUCAUGCAACAUGCACACGUGAAAAAAAGAAGAGCCUAUCAGUAUAUUUAUAUUUUUUUACUUCUCUUAUCCUUGGCCAUAUUAUUCAUACAUAUGGUUGCAUCAAAUUAAUUGACUUGUCAAUGCCAUGGACCAGCUAGCAUACUACUGUUUUUGUGUGUGUGGCUUUAGGUGUUGCAAAUCCUCUACAUAUGUUUUUUUCAUUCCUUUACCCUCUACCACUUAUUUUCAGAUUGAUGGAAAGCGAAGUUUCAGACAAGGAAACAAAACAUGAUUACAUCCUCCUCCAUGCAGCUUCGUGGUAAUUGAAACUCCUGUUAAUCGCACUGGAUGUCAUGCCAGAUUCGUGCAGAAUUUGCCGGAUCGAUUGACUAGGACUUGACCCUUGGAUUUUUAACCUUGUACGUCGUAAUUUUUGUUGUACAUGGAUUAGUAAAGGUAUAGUCGAUCCACCAUCAUCACUAUGAAUUAGUAUUACAGAUUCAGAACAGGUCUUUGUCAGAGAAGGAAGUAGGAGUAGCCAAUGAUACAGGAAAAAGCCAGAGAGACCUGCCUGCCUGGCUGUGAACAGUUCUUCUCCUUCUCCUUGCUAUUAAUGUUGUGUUGAAAUACCUAACUAGCUAGCUAGCAAAUCAUAGGUUGUCCUUCUCUAAAAGAACUGUAGAAAGUUCUUUGAAUCUAGUUAAUUAAACAAGUGAAAUUUUAAAAGAAAAGUUAUUUUGAAGUUGUUCGUUUGUUUGUUGUUGCUAUUGUUUUCGUUGUUCUCGAAACAGGCUUUCACACUUCUUUAUAAAUAAAGCAAUAUCCAAAGAUAUACAUGGCCAAACUAUAAAAUAUGGUGAGGUAGCCCCUACAAAGCCGAUCUUGACAUAUCAGGCACACGCGCACACGACUACGCUACCAGCAACAAGCACCGAAAGAACUAAACAUCCUCACGCUACAAACUAGCACACCAAAGCUCCACGAGAAUGCCCCCAAGAGGGAGAAUGGCAUAGGGCGUCGCCGCUGCUAAGUCCAUACCGGACAAAGGUCUACACCUGGAGACCUCACACGGAGAGAAGAAGCACAAAAACGUCUUCAAGAAGAGCGCGACACCCAUGAGUGUCGUCGAUGGUGGUGCCCAGGCACGGAGCUUUCGCUUGGCAACUCACCCAUGCCACCAUGAGGUCCUCAAGAGUAGUGCCGCGAUGUUUAAUCGCAAGAUCUUGAUUAGGACGUUGCCCCUCCGAGAGAGAGGGCAUGUCUGAGCUACUAACCGCAACACCUACCGUUGCCCACACAACCCGGGAGGGGAGACACCACAACCGGAAUAAUGCCCGCCAAAGAGCAACCAUGCGGCCCGCCAUCAGGGGCCGCCAACCCAGUAUCCCUGACGCGAGAUACCAUACACCACUCACAUCACAAUGCAACCAACCACGGUAGGAAGAGCGACAACACUCCACUACUCCUAGCCUAGCCUCUGUCCUAAUGUUUGGUUAGGCGCCUCCACCAUAGGACGCACCCACACCUGCAUCCCCAGCCAAUGCUCUAUGGACUAGGGGGGCCACCAGCGAGCCAACCUCCAGCCCUUGGUCAGGCGAGCUCACAUGAUGCCAUGUCCGUGUUCUCCGACACUGGUCCGCUCAUGAAUGCAACACUAACACAACUAUCACCACCGAGCACCACCCAAGCUGUCUCGCUUCGCAAUGCACAAAUCAUGGCAGAUAAAGCCCGUCAUCAGUCACCUAGCCAGUGACUGCUACCGGCCAUUGUCGAGGACAGCUCAGACGCCAAGUCUGCGAACUGAGGCACUGGUCCGCCAGCCGACACAACGUAGCCCUGGCCACCACAUCCAUGAACCAUCACCGACGCUACAAUGUGUGGAGGUGCCUCCCCCAACCUAGCUUCAAGCAUCCACCUUGGCUUGACCGGCAGCGACCCAGAGCCGAGAAACCUUAGGCCAAGGCGACUAAGCACCGAAGCUCAUGUGAUGAGCAACCAACCCCGACAAGGACGACCAUUUCAAAAUCCAUGUCCGGUGGCUAGUCUGCGUCACCAGCCCGCUACCUACAUACGCACUCAGACAAGGCGGGAGCCGCCCCAUCAAGAGGGGGGGGGCGCUUAGAGUAGCUGGCAACUCCGGUCGCUGAGCAGCUGCACCAAUGCUAACCCCACCUCUCCAUUGACACCCACCGCCUAUAUCCACCGCCACCAGCCAAAACCAUGGCCACCACCCACCGCCUCUUGUCAUGCCUCCACGCCCGUGAGAGAGACCGUCGAAACCCACAAUCACUAGCUGCCGCGCUCAGAAGAGGGAGAACUGCCACCACCUCCUUGUGCCGCUUGUCACAACUUGGCAGCCAGAUCCACACUGCCAUAGCUAUCACAUGCCUGCCUACACAGUAGGAUUUGCUAGGCUUUACCAUGUCUGCACAAUUCUUUUUUCCUGUUUUCUCCAAGAUGUUGUUUUUAAAAUUUGCUUGCAGGUUUAAGGAAAGGAGAAGUUCACUAUCACCACCACCUCGUGCAAGGGGAUGUCAGCAUCAGUCAUCUUUACCAUCAUCCACCUCCAUCCCAUUGUAAUACCAAACCCAUGUGGAUCCAUACAUGUAUUAUCGGUGUGUUUCAUCCAAUGUUUACCACCACUAUUUCCACUAUUCGCACGAUAUUUGUCGUCUCCAUGUGUGAUUUGUUUCCUCAGUUCUCAGGGAUAUGGACGAACCAUGGUAUGUAUAGGAGCUGAAAUGUUAAUUAGGGUAUGAGAUUCUCUACUGAAUGUUUGUUUUAAAAGCAUUCAUGAAUUUUGUGAAGGGGCCCCACUCACCAUUUCCAUCGCAAGGCCACGAGGCAUAUCAUCGAGGUUGUAAAGGUUAGGAUGUUCAGGUAACUUGAGGUGAGAGUAAAAGACUCUCUACCUCGCCUUUGCAACUGCUAGGGGAAUAAUAGAGAUCCCUCAAUAAGGCAGCUUCCACAGGGAAACCCUUAAUUACCGUAGUGAGAACUAGAGUGGGGAAGCUAAAGUGAUGGCCUGCGUGGUAUGGAGUACACCUUGAGUAGAACUUAUUUUGUACCCGGAUACGCCCAAUGACAAAUAUUAAGAGUGACUCAAGUAUCUAGCUUAGAAUUACAAAGUGGCAUAUGAUACCUUAGGCACACUUCAAUGGGAAUUAUGGUGUCCCUGAGAACGCCUCAAUCCUCCACUGUUUCACAUCUUUAUUCAUUCUGCUAUGCUCUUUUAGUUCUUUUGGGUUAUUUACUUUUGUUCGCACUAAACUUAGAAGUCAAUAUAAUCUUCGCCAUUCACUUGCUUUGUGUCGAAAACUAAGAUGCAGCCACAUUACAAUAAGUGUCUCUUAGGUACAAAGUCCAAUUCAUGUAUUCCCUAUGGGAUUUAUACUCAUACUUAAAUAGGUGAAAAAUAAACCAUGUGGACUUGCAGAUCAUCAAGCUUUUUCUGGCCCUAGGAGCGGAGUGCUUUUGGGCCUGUAUUGUGUUUUGUUUUAUUUCAUGUUUAUGGGUGAUAAUGUCUGCCUCCACAACUUGUUGUUUGACUCGGCAAUGGUGGACUCCCGGUGUAGGUGUGUAUCGAGUGGAGGGCUGAGGAAGCCCAUUAUGAUUUCAGUUGAUUGUAAGCAAAUUAUGAUUUUUGACUCAAGUUGAGGGGGUCAUUUUCCUUCAAAUUUAGAACCUUGUUUGAUGGGUCAUGAUUUGUGAGAGGAUACUUUUUGUCCCGCUAAGAUUGUUAUUGGAUAUAAUUGGUACUUAAACUCAUUUUGUGAAUGGAACAUCAAAGGCGAAAAGUGCAUAAGUUAUCAAUUAUUCUCACUAUAAAUGAACAAUGAAAUCUGGCAUGGAGUUCGUGGAAAGCAUAAACACCUAGUUUGAUGUAGAUCCAUGUCAGAUAAGAUGGUUACAAACUCAUGGGGCUCUCCACUGAAGUGUUAUAUAGCAAUUACUCCUUACUCCCUAACUAAUAGUACUUCAAUUUGGACCAAGUUUCACACACGUUAAGUAUGUUAUGUUCAUAAUACUACACUUCAAAAAUAAGUAGAUAGCGCAUAACAUUGAGAUUGUAGCUAGGGAUGAAAAUCGAAAUAUGGCAUGAAUGUAACAAUUGCCAGCAAUAUGCUUUAGAAAAGAACUUAUUUGCCUUUUAUUCCCAUGUUUGAACUAGUAUAGUUCGGGGUUACACAUGAUGGUCACAUCACUUUAUUUAUCAUUGUUACAUUAAAUACUCCAUUGACUUACAACGAUGAUUCCCCCGUCUAGUAUUACAUCUCUUCAUUUCAUCGUCCAGUGAUACUUAUAACAUCGCUCCCAGUUGGUUGUUGGUGUGGGGAAGGUUUUUAUGAUUGCUGGGGGAAUGGUUGCUGUUGUGGGUAUGGUAUGGGAAAUUGUUGUUCGGGGAAUUGUUUUUUGUUUUGCUAGGGAAAUUGUUGUUGUUGUGGCAAUUGUUGUUGCGGUAAUUAUAUGCUCUUCCAUGAUCUAGAAAAUAAAAGACCUCACUCUUACCGUCUCUGCAUGUUUGUCAUCAAACAUCCGUAAACUCAUUAAAAUUAAUGAAAUGGUUCAACUUUUGGAGUACAGUUCUUGUCGCCUUGAAGAGAAUUUGACGGGUUGUGUCACUCUAUCAAUUCCACUUCGUCUUAUCACUUCAGAAAACACAACAAAGUUGAUUCCAGAAAAAAUAAACUCCAUGUGUAAAGCUUUACUAAUUAUCUUGUACAAAGUUCACAUACUUAGCUCUACACAAACUGUAGAAAGUUCCAACCCUCUGCCGCAAAAAAGAAUGAAACCUUGAUAAGGAUUUGACAUGGAAAGUGAAAAAGGUGAGUCAGUUUUUUCUCAAAAUAAAAUACCAAGCACCAUGCUUUCGUGACAACCAUACGAUCUUUUGCACAACUAGCCAAAAAAAUUUUGAUGAUCAAUCCUAUAUUAAACUUGUGGCUAGUGCAACCUGACAGAAUAUACAAAAUGAUCCAUUUCAUAAGCAUGCAUGCAAAAAAAUUGGAAAAUGAAUGAAAAAAUUAAUCGCUAGCUGGAAUUUCAUUCAAUCAUCCCAUCCAAGCUGGUACAACCACACUGACUGCAAUCCGACAUCUACAUAACAAGAUGUCCACAACCCAACACGUCCAAAACAAAAAGAUAAAAAAAUGCAAAGACGGCAAGAGGUUAUGCCAUAAAUGGACUUCUGCCGCAAAGAUCAUCACAAGUACAAAACAUAAAUAGAAACAGCAAAGACAAGUAGGAGCAGUCAAGAGCAAUUCACCAUAAAGACACAUCCCCAACCUUUCCCUCACCACCAUUGCAUCGGCCAGCGCCAAUGAACAGCUCGAGGGCAGCAGGAUCAAUGCUAGUGAAAGCGUUUCACCGACAUCAUUUUGCUGAGGAAGUCCAUGCAAUGAAUCGACAUGAAAGAAAGUGUUUAGUUAGUUCAAAUACAGAUAUCCUGAGAGCAGCCUAAUGAAUGAGAAAUCCUAUUUCGGUCAUUCAUCAACAAAAUCCAUGUCAACGCACUUGGAUGGAUCAUGCAUUUAGGAACAAAAGUCCAAGGGGGCGACCUAUAUAUACAGUUUAUUUGCAUGGUAACUCUGGUUUAGCACUAUCUUUUUUCCUUAUCCUUGUCCAUUUUAUCCCUGCAGAAUAGAGCCAAAUGAGGAAGCAAAGGGAAGUGUUUGAUUAGUUCUCCAUGAAAUGAGAAUAAAUGAAUUUCGUACAAAGUAUGGCUGAACUACGAAAUCCAUAGAUUGGCCUAACUGAAUCGGGAAACUUGUCUCCAUCAUGCAGCCGACAAAAGCCAUACUGCUGAUACACUUGGCCCAUGCAACAUGCAUGCAUGAUUAUAAGGAGAACAUCCAUUAUUCUAUAAUUUAAAUGAGUAACAGUCUCGCAGUAAACAAGAUCCAGAUAUAGUGUUCAUGCUCGACGCAUGCACUAAAUAACAAUUAUUCAGGUUCAUCACUAAUCCCGAUGGUAAUCGAAAAGCGAGCGUGCCGACGGUGAUCACAUCAACCUUGGAACCAUUUCCCACACGCAUCAUCACUUCGUUCGUCACCAGCCUCCGUCUAUUUCGUAGUUCCUGCUUUGGGUUGCAAAUGUGAGCAACCAAACAGGUGUCAAAUACCGAGGCACUACAACAAGAGUUGGUAAGGAACACAUCAAUAAUAUAUAUAUAUAUCAUAUAUAUCUUGUUUGGCGUUGGCCCCUUCUUGUCGGCCAGGCUUGGGGAAAUUCCGCUUUCAGUGGCCAAUCUCGUUGCAAUAGAAGCACUCAUUUUCUGGCUUGGGCGCAGCCUUGGGUUUCUUCACGGGAUAGGAAACUACUUUGCCACUCUUCUUGGAGUUACCAUUCUUGCCCUAGCCAUUCUUCUUGAAACUAGUGGUUUUAUUGACCAUCAACACGUGAUACUCUUUCUGGAUGUCUAACUCAGCGACUUUCAGCAUCGCAAACAGCUCGGAGACUGACUUGUUCAUCCCUUGCAUGUUAUAGUUUAGCACAAAGCUCUUGUAGCUAGGUGGUACUGAUUGAAGAACUUUGUCAGUGAUCGCUUCUGAUGGGAGCACAACUCCCAACUUAGCCAGACGGUUGUAAGACCCAGACAUUCUAAGUAUGUGUUCACUGACAUACCCGUUCUCGUCCAUCUUGUAAGCAAAGAACUUAUCGGAGGUCUCAUACCUCUUGAUCCGGUCAUUCCUUUCAAAAAUGAACAUCAACUCCUCGAACAUCUCAUAUGCUCCAUGGCGUUCAAGAUGUCUUUGAAGUCCCAGUUCUAAGCCAUGCAACAUAGCACACUAAACUACUGAGUAGUGAUCCACAUGCGCUUGCCAGGUGUUCAUAACAUCCAUAGAUGCCGGAGGGGGUUGCACACCAAGCGAUGCAUGAAGGACAUAAGCCUUUUGUGCAGCCGUGAGGAUAAUUCUUAGAGUACAGGCCAAGUCUACAAAGUUACUUCCAUCAUCAUUCAGCUUGGCUUUCUCUAGGAACGCAUUGAAAUUCAGGGAAGCUAUUGUGCGAGCCAUUGAUCUACAACAUAAAUUUGCAAAGUCAACUUAGACUAUUGUUCAUGAUAAAUGAGUUCAAAUAAUCAUAUUACUUAAAACUCCCACUCAAAUUUACAUCCCUGCGGUCAUCCGUGUGUAACAUGAUGAAAAUUCACCAACCCAAGUCUGAUCAUAAUGUGAGAUGAAGUGGUUUCAAUGGUGAAGAUCUCCAUGUUGAUCAUAUCUACUAUAUGGCUCAUGUUCGACCUUUCUGUAUGUUGUGUUCCGAGGCCAUGUCUGUAGAUGCUAGGCUCGUCAAGUUUAACCCGAGUGUUUCACAUGUGCAAAAAUGGCUUGCACCCGUUGUAUGUGAAUGUAAAGUCUAUCACACCCGAUCAUAACGUGGUGCUUAGAAAUGACAAACUUCCGCAAUGGUUCACACUCAGGGAGAACACAAUUUUGUUUUGAAAUUUUAGUGAGGGAUAACUUAUAAUGCUACCAUCAUCCUAAGAAAAAUAAGAUGCAGAAAAGGAUUAACAUCACAUGCAAAUCAUAUGUGACAUGAUAUGACCACCAACUUGUGCUUUUGAUCUCCAUCUCCAAAGCAUCGGCAUGAUCUCCAUCGUCACCGGCAUCACACCAUGAUUUCCAUCAUCAUGAUCUCCAUCAUCGUGUUGCCAUCAAGGUUGUCACGCCAACCAUGCUUCUACUACUAUUGCUAUUGUUUAGUGAUAAAAUAAAGCAUUACAUAGCGCUUAAUGAUUGACACGCAGGUCAUACAAUAAUUCAAGACAACCCUAUGGCUCCUUCCGGUUGUCGUAUUCAUCGACAUGCAAGUCAACACAAACUAUUACAAACAUGAUCAUCUCAUACAUCAAAUAUAUUUCAACAUGUCUUUGGCCAUAUCACAUCACAACAUACCCUGCAAAAACAAGUUAGACGUCGUCUAAUUUGUUGUUGCAUAUUUUACAUGGCUGCUAUGUGUAUCCAACAAGAAUGGUUCUUACCUAUGCAAAACCACAACUGUGAUAUGGAAGUUUCUAUUUAACCUUCUACAAGGAAUGCCUUCAUCGAAUUCGAUUCAACUAAGGUGCAAGAGACAGACACCAGCCAACCAUCUUAUGCAAUAAAGUCACAUCUCUAUUGAAUGAACCGGUCUCAUGUACGUGGACAUGUAAAGUUGGUCCAGGCCGCUUCAUCCCACAAUUCCGCUAAAUCAAGAAAAGACCAAGGAAGGAAGCAAUUUGAAUAUCAAUUCUGAUAAACUCCUUUGUGUUCUACUCAUGAUGUCAUCUGCGCAUAGCCCUAGCUCUGGUACCACUGUUGUUGGAAGUUGCAUGGGAAAGAAAAAAGAUCCUACACUCACCAAGAUCAAUCUAGGAGAUGAACAUCUAUGAGAGGAGAGACUGCAUCUACAUACCGUUGUAGAUCACUAAGAGGAGGCGCUAAGAAAUAUGGUUGAUGUAGUCAAACGUCUUCGCGAUCCAAUCAUGAUACGUCCCACAAACUCCCGAUCUAGUGCCAAAAGGACGGCACCUAUGCAUUCAACACGCGCACGGCUUGAUGAUGCCUUCACCUCCUUGAUCCAGCAAGAAAUGGAGAAGUAGUAGUUCAAGACCUCCAACAACACGAUAUCAUGGCGGCGGUGGUGGUGGAGGAAUUUCAGCAGAGCUGCGCUAAGCACUACGCAGAAGGAGAAGGACUACGAGGGAGAGGAAAGGCAGCGACACAACACAGAUGUGUCUGUCUGCCCUCCUUCUACCCCUAUAUAUAUAGGGGGAAGGGAGGAGGUGGGGAUGCCCUAUGGGUUCCCUUAGGGGGCGGCGGCCACCAUAGAUGAGGGCGCCCCUAGGGAAACCCUAGGGUGGCUUUCCCCCCAAGCUAGGUGGAGGCAGCCCUAGGGGGUUGCCCCAACCCUUCUGUCAUGGUGGGAUUGAGUGUGGGGGGCGCACAACCCCUUAGUGGGCCGGUGUGCUCCCUCCCCUUGUCCCAUGAAGCGCCCAACACUUACCUGGCCCCCCAGAAACCCCUUUUCGUACUCCGUCGAUUCCCGCGGUACCCCUGGAACAAUUCCGGACUCCUAUACCCUUCGUCCUAUAUAUCAAUCUUCACCUCCAGACCAUUCUGGAGUUCCUCGUCAUGUCGGGGAUCUCAUCCGGGAAUCCGAACAACCUUCGGUAACCACCAUAUGACCCAACUAUACUUAUAUCGUCAACAAACGUUAAGUGUGUAGACCUUGCGGGUUCGAGAACUAUGCACACAUGACCGAUACACCUCUACGGUCAAUGACCAAUAGCAUGACCUGGAUGCCCAUGUUGGUUCCUACAUAUUCUACGAAUAUCUUUAUCAGUCGAACCUCGAUGUCAAGGUUUCAGGCAAUCCCGUAUGAAGUUCCCUUUUUCCAUUGGUAUGUUACUUGCCUGAGAUUUGAUCAUUGGUAUCUCCAUACCUAGUGCAAUCUCGUUACCGGCAAGUCUCUCUAUUUCGUAAUACAAGAUCCCGUGGCUGACUUCUUAGUCACAUUGAUUGCAAGCUUAUUGUGAUGUUGUAUUACCGAGUGGGCCCUGAGAUACCUCUCCAUCAUACGGAGUGACAAAUCCCAGUCUCGAUCCAUGCCAACUCAAUAGACACCCUUGGAGACACCUGUAGAGCAUCUUUAUAGUCACCCAGUUACGUUGUGAUGUUUGAUACACACAAGGCACUCCUCCGGUGUCAGUGACUUGCAUGAUCUCAUGGUCAUAGGAACAUAUAAUUGACAUGUAGAAAACGAUAGCAAUAAACUUGACAAGAUCAUAUGCGACAUUCAUAGUUUGGGUCUUGUAAAUCACAUCAUUCUCCUAAUGAUGUGAUCACGUUAUCAAAUGACAACUCAUGUCCAUGACCCGGAAACCAUGGCCAUCUUUGAUCAACGAGCUAGUCUGGUAGAGGCUCACUAUGGACACGUUGUUUGUCUAUGUACCCACACAGGUAUUUUAAUUUCCAAUCAAUACAAUUAUAGCAUGGAUAAUAAACGAUUAUCAUGAACAAGGAAACAAAAUAAUGACCAUUUUAUUAUUGCCUCCAGGGCGUAUUUCCAACACUUCCGAUGAUUUUGUGAGUAGUUUACGACAGCCCUUCGGGUCUAUAGCUAGAAUCUAGAUGGCUUCUUCUCUCUCUUUGAUCUUCAAUCCAAAGUUCUUCUCAAUGUUCUUGGAGUUCUAUCCAAUGUAAUCUCCUUUUGCGGUGUGUUUGCUGGGACCUGAUAAAUUAUGAGUUUAUGAUCAGAUGAUUCAUGAGAAUAUUUGAUUCUUCUUUGGACUCUUUUAUGUGUGAUUAUUUUAGCUUUGUAUUUCUCUCCAAUCUAUCGAUUUGGUUUGGCCAACUAGAUUGGUUUAUCUUGCAGUGGGAGAGGUGCUUUGUGAUGGGUUCAAUCCUGUGUUGCUCAAUCCUAGUGACAGAAACAGACAUGGCACAUAUUUGUAUUGUUGACAUUAAGGAUAAAAAUAUGGGGGUUAAUCAUAUUGCUUGAAUUUACUUUGUCUACAUCAUGUCAUCUUGCUUAAGGCGUAACUCUAUUUUAUACCUAAAACUCUAGAUGCAUGCUGGAUAGCGGUCGAUGGGUGAAGAAUAGAUGCAGGCAGGAGUCGGUCUACUUGCAUCGAAUGUGAUGCCUAUAUACAUGAUCAUUGCCAUGAAUCCUUCAUAAUUAUUUGCUUUUCUAUCAAUUGCCCAACAGCAAUUUGUUUACCCACCGUAUGUUCUACGAUCAAGAGAGAAGCAUCUAGUAAAAACUAUGGCCCCUGGGUGUACUUUUAUCAUAUAUAAAAAAAACACAAAAAUACCUAGCUGCAAUUUAUUUACUUUUAUUUUAUUUUGUAUUUUACUUUAUCCAUCUAUCACUACCAGAAUUAAUCAUUGCAAAUAACGUCUACGAGGAUUGACAAGCCUCUUAUUUGCGUUAGGUGUCAGUGUUUGCUUUUGUGUGUGCAGGUGCUGUUAACAAGGUUUUGUGUGGUUCACCUACUGGAUUGAUAACCUUGAUUCUUAACUUAGUGAAAUACUUAUUUGUACUAUACUUCAUCAUCCUCUCCUCCUUGGGGAAUUAACAACACAGUCUACAAGUAGCACUCUCCAUUGAAAUGUUAAAUUGUAAUUAGUACUUACUCCCGAAUUAAUAGUACUUCAAUUUGAAACAAGUUUCGUACAUGUUAAUUAUGUUAUGUUCAUAUAAUACUACACUUCCUAAAUAAGUAGACGUCACAUAACAUUGAGAUUGUAGUUAGGGAUGGAAAUCAAAAUAGGGCAUGAAUGUAACAAUUGCGAGCAAUGUGCUUCAGAAAAGAACUUAUUUGUCUUUUAUUCCCAUGUUUGGACUAGUACAGGUCGGGGUUACACAUGAUGGUGCACAUCACUUUAUUUAUCAUCGUUACAUUAUGCUCCAUUGACUAACAACGAUGAUUCACCCGUCUAGUAUUACAUCUCUUCAUUUCAUAGGCCACUGAUACUUAUAACGUCGCUCCCAGAUGGUUGUUGUUGUGGAUAUUGUUGAUAUGGGGAAGGUUCUUGUGAUUGCUGGGGUGGGUAUGGUAUUGGAAAUUGUUGUUGGGGGAAUUGUUGUGGUGGUUGCUGGGGGAAUUGUUGUUGGGGGAAUUGUUGUUGUUCAGGGUAUUGUUGUGGCNNNNNNNNNNNNNNNNNNNNNNNNNNNNNNNNNNNNNNNNNNNNNNNNNNNNNNNNNNNNNNNNNNNNNNNNNNNNNNNNNNNNNNNNNNNNNNNNNNNNNNNNNNNNNNNNNNNNNNNNNNNNNNNNNNNNNNNNNNNNNNNNNNNNNNNNNNNNNNNNNNNNNNNNNNNNNNNNNNNNNNNNNNNNNNNNNNNNNNNNNNNNNNNNNNNNNNNNNNNNNNNNNNNNNNNNNNNNNNNNNNNNNNNNNNNNNNNNNNNNNNNNNNNNNNNNNNNNNNNNNNNNNNNNNNNNNNNNNNNNNNNNNNNNNNNNNNNNNNNNNNNNNNNNNNNNNNNNNNNNNNNNNNNNNNNNNNNNNNNNNNNNNNNNNNNNNNNNNNNNNNNNNNNNNNNNNNNNNNNNNNNNNNNNNNNNNNNNNNNNNNNNNNNNNNNNNNNNNNNNNNNNNNNNNNNNNNNNNNNNNNNNNNNNNNNNNNNNNNNNNNNNNNNNNNNNNNNNNNNNNNNNNNNNNNNNNNNNNNNNNNNNNNNNNNNNNNNNNNNNNNNNNNNNNNNNNNNNNNNNNNNNNNNNNNNNNNNNNNNNNNNNNNNNNNNNNNNNNNNNNNNNNNNNNNNNNNNNNNNNNNNNNNNNNNNNNNNNNNNNNNNNNNNNNNNNNNNNNNNNNNNNNNNNNNNNNNNNNNNNNNNNNNNNNNNNNNNNNNNNNNNNNNNNNNNNNNNNNNNNNNNNNNNNNNNNNNNNNNNNNNNNNNNNNNNNNNNNNNNNNNNNNNNNNNNNNNNNNNNNNNNNNNNNNNNNNNNNNNNNNNNNNNNNNNNNNNNNNNNNNNNNNNNNNNNNNNNNNNNNNNNNNNNNNNNNNNNNNNNNNNNNNNNNNNNNNNNNNNNNNNNNNNNNNNNNNNNNNNNNNNNNNNNNNNNNNNNNNNNNNNNNNNNNNNNNNNNNNNNNNNNNNNNNNNNNNNNNNNNNNNNNNNNNNNNNNNNNNNNNNNNNNNNNNNNNNNNNNNNNNNNNNNNNNNNNNNNNNNNNNNNNNNNNNNNNNNNNNNNNNNNNNNNNNNNNNNNNNNNNNNNNNNNNNNNNNNNNNNNNNNNNNNNNNNNNNNNNNNNNNNNNNNNNNNNNNNNNNNNNNNNNNNNNNNNNNNNNNNNNNNNNNNNNNNNNNNNNNNNNNNNNNNNNNNNNNNNNNNNNNNNNNNNNNNNNNNNNNNNNNNNNNNNNNNNNNNNNNNNNNNNNNNNNNNNNNNNNNNNNNNNNNNNNNNNNNNNNNNNNNNNNNAUUUGUUGUUGGGGGAAUUGUUGUGGUUGGGGGAAUUGUUGUUGUUGGGGGAAUUGUUCUUGUGGAGUAUGCAAUUCCUUGCCUCUAGGGCUUAGCAGCCUACUGGCACUGGCGAUGUUCAUCGCCAUGGCAAGGAGGACAAAUAUGAUGAAGGUCUUCAUGUUUGAUUUGUGUUUACUAUUGCUCACUUGGCUUUGGUGUUUCAACUCUAGGUCCUUGAAGGUUAGAUGAUGGAAGAGACCCUCAUGGUGUAGUCGUAUUUAUAGCUGGCAUCGCACAUUUGUUUUUGAUCUUCACACUCGUUUCUUGAAAAAGUGCUCUUAAGCUUAUCGACCUAAUAAUUUUGUAUGUUGUGUUUGAUGGCACUACUUACUAGCGUGACUUUGGAUUGUUCAUCAUAGUUGAUUGUUCUUUCUCAUAUCAUCUGGGUGUAUCAAAUGCUUGAUAACGCAUAAUGACUCAUCGUAUUCACUUUAUACUUCAAAUAUUGAUCUAGAUUUUGUCCGUCUUUCUGAUUUAGCUUGUGCUGUUCUGCAUGUUGUUAGGUAUAUCCAGAUUGGCAUAACUUAAGGGAACUAAGUUUGUAAUCUUCACACUCGCUUCUUGAAAAAGUGCUCUUAAGCUUAUCGAUUACCUAAUAAUUUGGUAUGUUGUGUUUCAUGGCACUACUUACUAGUGUGAUUUUGGAUUGUUCUUCAUAGUUGAUUGUUCUUGCACAUAUCAUCUAGGUGUAUGGAAUGCUUGAUAACGACAAAUGACUCAUCGUAUUCACUUUACACUUCAAACAUUGAUCUAGAUUUUGCCCCUUGCUCCGAGUUAGUUUGUCAUGUUCUAUAUGUUGUUAGGCGUAUCCAGAUUGGCAUACUUAAGGGAACAAAGUUUGUAAUCUUGUGUGUGUCAUUGAGAUAGAUCACACUAUUAAUGCGAAGAUUGUUCUAUACACAAUUUUUUCUGAACUAACUUUAUAUUUUUUGUACAAUAUAUAUGUAAGAUGGAUAAGCGUAGAUGACUCAUCGUAUUACCUUUUCAUAUGGAGCGGUUGUAUUGUCAUAUGAGUUACUAAUAGAAAACAAAGUAUUAGGGCUUUGCGUGGCUUGAUUGAUUCACUCCACGUAGACAUGAACAUUUCUUUUGUAUUUCAUUCGUUGGUUAAUCUAAGUUUGUACAUAUUGUUUCAAGUUGUUCAUAUAGUUUCUAGGUUUCUUUUAUUGAAUUUAUUACCACCAGUAUAGGAAGCUAUUAGUACUAUGAUUGUUGAUACUGAUAUAGAACAAAGAGGAAAGAUAGAGCAAUAUACAGUUGAUUUUGUCUGGUAAUUAUAUAAGUGUAUUUUUUUCUAUUUUCUUGUAAGGAAGGAACCUACAAAAAAGAAAUGAAAUAAGUUCUCCUUCUACACGAUAUGUGAAUAAAUGAAUUUAGGACAUAUCAUGCCUGACUGAAUGGGAACUGGCCUAUCGCCGUCAUGUAGCAAACACAAGCCAUAAUGCCGAUACACUUGGCUCAUGCAACAUGCACACGUGAACAAAAGAAGAGCCUAUCAGUAUAUUUAUAUUUUUUACUUCUCUUAUCCUUGGCCAUAUUAUUCAUACAUAUGGUUGCAUCGAAUCAAUUGACUUGUCAAUGCCAUGGACCAGCUAGCAUACUAAUGUUUAUGUGUGUGUGGCUUUAGCUGUUGCAAAACCUCUACAUAUGUUUUUUUCAUUCCUUUACCCUCUACCACUUAUUUUCAGAUUGAUGGAAAGUGAAGUUUCAGACAAGGAAACAAAACACGAUUACAUCCUCCUCCAUGCAGCUUCGUGGAGGCUAAUUAUAAUUGAAACUCCUGUUAAUCGCACUGGAUGUCAUGCCAGAUUCGUGUAGAAUUUGCCGGAUCGAUUGACUAGGGUUUGACCCUUGGAUUUUUAACCUUGUACGUCGUAAUUUUUGUUGUACAUGGAUUAGUAAAGGUCUAUAGUCGAUCCACCAUCAUCACUAUGAAUCAGUAUUACAGAUUCAGAACAGGUCUUUGUCAGAGAAGGAAGUAGGAGUAGCCACUGAUACAGGAAAAAGCCAGCGAGACCUGCCUGCCUGGCUGUGAACAGUUCAUCUCCUUCUCCUUGCUAUUAAUGUUGUGUUAAAAUACCUAACUAGCUAGCUAGCAAAUCAUAGGUUGUCCUUCUCUAAAAAAACUGUAGAAAGUUCUUUGAAUGUAGUUAAUUAAACAAGUGAAAUUUUAAAAGAAAAAUUAUUUUGAAGUUGUUGGUUUGUUUGUUGUUGCUAUUGUUUUCGUUGUUCUCGAAACAGGCUUUCACACUGCUUUAUAAAUAAAGCAAUAUCCAAAGAUGUACACGGCCGAACGAUACAAUAUGGUGAGGUAGCCCCUACAAAGCCGAUCUUGAGAUAUCACGCACACGCGCACACGACUACGCUACCAGCAACAAGCACCGAAAGAACUAAACAUCCUCACGCUACGAACUAGCACACCAAAGCUCCAGGAGAACGCCCCCAAGAGGGAGAAUGGCAUAGAGCAUCGCCGCUGCCAAGUCCAUACCGGACAAAGGUCUACACCUGGAGACCUGACACGGAGAGAAGAAGCACAACAACGUCUUCAAGAAGAGCGCGACACCCAUGAGUGUCGUCGGUGGCGGUGCCGAGGCAUGGAGCUUUCACUUGGCAACUCACCCGUGCCACCAUGAGGUCCUCAAGAGUAGCGCCGCGAUGUUCAAUCCCAUGAUCUUGAUUAGGACGCUGCCCCUCCGAAAGAGAAGGCACGUCUGAGCUUAUGACCGCAACACCUACCGUUGCCCACACAACCCGGGAGGGGAGCCACCACAACCGGAAUAAUGCCCGCCAAAGAGCAACCAUGUGGCCCGCCAUCAGGGGACGCCAACCCAGUAUCGCUGUCGCGAGAUACCAUACACCACUCACAUCACAAUGCGACCAACCAUGGUAGGAAGAGAGACAACACUCCAUCUACUCCUACCCUAGCCUAUGUCCCAAUGUUUGGUUAGGCGCCUCCACCAUAGGACGCACCCACACCUGCAUCCCCAGCCAAUGCUCCAUGGACUAGGGGGGCCACCGGCGAGCCAACCUCGAGCCCUUGGUCAGGCGAGCUCACACGACGCCAUGUCCGUGUUCUCUGACACUGAUCCGCUCAUGAAUGCAAUGCUAACACAACUAUCACCACCGAGCAGCACCCAAGCUGGCUCGCUUCGCAAUGCACAAAUCAUGGCAGGUAAAGCCCGGCAUCAGUCACCAGCCAGUGACUGCCGACGGCCAUUGUCGAGGCCAGCUCAGACGCCAAGUCUGUGAACUGAGGCACUGGUCCGCCAGCCGACACAAUGUAUGCCUGACCACCACAUCCAUGAACCAUCACCGACGCUACAACGUGUGGAGGUGCCUCCCCCAACCUAGCUUCAAGCAUCCACCUUGGCUUGACUGGCAGCGACCCAGAGCCGAGAAAUCCUACUCCAAGGCGACUACGCACCGAACCUCAUGUGAUGAGAAACCAACCCCGACAAGGACAACCAUAUCAAAAUCCAUGCCCGGUGGCUAGUCUGCGUCACCAGCCCGCUGCCUACAUACGCACCCAGACAAGGCGGGCGCCGCCCCAUCAAGAGGGGGGCCGCUUAGAGCAGCUGGCAACUCCGGUCGCUGAGCAGCUGCACCAAUGCUAACCCCACCUCUCCAUUGACACCCCCCGACUAGAUCCAUCGCCGCCAGCCAAAACCAUGGCCACCACCCAUCGCCUCUUGUCAUGCCUCCACGCCCGUGAGAGAGACUGCCGAAACCCACCAUCACCAGCUGUCGCGCUCAGAAGAGGGAGAACUGCCACCAUCGCCUUGUGCCGCUUGUCACAAGUUGGCAGCAGAUCCACACUGCCAUAGCUAUCACAUGCCUGCCUACACAGUAGGAUUUGCUAGGUUUUACCAUGUCUGCACAAUUCUUUUUUCCUAUUUUCUCCAAGAUGUUGUUUUUAAAAUUUUCUUGCAGGUUUAAGGAAAGGAGGAGUUCACUAUCACCACCACCUCGUGCAAGGAGAUGUCAGCAUCAGUCAUCUUUACCAUCAUCCACCUCCAUCCCAUUGUAAUACCAAACCCAUGUGGAUCCAUACAUGUAUUAUCCGUGUGUUUCAUCCAUGUUUACCACCACUAUUUCCACUGCAAAUUAUGAUUUUUGACUCAAGUUGAGGGGGUCAUUUUCCUUCAAAUUUAGAACCUUGUUUGAUGGGUCAUGAUUUGUGAGAGGAUACUUUUUGUCCCGCUAAGAUUGUUAUUGGAGAUAAUUGGUACUUAAACUCAUUUUGUGAAUGGAACAUCAAAGGCGAAAAGUGCAUAAGUAAUCAAUUAUUCUCACUAUAAAUGAACAAUGAAAUCUGGCAUGGAGUUCGUGGAAAACAUAAACACCUAGUUUGAUGUAGAUGCAUGUCAGAUAAGAUGGUUACAAACUCAUGGAGCUCUACAUUGAAGUGUUAUAUUGCAAUUACUCCUUACUCCCUAAUUAAUAGUACUUUAAUUCGGACCAAGUUUCACACACGUUUAGUAUGUUAUGUACAAAAUGAAUGAAACCUUGAUAAGGAUUUGACAUGGAAAGUGAAUAAGGUGAGUCAGUUUUUUCUCAAAAUAGAAUACCAAGCACCAUGCUUUCGUGACAACCAUACGAUCUUUUGCACAACUAGCCAAACAAAUUUUGAUGAUCAAUCCUAUAUUAAACCUGUGGCUAGUGCAACCUGACAGAAUAUACAAAAUGAUCCAUUUCAUAAGCAUGCAUGCAAAAAAAUUGGAAAAUGAAUGAAAAAAUUAAUCGCUAGCUGGAAUUUCAUUCAAUCAUCCCAUCCAAGCUGGUAGAACCACACUGACUGCAAUCCGACAUCUACAUAACAAGAUGUCCACAACCCAACACGUCCAAAACAAAAAGAUAAAAAAAUGCAAAGACGGCAAGAGGUUAUGCCAUAAAUGGACUUGUGCCGCAAAGAUCAUCACAAGUACAAAACACAAAUAGAAACAACAAAGACAAGUAGCAGCAGUCAAGAGCAAUUCACCACAAAGACACAUCCCCAUCCUUUCCCUCACCACCAUUGCAUUGGCUAGCGCCAAUGAACAGCUCGAGGGCAGCAGGAUCAAUGCUAGUGAAAGCAUUUCACCGACUUCAUUUUGCUGAGAAAGUCCAUGCAAUGAGUCGACAUGAAAGAAAGUGUUUAGUUAGUUCAAAUACAGAUAUCCUGAGAGCAGCCUUAUAAAUGAGAAAACCUGUGUCGGUCAUUCAUCACCAAAAUCCAUGUAAACGCACUUGGAUGGAUCGUGCAGUCAGGAACAAAAGUCCAAGGGGGCGACCUAUAUAUACAGUUUAUUUGCUUGGUAACUCUGGUUUAGCACUAUCUUUUUUCCUUAUCCUUGUCCAUUUUAUCCCUGCAGAAAAUAGCCAAAUGAGGAAGCAAAGGGAAGUGUUUGAUUAGUUCUCCAUGAAACGAGAAUAAAUGAAUUUCGGACAAAGUAUGGCUGAACUGCGAAAUCCAUAGAUUGGCCUAACUGAAUUGGGAAACUUGUCUCCAUCAUGCAGCUGACAAGAGCCAUACUGCUGAUACACUUGGCCCAUGCAACAUGCAUGCAUGAUUAUAAGGAGAACAUCCAUUAUUCUCUAAUUUAAAUGAGUAACAGUCUCGUAGUAAACAAGAUCCAGAUAUAAUGUUCAUGCUCGACGCAGGCACUAAAUAACAAUUAUUCAGGUCCAUCACUAAUCCCGAUGGUAAUCGAAGAGCGAGCGUGCCGACGGUGAUCACAUCAACCUUGGAACCAUUUCCCACACGCAUCAUCACUUCGUUUUUCACCAGCCUCCGUCUAUUUCGUAGUUCCUGCUUUGGGUUGCAAAUGUGAGCAACUGAACCGGUAUCAGAUACCCAGGCACUACAACAAGAGUUGGUAAGGAACACAUCUAUAACAUAUAUAUAUAUAUAUAUCAUAUAUAUCUUGUUUGGCGUUGGCCCCUUCUUGUCGGCCAGGCUUGGGGAAAUUCCGCUUCCAGUGGCCAGUCUCGUUGAAAUAGAAGCACUCAGUUUCCGGCUUGGGCCCAGCCUUGGGUUUCUUCACGGGAGAGGCAACUACUUUGCCACUCUUCUUGGAGUUACCAUUCUUGCCCUAGCCAUUCUUCUUGAAACUAGUGGUUUUAUUGACCAUCAACACUUGAUGCUCUUUCUGGAUGUCUAACUCAGUGACUUUCAGCAUCGCAAAUAGCUCGGAGACUGACUUGUUCAUCCCUUGCAUGUUAUAGUUUAGCAAAAAGCACUUGUAGCUAGGUGGUACUGAUUGAAGAACUUUGUCAGUGAUCGCUUCUGGUGGGAGCACAACUCCCAACUUAGCCAGACGGUUGUAAUACCCAGACAUUCUAAGUAUGUGUUCACUGACAUACCCGUUCUCGUCCAUCUUGUAAGCAAAGAACUUAUCGGAGGUCUCAUACCUCUCGAUCCGGGCAUUCCUUUCAAAAAUAAACAUCAACUCCUCGAACAUCUCAUAUGCUCCAUGGCAUUCAAGAUGUCUUUGAAGUCCCAGUUCUAAGCCAUGCAACAUAGCACACUAAACUAUUGAGUAGUGAUCCACAUGCGCUUGCUAGGUGUUCAUAACAUCCAUAGACGUCGGAGGGGGUUGCACACCAAGCGAUGCAUGAAGGACAUAAGCCUUUUGUGCAGCCAUGAGGAUAAUUCUCAGAGUACAGGCCCAGUCUACAAAGUUACUUCCAUCAUCUUUCAGCUUGGCUUUCUCUAGGAACGCAUUGAAAUUCAGGGAAGCUAUUGUGCGAGCCAUUGAUCUACAACAUAAAUUUGCAAAGUCAACUUAGACUAUUGUUCAUGAUAAAUGAGUUCAAAUAAUCAUAUUACUUAAAACUCCCACUCAAAUUGACAUCCCUCCGGUCAUCCGAGUAUAACAUGAUGAAAAUUCACCAACCCAAGUCCGAUCAUAAUGUGAGAUGAGGUGGUUUCAAUGGUGAACAUCUCCAUGUUGAUCAUAUCUACUAUAUGACUCAUGUUCGACCUUUCGGUCUGUUGUGUUCCGAGGCCGUAUCUGUACAUGCUAGGUUCGUCAAGUUUAACCCGAGUGUUUCGCAUGUGCAAAACUGGCUUGCACCCUUUGUAUGUGAAUGUAAAGUCUAUCACACCCGAUCAUAACGUGGUGCUUAGAAAUGACAAACUUCCGCAAUGGUGCACCCUCAGGGAGAACACAAUUUUGUCUUGAAAUUUUAGUGAGGGAUAACUUGUAAUGCUACCAUCGUCCUAAGAAAAAUAAGAUGCAUAAAAGGAUUAACAUCACAUGCAAAUCAUAAGUGACAUGAUAUGACCACCAACUUGUGCUUUUGAUCUCCAUCUCCAAAGCAUCGGCAUGAUCUCCAUCGUCACCGGCAUCACACCAUGAUUUCCAUCAUCAUGAUCUCCAUCAUCGUGUUGCCAUCGAGGUUGUCACGCCAACCAUGCUUCUAUUACUAUUGCUAUCGUUUAGUGAUAAAGUAAAGCAUUACAUAGCGCUUAAUGAUUGACACGCAGGUCAUACAAUAAUUUAAGACAACCCUAUGGCUCCUGCCGGUUGUCGUAUUCAUCGACAUGCAAGUCAACACAAACUAUUACAAACAUGAUCGUCUCAUACAUCAAAUAUAUUUCAACAUGCCUUUGGCCAUAUCCCAUCACAACAUACCCUGCAAAAACAAGUUAGACGUCGUCUAACUUGUUGUUGCAUGUUUUACAUGGCUGCUAUGUGUAUCCAACAAGAACGGUUCUUACCUAUGCAAAACAACAACUGUGAUAUGGAAGUUGCUAUUUAACCUUCUACAAGGACUGCCUUCAUCGAAUUCGAUUCAACUAAGGUGCGAGCGACAGACACCAGCCAACCAUCUUAUGCAACAAAGUCACAUGUCUAUCGAAUGAACCGGUCUCAUGUAUGUGGACAGGUAAAGUUGGUCUGGGCCGCUUCAUCCCACAAUUCUGCUAAAUCAAGAAAAGACCAAGGAAGGAAGCAAUCUGAAUAACAAUACCGAUAAACUCCUUUGUGUUCUACUCAUGAUGUCAUCUGCGCAUAGCCCUAGCUCUGGUACCACUGUUGUUGGAAGUUGCAUGGGAAAGAAAAAAAUUCCUACACUCACCAAGAUCAAUUUAGGAGAUGAACAUCUACGAGAGGAGAGAUUUACUCUACAUAAACUUGUAGAUCACUAAGAGGAAGCGCUAAGAAACAUGGUUGAUGUAGUCAAACAUCUUCGCGAUCCAAUCAUGAUACGUCUCGCAAACUCCUGAUCUAGUGCCAAACGGACGGCACCUAUGCGUUCAACACGCGCACGGCUAAUUGAUGCCUUCACCUCCUUGAUCCAACAAGAAAUGGAGAAGUAGUAUUUCAAGUCCUCCAACAACACGAUAUCGUGGCGGCGGUGGUGGUGGAGGAAUUUCAGCAGAGCUUUGCUAAGCACUACGCGGAAGGAGAAGGACUACGAGGGAGAAGACAGGCAGCGACACGACACAGAUGUGUCUGUCUGCCCUCCUUCUACCCCCAUAUAUAUAGGGGGAAGGGAGGAGGUGGGGAUGCCCUAUGGGUUCCCUUAGGAGGCGGCGGCCACCAUAGAUGGGGGCGCCCCUAGGGAAACCCUAGGGUGUCUUUCCCCCCAAGCUAGGUGGAGGCAGCCCUAGGGGAUUGCCCCAACCCUUCCGUCAUGGUGGGAUUGGGUGUGGGGGCGCACAACCCCUUAGUGGGCCGGUGUGCUCCCUCCCCUUGUCCCAUGAAGCGCCCAACACUUACCUGGCCCCCCAGAAACCCCUUUCUGUACUCCGUCGAUUCCCGCGGUACCCCUGGAACAAUUCCGGACUCCGAUACCCUUCGUCCUAUAUAUCAAUCUUCACCUCCAAACCAUUCUGGAGUUCCUCGUCAUGUCAGGGAUCUCAUUCGGGAAUCCGAACAAUCUUCGGUAACCACCAUAUGACCCAACUAUACUUAUAUCGUCAACAAACGUUAAGUGUGUAGACCCUGCGGGUUCGAGAACUAUGCACACAUGACCGAUACACCUCUACGGUCAAUGACCAAUAACAUGACCUGGAUGCCCAUGUUGGUUCCUACAUAUUCUACGAAGAUCUUUAUCAGUCGAACCUCGAUGUCAAGGUUUCAGGCAAUCCCGUAUGAAGUUCCCUUUUUCCAUUGGUAUGUUACUUGCCUGAGAUUCGAUCAUUGGUAUCUCCAUACCUAGUGCAAUCUCGUUACCGGCAAGUCUCUCUAUUUUGUAAUACAAGAUCCCGUGGCUAACUUCUUAGUCACAUUGAUUGCAAGCUUAUUGUGAUGUUGUAUUACCGAGUGGGCCCUGAGAUACCUCUCCAUCAUACGGAGUGACAAAUCCCAGUCUCGAUCCAUGCCAAUUCAAUAGACACCCUUGGAGACACCUGUAGAGCAUCUUUAUAGUCACCCAGUUACGUUGUGAUGUUUGAUACACACAAGGCACUCCUCCGGUGUUAGUGACUUGCAUGAUCUCAUGGUCAUAGGAACAUAUAAUUGACAUGCAGAAAACGAUAGCAAUAAACUUGACAAGAUCAUAUGCUACAUUCAUAGUUUGGGUCUUGUAAAUCACAUCAUUCUCCUAAUGAUGUGAUCACGUUAUCAAAUGACAACUCAUGUCCAUGACCCGGAAACCAUGGCCAUCUUUGAUCAACGAGCUAGUCUGGUAGAGGCUCACUAUGGACACGUUGUUUGUCUAUGUACCCACACAUGUAUUUUAAUUUCCAAUCAAUACAAUUAUAGCAUGGAUAAUAAACGAUUAUCAUGAACAAGGAAACAAAAUAAUGACCAUUUUAUUAUUGCCUCCAGGGCGUAUUUCCAACACUUCCGAUGAUUUUGUGAGUAGUUUACGAUAGCCCUUCGGGUCUAUAGCUAGAAUCUAGAUGGCUUCUUCUCUCUCUUUGAUCUUCAAUCCAAAGUUCUUCUCAAUGUUCUUGGAGUUCUAUCCAAUGUAAUCUCCUUUUGCGGUGUGUUUGCUGGGACCUGAUAAAUUAUGAGUUUAUGAUCAGAUGAUUCAUGAGAAUAUUUGAUUCUUCUUUGAACUCUUUUAUGUGUGAUUAUUUUAGCUUUGUAUUUCUCUCCAAUCUAUCGAUUUGGUUUGGCCAACUAGAUUGGUUUAUCUUGCAGUGGGAGAGGUGCUUUGUGAUGGGUUCAAUCCUGUGUUGCUCAAUCCUAGUGACAGAAACAGACAUGGCACAUAUUUGUAUUGUUGACAUUAAGGAUAAAAAUAUGGGGGUUAAUCAUAUUGCUUGAAUUUACUUUGUCUACAUCAUGUCAUCUUGCUUAAGGCGUAACUCUAUUUUAUACCUAAAACUCUAGAUGCAUGCUGGAUAGCAGUCGAUGGGUGAAGUAUAGUAAUAGAUGCAGGCAGGAGUCGGUCUACUUGCAUCGAAUGUGAUGCCUAUAUACAUGAUCAUUGCCAUGAAUCCUUCAUAAUUAUUUGCUUUUCUAUCAAUUGCCCAACAGCAAUUUGUUUACCCACCGUAUGUUCUACGAUCAAGAGAGAAGCAUCUAGUAAAAACUAUGGCCCCUGGGUGUACUUUUAUCAUAUAUAAAAAAACACAAAAAUACCUAGCUGCAAUUUAUUUACUUUUAUUUUAUUUUGUAUUUUACUUUAUCCAUCUAUCACUACCAGAAUUAAUCAUUGAAAAUAACGUCUACGAGGAUUGACAAGCCUCUUAUUUGCGUUAGGUGUCGGUGUUUGCUUUUGUGUGUGCAGGUGCUGUUAACAAGGUUUUGUGUGGUUCACCUACUGGAUUGAUAACCUUGAUUCUUAACUUAGUGAAAUACUUAUUUGUACUAUACUUCAUCAUCCUCUCCUCCUUGGGGAAUUAACAACACAGUCUACAAGUAGCACUCUCCAUUGAAAUGUUAAAUUGUAAUUAGUCCUUACUCCCGAAUUAAUAGUACUUCAAUUUGAAACAAGUUUCGUACAUGUUAAUUAUGUUAUGUUCAUAUAAUACUACACUUCCUAAAUAAGUAGACGUCACAUAACAUUGAGAUUGUAGUUAGGGAUGGAAAUCAAAAUAGGGCAUGAAUGUAACAAUUGCGAGCAAUGUGCUUCAGAAAAGAACUUAUUUGUCUUUUAUUCCCAUGUUUGGACUAGUACAGGUCGGGGUUACACAUGAUGGUGCACAUCACUUUAUUUAUCAUUGUUACAUUAUGCUCCAUUAACUAACAACGAUGAUUCACCCUUCUAGUAUUACAUCUCUUCAUUUCAUAGGCCACUGAUACUUAUAACGUCGCUCCCAGAUGGUUGUUGUUGUGGAUAUUGUUGGUAUGGGGAAGGUUCUUGUGAUUGCUGGGGUGGGUAUGGUAUUGGAAAUUGUUGUUGGGGGAAUUGUUGUGGUGGUUGCUGGGGGAAUUGUUGUUGGGGGAAUUGUUGUUGUUCAGGGGAUUGUUGUGACCGGGGGAAUUGUUGNNNNNNNNNNNNNNNNNNNNNNNNNNNNNNNNNNNNNNNNNNNNNNNNNNNNNNNNNNNNNNNNNNNNNNNNNNNNNNNNNNNNNNNNNNNNNNNNNNNNNNNNNNNNNNNNNNNNNNNNNNNNNNNNNNNNNNNNNNNNNNNNNNNNNNNNNNNNNNNNNNNNNNNNNNNNNNNNNNNNNNNNNNNNNNNNNNNNNNNNNNNNNNNNNNNNNNNNNNNNNNNNNNNNNNNNNNNNNNNNNNNNNNNNNNNNNNNNNNNNNNNNNNNNNNNNNNNNNNNNNNNNNNNNNNNNNNNNNNNNNNNNNNNNNNNNNNNNNNNNNNNNNNNNNNNNNNNNNNNNNNNNNNNNNNNNNNNNNNNNNNNNNNNNNNNNNNNNNNNNNNNNNNNNNNNNNNNNNNNNNNNNNNNNNNNNNNNNNNNNNNNNNNNNNNNNNNNNNNNNNNNNNNNNNNNNNNNNNNNNNNNNNNNNNNNNNNNNNNNNNNNNNNNNNNNNNNNNNNNNNNNNNNNNNNNNNNNNNNNNNNNNNNNNNNNNNNNNNNNNNNNNNNNNNNNNNNNNNNNNNNNNNNNNNNNNNNNNNNNNNNNNNNNNNNNNNNNNNNNNNNNNNNNNNNNNNNNNNNNNNNNNNNNNNNNNNNNNNNNNNNNNNNNNNNNNNNNNNNNNNNNNNNNNNNNNNNNNNNNNNNNNNNNNNNNNNNNNNNNNNNNNNNNNNNNNNNNNNNNNNNNNNNUUGUUGUUGCGGGGAUUGGUGUUGUUGGGGGAAUUGCUGUUGCUGGGGGAAUUGUUGUGGUUGCUGGGGGAUUUGAUGUUGUUGGGGGAUUUGUUGUUGCGGGAUUUGUUGUUGUUGGAGGAAUUGUUGUUGUUGGGGGAAUUGUUGUGGUUGCUGGGGGAUUUGAUGUUGUUGGGGGAUUUGUUGUUGGGGGAAUUGUUGUUGUUGGAGGAAUUGUUCUUGUGGAGUAUGCAAUUCCUUGCCUCUAGUGCUUAGCAGCCUACUGGCACUGGCGAUGUUCAUCGCCAUGGCAAGGAGGACAAAUAUGAUGAAGGUCUUCAUGUUUGAUUUGUGUUUACUAUUGCUCACUUGGCUUUGGUGUUUCAACUCUAGGUCCUUGAAGGUUAGAUGAUGGAAGAGACCCUCAUGGUGUAGUCGUAUUUAUAGCUGGCAUCGCACAUUUGUUUUUGAUCUUCACACUCGUUUCUUGAAAAAGUGCUCUUAAGCUUAUCGACCUAAUAAUUUUCUAUGUUGUGUUUGAUGGCACUACUUACUAGCGUGACUUUGGAUUGUUCAUCAUAGUUGAUUGUUCUUUCUCAUAUCAUCUGGGCGUAUCAAAUGCUUGAUAACGCAUAAUGACUCAUCGUAUUCACUUUACACUUCAAAUAUUGAUCUAGAUUGUGUCCGUCUUUCUGAUUUAGCUUGUGCUGUUCUGCAUGUUGUUAGGUAUAUCCAGAUUGGCAUAACUUAAGGGAACUAAGUUUGUAAUCUUCACACUCGCUUCUUGAAAAAGUGCUCUUAAGCUUAUCAAUUACCUAAUAAUUUGGUAUGUUGUGUUUCAUGGCACUACUUACUAGUGUGAUUUUGGAUUGUUCUUCAUAGUUGAUUGUUCUUGCACAUAUCAUCUAGGUGUAUGGAAUGCUUGAUAAUGACAAAUGACUCAUCGUAUUCACUUUACACUUCAAACAUUGAUCUAGAUUUUGUCCCUUGCUCCGAGUUAGUUUGUCAUGUUCUAUAUGUUGUUAGGCGUAUCCAGAUUGGCAAACUUAAGGGAACAAAGUUUGUAAUCUUGUGUGUGUCAUUGAGAUAGAUCACACUAUUAAUGCGAAGAUUGUUCUAUACACAAUUUUUUCUGAACUAACUUUAUAUUUUUUGUACAAUAUAUAUGUAAGAUGGAUAAGCAUAGAUGACUCAUCGUAUUACCUUUUCAUAUGGAGCGGUUGUAUUGUUAUAUGAGUUACUAAUAGAAAACAAAGUAUUAGGGCUUUGCGUGGCUUGAUUGAUUCACUCCACGUAGACAUGAACAUUUCUUUUGUAUUUCAUUCGUUGGUUAAUCUAAGUUUGUACAUAUUGUUUCAAGUUGUUCAUAUAGUUUCUAGGUUUCUUUUAUUGAAUUUAUUACCACCAGUAUAGGAAGCUAUUAGUACUAUGAUUGUUGAUACUGAUACAGAACAAAGAGGAAAGAUAGAGCAAUAUACAGUUGAUUUUGUCUGGUAAUUAUAUAAGUGUCUUUUUUUCUAUUUUCUUGUAAGCAAGGAACCUACAAAAAAGAAAUGAAAUAAGUUCUCCUUCUACACGAUACGUGAAUAAAUGAAUUUAGGACAUAUCAUGCCUGACUGAAUGGGAACUGGCCUAUCGCCGUCAUGUAGCAAACACAAGCCAUAAUGCCGAUACACUUGGCUCAUGCAACAUGCACACGUGAACAAAAGAAGAGCCUAUCAGUAUAUUUAUAUUUUUUACUUCUUUUAUCCUUGGCCAUAUUAUUCAUACAUAUGGUUGCAUCGAAUCAAUUGACUUGUCAAUGCCAUGGACCAGCUAGCAUACUAAUGUUUUUGUGUGUGUGGCUUUAGCUGUUGCAAAACCUCUACAUAUGUUUUUUUUCAUUCCUUUACCCUCUACCACUUAUUUUCAGAUUGAUGGAAAGUGAAGUUUGAGACAAGGAAACAAAACACGAUUACAUCCUCCUCCAUGCAGCUUCGUGGAGGCUAAUUAUAAUUGAAACUCCUGUUAAUCGCACUGGAUGUCAUGCCAGAUUCGUGUAGAAUUUGCCGGAUCGAUUGACUAGGGUUUGACCCUUGGAUUUUUAACCUUGUACGUCGUAAUUUUUGUUGUACAUGGAUUAGUAAAGGUCUAUAGUCGAUCCACCAUCAUCACUAUGAAUCAGUAUUACAGAUUCAGAACAGGUCUUUGUCAGAGAAGGAAGUAGGAGUAGCCAAUGAUACAGGAAAAAGCCAGCGAGACCUGCCUGCCUGGCUGUGAACAGUUCAUCUCCUUCUUGCUAUUAAUGUUGUGUUAAAAUACCUAACUAGCUAGCUAGCAAAUCAUAGGUUGUCCUUCUCUAAAAAAAACUGUAGAAAGUUCUUUAAAUGUAGUUAAUUAAACAAGUGAAAUUUUAAAAGAAAAAUUAUUUUGAAGUUGUUGGCUUGUUUGUUGUUGCUAUUGUUUUCGUUGUUCUCGAAACAGGCUUUCACACUGCUUUAUAAAUAAAGCAAUAUCCAAAGAUGUACACGGCCGAAUGAUACAAUAUGGUGAGGUAGCCCCUACAAAGCCGAUCUUGAGAUAUCACGCACACGCGCACACGACUACGCUACCAGCAACAAGCACCGAAAGAACUAAACAUCCUCACGCUACGAACUAGCACACCAAAGCUCCACGAGAACGCCCCCAAGAGGGAGAAUGGCAUAGAGCGUCGCCGCUGCCAAGUCCAUACCGGACAAAGGUCUACACUUGGAGACCUGACACGGAGAGAAGAAGCACAACAACGUCUUCAAGAAGAGCGCGACACCCAUGAGUGUCGUCGGUGGCGGUGCCCAGGCAUGGAGCUUUCGCUUGGCAACUCACCCGUGCCACCAUGAGGUCCUCAAGAGUAGCGCCGCGAUGUUCAAUCCCAUGAUCUUGAUUAGGACGCUGCCCCUCCGAAAGAGAAGGCACGUCUGAGCUUAUAACCGCAACACCUACCGUUGCCCACACAACCCGGGAGGGGAGCCACCACAACCGGAAUAAUGCCCGCCAAAGAGCAACCAUGUGGCCCGCCAUCAGGGGACGCCAACCCAGUAUCACUGUCGCGAGAUACCAUACACCACUCACAUUACAAUGCAACCAACCAUGGUAGGAAGAGAGACAACACUCCGUCUACUCCUACCCUAGCCUAUGUCCCAAUGUUUGGUUAGGCGCCUCCACCAUAGGACGCACCCACACCUGCAUCCCCAGCCAAUGCUCCAUGGACUAGGGGGGCCACCGGCGAGCCAACCUCGAGCCCUUGGUCAGGCGAGCUCACACGACGCCAUGUCCGUGUUCUCUGACACUGAUCCUCUCAUGAAUGCAAUGCUAACACAACUAUCACCACCGAGCAGCACCCAAGCUGGCUCGCUUCGCAAUGCACAAAUCAUGGCAGGUAAAGCCCGGCAUCAGUCACCAGCCAGUGACUGCCGACGGCCAUUGUUGAGGCCAGCUCAGACGCCAAGUCUGUGAACUGAGGCACUGGUCCGCCAGCCGACACAAUGUAUGCCUGACCACCACAUCCAUGAACCAUCACCGAUGCUACAACGUGUGGAGGUGCCUCCCCCAACCUAGCUUCAAGCAUCCACCUUGGCUUGACUGGCAGCGACCCAGUGCCGAGAAAUCCUACUACAAGGCGACUACGCACCGAACCUCAUGUGAUGAGAAACCAACCCCGACAAGGACGACCAUAUCAAAAUCCAUGCCCGGUGGCUAGUCUGCGUCACCAGCCCGCUGCCUACAUAUGCACCCAGACAAGGCGGGCGCCGCCCCAUCAAGAGGGGGGCCGCUUAGAGCAGCUGGCAACUCCGGUCGCUGAGCAGCUACACCAAUGCUAACCCCACCUCUCCAUUGACACCCCCCGCCUAGAUCCAUCGCCGCCAGCCAAAACCAUGGCCACCACCCAUCGCCUCUUGUCAUGCCUCCACGCCUGUGAGAGAGACUGCCGAAACCCACCAUCACCAGCUGUCGUGCUCAGAAGAGGGAGAACUGCCACCAUCGCCUUGUGCCGCUUGUCACAAGUUGGCAGCAGAUCCACACUGCCAUAGCUAUCACAUGCCUGCCUACACAGUAGGAUUUGCUAGGUUUUACCAUGUCUGUACAAUUCUUUUUUCCUAUUUUCUCCAAGAUGUUGUUUUUAAAAUUUGCUUGCAGGUUUAAGGAAAGGAGGAGUUCACUAUCACCACCACCUCGUGCAAGGGGAUGUCAGCAUCAGUCAUCUUUACCAUCAUCCACCUCCAUCCCAUUGUAAUACCAAACCCAUGUGGAUCCAUACAUGUAUUAUCCGUGUGUUUCAUCCAUGUUUACCACCACUAUUUCCACUGCAAAUUAUGAUUUUUGACUCAAGUUGAGGGGGUCAUUUUCCUUCAAAUUUAGAACCUUGUUUGAUGGGUCAUGAUUUGUGAGAGGAUACUUUUUGUCCCGCUAAGAUUGUUAUUGGAGAUAAUUGGUACUUAAACUCAUUUUGUGAAUGGAACAUCAAAGGCGAAAAGUGCAUAAGUAAUCAAUUAUUCUCACUAUAAAUGAACAAUGAAAUCUGGCAUGGAGUUCGUGGAAAACAUAAACACCUAGUUUGAUGUAGAUGCAUGUCAGAUAAGAUGGUUACAAACUCAUGGAGCUCUACAUUGAAGUGUUAUAUUUCAAUUACUCCUUACUCCCUAAUUAAUAGUACUUUAAUUUGGACCAAGUUUCACACACGUUAAGUAUGUUAUGUACAAAAUGAAUGAAACCUUGAUAAGGAUUUGACAUGGAAAGUGAAUAAGGUGCGUCAGUUUUUUCUCAAAAUAAAAUACCAAGCACCAUGCUUUCGUGACAACCAUACGAUCUUUUGCACAACUAGCCAAACAAAUUUUGAUGAUCAAUCCUAUAUUAAACUUGUGGCUAGUGCAACCUGACAGAAUAUACAAAAUGAUCCAUUUCAUAAGCAUGCAUGCAAAAAAAUUGGAAAAUGAAUGAAAAAAUUAAUCGCUAGCUGGAAUUUCAUUCAAUCAUCCCAUCCAAGCUGGUAGAACCACACUGACUGCAAUCCGACAUCUACAUAACAAGAUGUCCACAACCCAACACGUCCAAAACAAAAAGAUAAAAAAAUGCAAAGACGGCAAGAGGUUAUGCCAUAAAUGGACUUGUGCCGCAAAUAUCAUCACAAGUACAAAACACAAAUAGAAACAACAAAGACAAGUAGCAGCAGUCAAGAGCAAUUCACCACAAAGACACAUCCCCAUCCUUUCCCUCACCACCAUUGCAUCGGCUAGCGCCAAUGAACAGCUCGAGGGCAGCAGGAUCAAUGCUAGUGAAAGCAUUUCACCGACUUCAUUUUGCUAAGAAAGUCCAUGCAAUGAGUCGACAUGAAAGAAAGUGUUUAGUUAGUUCAAAUACAGAUAUCCUGAGAGCAGCCUAAUAAAUGAGAAAACCUGUGUCGGUCAUUCAUCACCAAAAUCCAUGUAAACGCACUUGGAUGGAUCGUGCAGUCAGGAACAAAAGUCCAAGGGGGCGACCUAUAUAUACAGUUUAUUUGCUUGGUAACUCUGGUUUAGCACUAUCUUUUUUCCUUAUCCUUGUCCAUUUUAUCCCUGCAGAAAAUAGCCAAAUGAGGAAGCAAAGGGAAGUGUUUGAUUAGUUCUCCAUGAAACGAGAAUAAAUGAAUUUCGGACAAAGUAUGGCUGAACUGCGAAAUCCAUAGAUUGGCCUAACUGAAUUGGGAAACUUGUCUCCAUCAUGCAGCUGACAAGAGCCAUACUGCUGAUACACUUGGCCCAUGCAACAUGCAUGCAUGAUUAUAAGGAGAACAUCCAUUAUUCUCUAAUUUAAAUGAGUAACAGUCUCGUAGUAAACAAGAUCCAGAUAUAAUGUUCAUGCUCGACGCAGGCACUAAAUAACAAAUAUUCUGGUUCAUCACUAAUCCCGAUUGUAAUCGAAGAGCGAGCGUGCCGACGGUGAUCACAUCAACCUUGGAACCAUUUCCCACACGCAUCAUCACUUCGUUUUUCACCAGCCUCCGUCUAUUUCGUAGUUCCUGCUUUGGGUUGCAAAUGUGAGCAACUGAACCGGUAUCAGAUACCCAGGCACUACAACAAGAGUUGGUAAGGAACACAUCUAUAACAUAUAUAUAUAUAUAUAUAUAUAUAUAUAUAUAUCAUAUAUAUCAUAUAUAUCUUGUUUGGCGUUGGCCCCUUCUUGUCGGCCAGGCUUGGGGAAAUUCCGCUUCCAGUGGCCAGUCUCGUUGAAAUAGAAGCACUCAGUUUCCGGCUUGGGCCCAGCCUUGGGUUUCUUCACGGGAGAGGCAACUACUUUGCCACUCUUCUUGGAGUUACCAUUCUUGCCCUAGCCAUUCUUCUUGAAACUAGUGGUUUUAUUGACCAUCAACACUUGAUGCUCUUUCUGGAUGUCUAACUCAGCGACUUUCAGCAUCGCAAACAGCUCGGAGACUGACUUGUUAAUCCCUUGCAUGUUAUAGUUUAGCAAAAAGCACUUGUAGCUAGGUGGUACUGAUUGAAGAACUUUGUCAGUGAUCGCUUCUGGUGGGAGCACAACUCCCAACUUAGCCAGACGGUUGUAAUACCCAGACAUUCUAAGUAUGUGUUCACUGACAUACCCGUUCUCGUCCAUCUUGUAAGCAAAGAACUUAUCGGAGGUCUCAUACCUCUCGAUCCGGGCAUUCCUUUCAAAAAUGAACAUCAACUCCUCGAACAUCUCAUAUGCUCCAUGGCAUUCAAGAUGUCUUUGAAGUCCCAGUUCUAAGCCAUGCAACAUAGCACACUAAACUAUUGAGUAGUGAUCCACAUGCGCUUGCUAGGUGUUCAUAACAUCCAUAGACGUCGGAGGGGGUUGCACACCAAGCGAUGCAUGAAGGACAUAAGCCUUUUGUGCAGCCAUGAGGAUAAUUCUCAGAGUACAGGCCCAGUCUACAAAGUUACUUCCAUCAUCUUUCAGCUUGGCUUUCUCUAGGAACGCAUUGAAAUUCAGGGAAGCUAUUGUGCGAGCCAUUGAUCUACAACAUAAAUUUGCAAAGUCAACUUAGACUAUUGUUCAUGAUAAAUGAGUUCAAAUAAUCAUAUUACUUAAAACUCCCACUCAAAUUGACAUCCCUCCGGUCAUCCGAGUAUAACAUGAUGAAAAUUCACCAACCCAAGUCCGAUCAUAAUGUGAGAUGAGGUGGUUUCAAUGGUGAACAUCUCCAUGUUGAUCAUAUCUACUAUAUGACUCAUGUUCGACCUUUCGGUCUGUUGUGUUCCGAGGCCGUAUCUGUACAUGCUAGGUUCGUCAAGUUUAACCCGAGUGUUUCGCAUGUGCAAAACUGGCUUGCACCCUUUGUAUGUGAAUGUAAAGUCUAUCACACCCGAUCAUAAUGUGGUGCUUAGAAAUGACAAACUUCCGCAAUGGUGCACACUCAGGGAGAACACAAUUUUGUCUUGAAAUUUUAGUGAGGGAUAACUUGUAAUGCUACCAUCGUCCUAAGAAAAAUAAGAUGCAUAAAAGGAUUAACAUCACAUGCAAAUCAUAAGUGGCAUGAUAUGACCACCAACUUGUGCUUUUGAUCUCCAUCUCCAAAGCAUCGGCAUGAUCUCCAUCGUCACCGGCUUCACACCAUGAUUUCCAUCAUCAUGAUCUCCAUCAUCGUGUUGCCAUCGAGGUUGUCACGCCAACCAUGCUUCUAUUACUAUUGCUAUCGUUUAGUGAUAAAGUAAAGCAUUACAUAGCGCUUAAUGAUUGACACGCAGGUCAUACUAUAAUUUAAGACAACCCUAUGGCUCCUACCGGUUGUCGUAUUCAUCGACAUGCAAGUCAACACAAACUAUUACAAACAUGAUCGUCUCAUACAUCAAAUAUAUUUCAACAUGUCUUUGGCCAUAUCACAUCACAACAUACCCUGCAAAAACAAGUUAGACGUCGUCUAACUUGUUGUUGCAUGUUUUACAUGGCUGCUAUGUGUAUCCAACAAGAACGGUUCUUACCUAUGCAAAACAACAACUGUGAUAUGGAAGUUGCUAUUUAACCUUCUACAAGGACAGCCUUCAUCGAAUUCGAUUCAACUAAGGUGCGAGCGACAGACACCAGCCAACCAUCUUAUGCAACAAAGUCACAUGUCUAUCGAAUGAACCGGUCUCAUGUAUGUGGACAGGUAAAGUUGGUCUGGGCCGCUUCAUCCCACAAUUCUGCUAAAUCAAGAAAAGACCAAGGAAGGAAGCAAUCUGAAUAACAAUACCGAUAAACUCCUUUGUGUUCUACUCAUGAUGUCAUCUGCGCAUAGCCCUAGCUCUGGUACCACUACUGUUGGAAGUUGCAUGGGAAAGAAAAAAAUUCCUACACUCACCAAGAUCAAUUUAGGAGAUGAACAUCUACGAGAGGAGAGAUUUCCUCUACAUAAACUUGUAGAUCACUAAGAGGAAGCGCUAAGAAACAUGGUUGAUGUAGUCAAACAUCUUCGCGAUCCAAUCAUGAUACGUCUCGCAAACUCCUGAUCUAGUGCCAAACGGACGACACCUAUGCGUUCAACACGCGCACGGCUAAUUGAUGCCUUCACCUCCUUGAUCCAACAAGAAAUGGAGAAGUAGUAGUUCAAGUCCUCCAACAACACGAUAUCGUGGCGGCGGUGGUGGUGGAGGAAUUUCAGCAGAGCUUUGCUAAGCACUACGCGGAAGGAGAAGGACUACGAGGGAGAGGACAGGCAGCGACACGACACAGAUGUGUCUGUCUGCCCUCCUUCUACCCCCAUAUAUAUAGGGGGAAGGGAGGAGGUGGGGAUGCCCUAUGGGUUCCCUUAGGACGCGGCGGCCACCAUAGAUGGGGGCGCCCCUAGGGAAACCCUAGGGUGGCUUUCCCCCCAAGCUAGGUGGAGGCAGCCCUAGGGGGUUGCCCCGACCCUUCCGUCAUGGUGGGAUUGGGUGUGGGGGGCGCACAACCCCUUAGUGGGCCGGUGUGCUCCCUCCCCUUGUCCCAUGAAGCGCCCAACACUUACCUGGCCCCCCAGAAACCCCUUUCCGUACUCCUUCGAUUCCCGCGGUACCCCUGGAACAGUUCCGGACUCCGAUACCCUUCGUCCUAUAUAUUAAUAUUCACCUCCAGACCAUUCUGGAGUUCCUCGUCAUGUCGGGAAUCUCAUUCGGGAAUCCGAACAACCUUCGAUAACCACCAUAUGACCCAACUAUACUUAUAUCGUCAACAAAAGUUAAGUGUGUAGACCCUGAGUGUUCGAGAACUAUGCACACGUGACCGAUACACCUCUACGGUCAAUGACCAAUAACAUGACCUGGAUGCCCAUGUUGGUUCCUACAUAUUCUACGAAGAUCUUUAUCAGUCGAACCUCGAUGUCAAGGUUUCAGGCAAUCCCGUAUGAAGUUCCCUUUUUCCAUUGGUAUGUUACUUGCCUGAGAUUCGAUCAUUGGUAUCUCCAUACCUAGUGCAAUCUCGUUACCGGCAAGUCUCUCUAUUUUGUAAUACAAGAUCCCGUGGCUAACUUCUUAGUCACAUUGAUUGCAAGCUUAUUGUGAUGUUGUAUUACCGAGUGGGCCCUGAGAUACCUCUCCAUCAUACGGAGUGACAAAUCCCAGUCUCGAUCCAUGCCAAUUCAAUAGACACCCUUGGAGACACCUGUAGAGCAUCUUUAUAGUCACCCAGUUACGUUGUGAUGUUUGAUACACACAAGGCACUCCUCCGGUGUCAGUGACUUGCAUGAUCUCAUGGUCAUAGGAACAUAUAAUUGACAUGCAGAAAACGAUAGCAAUAAACUUGACAAGAUCAUAUGCUACAUUCAUAGUUUGGGUCUUGUAAAUCACAUCAUUCUCCUAAUGAUGUGAUCACGUUAUCAAAUGACAACUCAUGUCCAUGACCCGGAAACCAUGGCCAUCUUUGAUCAACGAGCUAGUCUGGUAGAGGCUCACUAUGGACACGUUGUUUGUCUAUGUACCCACACAGGUAUUUUAAUUUCCAAUCAAUACAAUUAUAGCAUGGAUAAUAAACGAUUAUCAUGAACAAGGAAACAAAAUAAUGACCAUUUUAUUAUUGCCUCCAGGGCGUAUUUCCAACACUUCCGAUGAUUUUGUGAGUAGUUUACGACAGCCCUUCGGGUCUAUAGCUAGAAUCUAGAUGGCUUCUUCUCUCUCUUUGAUCUUCAAUCCAAAGUUCUUCUCAAUGUUCUUGGAGUUCUAUCCAAUGUAAUCUCCUUUUGCGGUGUGUUUGCUGGGACCUGAUAAAUUAUGAGUUUAUGAUCAGAUGAUUCAUGAGAAUAUUUGAUUCUUCUUUGGACUCUUUUAUGUGUGAUUAUUUUAGCUUUGUAUUUCUCUCCAAUCUAUCGAUUUGGUUUGGCUAACUAGAUUGGUUUAUCUUGUAGUGGGAGAGGUGCUUUGUGAUGGGUUCAAUCCUGUGUUGCUCAAUCCUAGUGACAGAAACAGACAUGGCACAUAUUUGUAUUGUUAACAUUAAGGAUAAAAAUAUGGGGGUUAAUCAUAUUGCUUGAAUUUACUUUGUCUACAUCAUGUCAUCUUGCUUAAGGCGUAACUCUAUUUUAUACCUAAAACUCUAGAUGCAUGCUGGAUAGCGGUCGAUGGGUGAAGAAUAGAUGCAGGCAGGAGUCGGUCUACUUGCAUCGAAUGUGAUGCCUAUAUACAUGAUCAUUGCCAUGAAUCCUUCAUAAUUAUUUGCUUUUCUAUCAAUUGCCCAACAGCAAUUUGUUUACCCACCGUAUGUUCUACGAUCAAGAGAGAAGCAUCUAGUAAAAACUAUGGCCCCUGGGUGUACUUUUAUCAUAUAUAAAAAAACACAAAAAUACCUAGCUGCAAUUUAUUUACUUUUAUUUUAUUUUGUAUUUUACUUUAUCCAUCUAUCACUACCAGAAUUAAUCAUUGCAAAUAACGUCUACGAGGAUUGACAAGCCUCUUAUUUGCGUUAGGUGUCAGUGUUUGCUUUUGUGUGUGCAGGUGCUGUUAACAAGGUUUUGUGUGGUUCACCUACUGGAUUGAUAACCUUGAUUCUUAACUUAGUGAAAUACUUAUUUGUACUAUACUUCAUCAUCCUCUCCUCCUUGGGGAAUUAACAACACAGUCUACAAGUAGCACUCUCCAUUGAAAUGUUAAAUUGUAAUUAGUACUUACUCACGAAUUAAUAGUACUUCAAUUUGAAACAAGUUUCGUACAUGUUAAUUAUGUUAUGUUCAUAUAAUACUACACUUCCUAAAUAAGUAGACGUCACAUAACAUUGAGAUUGUAGUUAGGGAUGGAAAUCAAAAUAGGGCAUGAAUGUAACAAUUGCGAGCAAUGUGCUUCAGAAAAGAACUUAUUUGUCUUUUAUUCCCAUGUUUGGACUAGUACAGGUCGGGGUUACACAUGAUGGUGCACAUCACUUUAUUUAUCAUCGUUACAUUAUGCUCCAUUGACUAACAACGAUGAUUCACCCGUCUAGUAUUACAUCUCUUCAUUUCAUAGGCCACUGAUACUUAUAACGUCGCUCCCAGAUGGUUGUUGUUGUGGAUAUUGUUGGUAUGGGGAAGGUUCUUGUGAUUGCUGGGGUGGGUAUGGUAUUGGAAAUUGUUGUUGGGGGAAUUNNNNNN